rnacentral:lncRNA from 1 species
AUAGGUCAACUGGCAAAGCUCCAAACGUUGACUGACUUUCUCGUGGGAAGACAGAGUGAGACUAGCAUUAAAGAAUUGGGAAAGCUACGACAUCUACGGGGAGAACUUCAUAUUGGGAACCUUCAAAAUGUGGUGGAUGCUCGGGAUGCUGUUGAGGCAAAUUUGAAAGGUAGAGAGCACCUUGAUGAGCUGAGGUUUACAUGGGAUGGUGACACUCAUGACCCGCAACACGUGACAAGCACACUUGAGAAAUUAGAGCCAAAUAGAAAUGUGAAGGAUCUUGAGAUUGAUGGCUAUGGAGGUGUAAGGUUUCCGGAGUGGGUAGGAAAGUCCUCUUUCUCGAAUAUAGUGUCUUUGAGGCUCAGUAGAUGUACAAACUGCACCUUCUUACCACCGCUCGGGCAAUUAGCUUCUUUAGAGCGUCUCUCAAUUGAAGCAUUCGAUAAAGUUGAGAUUGUGGGGUCUGAGUUCUAUGGGAAUUGUACUGCUAUGAAGAAGCCAUUUGAAUCCCUCAAAACAUUACGGUUUGAAGGAAUGCCAGAGUGGCGCGAGUGGAUUUCAGACGAAGGCAGCCGGGAAGGCUUCCCUCUUCUAGAGGAGCUUUUAAUCCAAGAAUGCCCGAACCUUGCAAAGGCCCUACCAUGUCACCACCUUCCACGUGUAACAAGUCUUACAAUUCGUGGAUGUAAGCAGCUCGCGACUCCACUUCCUAGGUUUCCGGAGUGGGUAGGAGAGUCCUAUUUGUCAAAUAUAGUGUCCUUGAAGCUCAUUAGAUGUACAAACAGCACCUCCUUACCACCGCUCGGGCAAUUAGCUUCUUUAGAGCGUCUCUCAAUUGAAGCAUUCGAUAAAGUUGAGAUUGUGGGCUCUGAGUUAUAUGGGAAUUGUACUGCUUUGAAGAAGCCAUUUGAAUCCCUCAAAACAUUAUCUUUUAGAAGGAUGUCAGAGUGGCGCGAGUGGAUUUCAGACGAAGGCAGCCGGGAAGCCUUCCCUCUUCUAGAGGAGCUUUUAAUCGAAGAAUGCCCGAACCUUGCAAAGGCCCUACCUUGUCACCACCUUCCACGUGUAACAAGUCUUACAAUCGGUGGAUGUGAGCAGCUCGCGACUCCACUUCCUAGGUUUCCUGGGUUGCUCUCUCUCAUUGUUUUUGAUUUGCACUCCCUAGAGUCCCUACCCGAGGAAAUUGAUCAAAUGGGUUGUUCACCCUCUGAUUUAGGGAAAAUUAUAAUCCACCGCUGCGCUUCUCUCAAAGGCGUCGCACUGGACUUGCUCCCCAAGUUAAAUUUUCUUCGUAUUCUUGACUGUCCAGAUCUGGAAUCACUAUGUGCAAAUGAAAGACCUCUCAAUGAUCUCACCUCUCUCCAUUCUUUGGAAAUCGAGGGGUGCCCUAAAUUAGUUUCAUUUCCCAAAGGAGGGUUACCUGCUCCAGUCUUGACACAACUUGAUUUAUAUGAUUGCAAAAACUUGAAGCAGUUGCCUGAGAGUAUGCCUUCCCUCCUCCCAUCCCUUAACCGUUUGGGAAUAUAUGGUUGUUCAGAAGUUGAGUUGUGUCCAGAAGGGGUUUUCCCUCCACAUUACAAUUACUUUGGAUUCGUAAUUGCAACAAACUCAUUGCAGGCCGCAUGCAAUGGGGCUUGCUAACGCUCCCUUCUCUUUCACACUUCGAAAUUGGAAUGGACGAAAAUGUUGAAUCCUUCCCUGAAGAGAUGGUGCUGCCCUCAAAUCUUACAUCUCUUAGCAUCUAUGACCUCCAACACCUGAAAUCUCUUGACUACAAGGGGCUUCAACACCUCACCUCCCUUACACGUUUGAGAAUAAGUCGCUGCCCUCGGAUUGAGUCAAUGCCAGAAGAAGGGUUGCCCUCCUCCCUUUCUACUCUUGCAAUUUACAGGUGUCCUAUGCUGGGUGAAAGUUGUGAAAGGGAGAAAGGUAAAGAUUGGCCCAAGAUUUCUCACAUUCCUUACAUAAAUAUUUCCCAAGAUUAAAAGAAGGUUUUCUUUCAAUCGUCCAACAUAUUGAGGUAUUGCUACUAAAUAGUUUAUUUUCCUUUCAGUAAUCAAAGGCAAUUUCAGUUAAAAUUUGGAUGAAUGAAAUACAGAUAUUGUCCAUUUUGUCUGUUUUUAUUUGUUAAAUGUUGAAAUACAGAUAUUUUCUUCCUAUUGUCUCUCAUUCAUCUUCAUAUAUAAUAAUCAUUCUAUUGCAAUAUCUUUUUUGCUAUAAUUAAUGCUACUAUCAAAUGCGGCAAAUGCGGCAAAUAAACAUCACAUGCUUCAGAUUUUGAACUGCCAGCGCCACCCUUAAAAGACAACAGAUUUUUCACAAAAACUGACAAUGGCAAGGGCAGUAAUGGACUCGUUAAUCCAUCGAUGCUUCUCGAGAAGAUGACCAAUCAGAAUGCAAGCACAAAGGAGUGCCACAAACAAGGUAAUUGAAUGGAUUGGGGCUUGAUCAGGUUCCAUACCAUCCUCAAACCGAAAUUCAUCGUAUCAGAAUUGGACCCAACCCUAUAACUAUACAAGGAAAACGAAAACAAAAACAAAAACUGUCAAACAAACUGAAAUCAAUCAAAUUCAAGGUGAUCGAUCACGCAAUUAAUACACAGAGUAACUAGGGUUCCAAAUUACUUCUACAAAAGAAAUUAAUAAAAAAAAUGAAGUGAGAACCUAGAAAGACUCCUUCUCUGAUCUUUUUAGUUUUUACCUUGCAGUUGCAGCCUUGAGAUUCUCUUCAGAUAAAAAGGAAAAGGAAAGCGUUUGGAAUAAUAUAUAUAUAUUUGGUUCGAAGAAAGAGGGAGAGAAAACUUAAAAGCCAAGCAAGAGAAUAUGUUGUCCUUUCUGAGAGAAAGCCAAGUGUGAGGAGUGGAAUGGAGACGACGUCAACGUGUGUGGGCGUGUGUUCGCCUGGAGAGAACGAUUUUAAGUAUAUAUUCCCCCACUUCUGCUGCUGCUGCAUCUGACUAAACGAGAGAUAACCCGGAUUUAUUUGAUUUUGACUUGGAGAGACAGUUUGGCCGUUUGGGGGAUGGAGGGAAUCUUAAUGCAAGCAAAAACCGCGAAACUGCUUCCCUUCCUUUAUUUAUUUAUUCCUUUAUUCAUAUCACGUGAUUUCGAGGGUUCCACACAGGAUAUCACGUGAUUUCAAGGGUGCCGGAAUGUCUUUAAAAAGAUUGUUUUUUAAAAGUAUUUUUAAAAAACAAUAUAUUAAAAAUAAUUAUUUUCAACAUUGAUAAAUUAAAAUGAUAAAAAAAAACAUCAAAAAAUAAUUUUAAAUAAAAAAAUAAACUUUUGUGAAACGUUUUUUUGUACCUUGUCCCUAAACCUCAAUUUUCAUUGCCUAGCAGAGCUGAAAAGGAUUAAAAAAUAUUUAAGUAAUCUGCAACAGAUUUUUCAUUGUUGACGCGGCAAAAUCAAAAUUCAAAAUUUAAGUAAUCAAAAGGAUUAAAAUCUCCAUUCUCUCCUUUUCUCCUUUUCCGCAUCUCCAAAAAUUCAAAAAAUUUUCCCCACCUCUUUCUCUACAAAAAUUCAAAAUCCAAAAACUUUUGAUUUAUCUAUUUUAUUAUUACUUAACUUUGAUUAAAAAACUUUUCUUGAAGUUUACUUUCACCAAAGAUCUUUUAUAGAUAUAAAAAGAAGAGAUAAUAUAAAACAAGUAGAUACGUAGCUAUAUUAACAACAAUACUUCAAGCAUGCACAAAUGCGACUUCUUGAUGGUUACGCUGCUAAAGACAUUUACAAAUCCCCAUCAAUACUGGUGUUUAUUCCUCAUGAUGAUCCAGUGAGCUGACAAUAAAAGAAAACCUCGGCAUUACAAGUAAAUCGAUCGUCACUGCAAGCAUAAUGCAAGCAUGGAAGAGAUUCGGGUAGGAAUUACCCUUGUCUUCAUUGAGAGGCUUUAACCUCCCUAGCUCCUUCAUCAGCAGGCCCAUUGUUUGAUGCAUCCUCUGAAGCGUCUAAGCAAGGAUUGCUUUUACACUAACUUACAGUGUCACGACCCGAAUCCCGGAUCCAUGACCGGCACAUAGACAAGGUUCUCAUCCAAGGUUCCAUACCUAUACGAACCCAAACUUACACACAAACUUAUCCUAACUCAAUCAGAGUUCAACGCAGCAUUAAUAACAAAAUCAACUUCAUAAUAUAAUUGAAUUGUCUUAAUACAAGAGUUCAUAUAAUUCAUAGUUUUGGAGCACUAACUUGACAAAAAAAAAAGGUACAAAUUACAACCAAAAAGCAGGUUUGGAAGGUUCAACAAAAGUAACCUGCUAUCAAGCAAUAAGCCUGAAAAGAAUAAUAAUGAGAGGGUGAGUUCAACAACUCAGUGAGUAGAUAGCGUUCAAAAUACACACACGAGGUAAUACAGUAAUGAGAAAUAUAUAUACAAGUAUGACUCUAGGUUCUUAUAGAAAUGUUUCUCAAAUAGGCCAUAACAAGAAUAUCAUAUGGUAAAACUCGUCAGAAAAUCAAAAUGCAAUGAGCAUGAGGCUCCGUACUGUGGGAUGAUCAGUCCACACAGGUUGGUGACUCCCCCGACCAACUAAGGUUCAGAUACGAUGUGCACAAAGACUAACACUACCCUGUUAGCAUGGGUAUUCUGACUGACAUACCAUAGGUUCAUAAUCAUAAUCAAACAGACAUAUUCAUAUCUCAAAGCUCAACUCAUGACAUCAAUCAAAUGAGGAGCUAUCAAUUCAGAAGUCAAUUCAGAAUAUAUAUACUGGUUCAUAUCAAUAAUUCGGAUUCAACAAUUGAUCAUGCUUAUCAUAACAAGGAUAAUAAUCAACAUAUAUAUUAUCAAGAAGCAUGAUCCAAUUCAUAUUAACAAAUCAAAUAUUUAUAAUAUUUCUCAUGCAUAUGGAAAAUUAUCCACUCACCUGACUAGAAAGCAAACAGAAGUAAAAAUAAGACACCGAAGAAAAUCCUACUGACGUCCCGCCGAUAGAAUAUCAGGAUUAUCUGAAUACAAAGGAGGCAUAUUCAAGAACGACUCGAAAGAAUAUUUAACUUAUUUAAUACACUUAACUAGGUGUAUUCCGUAAUCCUAUAUGUUUUUGAACUAACUAGUCAAUUUUCUCAAAAACCCAAAACUCUAACGGUUUUUCCGAAAUCUAAUCCAUAACAAAACAAAUAAUAAAAUUGGUAAUAAUUUACUAAAUAACCCUCAAUUAUUCAUCAAACCAAUCUGAAAAAGGUAAUAUUACAGCUAGGGACUAAUCUGUAAUUUAUCAUAUUUUUAAGGCCAAAUUGUAAUUUUCGUCUAAUUAGAGGACCAAACUAAACAUAUCAUAAAUUCAUGAAUAUAGUGGAAUUAUGUCCAUAAUUCAUCCUCAUUUCUGUCCAGAUCAUCUCAUUAUACUCCAGGGACCAUUCUGGAAUUUUACCAAAUUUUUAGGGUCAAAUUGUAAUUUUUGUCAAAUUGGAGGACCAAAUUGAAAGUGUUAAAUUCUCUUAUCUAUACAGUAAUUCUGUCCAUAAUUCAUAUGUUAUUCUGUUCAGAAUACCGGAAUAUGCUCCAGGGACCAAUUUGUAAUUUUCCAAAGUUCAGGACUAAACUGUAAUUUUCGCAAAUUGAGGGACCAAAUUGAAUUUUCGUCAUCUUCAACCUCCAAUCCAGAAUUUUAACAGAAACCUACUGUUCUCCCCUGAUUUUUAACUCAAAAUUCACCAUUCAAACAAAAUUAUAACUCAAAAUCAUCACAAUCUUCCAUAAUCAACUAAAUCAUCAAUUAACCACAACAAUCAACCCCUAACAUUCAAUUUAAUUCAUCAGUUAAACUCAAAACACAAAUUUCAUAACCCUAACAUUUAUCAAAACCGAAAUUAAAGCUAAAGAAAACAUAUUAUACACAUUAAAGCAUAAUCUUACCCCUUUUUACUUAUUUCCUCCAACUCCUUUUCUUUUUCCCUUAUUUUCCUCUCUUUUCUCUUCUUCUUCUUUCUCACUUCACUCCUGUGGUUCUCUCUAAAUUUCAGAUUUCUCUCUUUCUUUUUUUUCGUUUUUUUACUUUGAAUUUACACUUUUUCAAGUUUUUAUUGAAAUUACCACUAUACCUCUCAUUUAUUUAUUCUAACUUUUAAACCUUCAAAGGUUUUAUUGUAUUUUUCAUCUCAUUAAUUCAAGACAUUACAUACAGGCUGAGCAUUGGUCAAGAGACUAGAAAGUUGAGACCCCUUUUGCGAAAAGUUUGGUUUACCUUUCGGAGUCUCAGACAGGCUUCCCGUUGACAGCUUUGCUAGGCCCAUUGUCUUGUGCUCACACGGGAGCUUGGUUGAAAAAGGUGAUUCAGGUGUAUUAGGAUGCUUCCCAGGAAUAUCCAUCGGUCUAUGAAACAGCAAAUGAGCCACAGUCCGGUCUACAGGAUUGGUCUCUGUUUCCACCUCAGGCAUCUUAACUACCCUGCAGAAUACUCAUAAAAUCCAUGAGGAAAAUGACAGGAAAGUUUGAGAUUGCCAUACUCUAAACAAAUUGAUAAAGACUUGAUUAAUAAUUUUGUGCAAACAAAUUGAAUAAUUUGAAAUGGGAAGGACGAGAUGUAAAUGAACAAACCCAUUGGAACAAGAAACAAUCACAUUGUCGCUUACAACAAAAAAUCGAGUUUCAGCUCAAAAGAGCUUAUGGUUUUGGCUGGAAGUAUCCCAUUUAGAUAUAGAUGAGCCCCAGUGGCGGAGCCACAGUGGGUCAAAAGAGAGCAAUUGUCCCCUUAUUUUUUUUAAAUAUUAAUAUAUUAGUGAGAGUGAAUUAUUGCUACAGCCUACAGGUAAGGAAAGUUUUUAACUUUUAUUAUUGUUGACUAACUUGACUUAUAUAUACAUAUAUAUAUAUAUAUAUAUAUAUAUAUAUAUAUAUAUAUAUAUAUAAUUACAGCUCCCCAACUUUUCCCCUUUUCCUUUUUGUUUCUCCUGUCUAACAAAACAAGGGUUUUUUUUCAGCUGCCGUUCUUGCCUCUCCUCGUCUCCUGAAUGCAAAUUUCUCAUGGAUUAAUUUUUUUUUGCGUUUUACUUUAUACUUUAUUUUUUCUAUUUAUUUUAUUGUUUAAUUUUAGUUUUAUUCUUUUAUAAUUAGUUAUUAAAAAUAUUAGGGUUUAUGAUAAUUUAGGGGUUUUGUUAUAAAUAUGUUCAAAAUAAAUAUUUAAAUCUGCUAAUUUAAUUAAUUAAAUAUUUAUUUUCUUAUUAUAAAUAAAUAAAUUAAUAUUCAUGCAAAACCACUAUUCUUGACAUCUCUUGCAUUGAUAGAGUAGUUUAUUGAAAUUUAAUAUUUUUACAUGAUUUGUUUGUAAGUAAAAUAUCAAGUAGAAAACAUGUUUUUCAAGCAUUGUCCCUCUUAUACAUACACUAGGCAUUGUUCCUUAAUUAAAUGUCUAGAAAUGAUUAAGUAUAAUUUAAUCAACAUACUUAUUAUAUGCAUAUAAAUAUGAAUUGAAAUAGGUUUUGAUUUUGAUGAAUUGACGUGUAUUUUGCUAUUAAUUUUAUAUGAAAGAUGUAUAAUUAUUGUGUAACUCAACUGACUUUUGUUUAAUAGUGAAUUAUUAUGUAGUUGUGUUAAUUAUUAUGUAGACACUAAUGAUAAAAAAAUCCAGCAGGUUCAUAUUAAAUUAACAUGUUACUAGACAAAUAUUUCAAGCGUAAAUCUAUUGAGGAUGAAGAGUCAAUCAAAGCUUCAAGUCAUGUAACUCAAUCAAGUUCAAAGAAAAGUCAUAUUGAAAUCAACCCCGACACUCUCCUUGUUGACCCUGGCUUAAGAAGACCAAUUUAUAAGUACCAUAUAAAUGAUAGGGAUGCAAUCCGAAGAGCUUAUCUACAAAAAGAUCCUUGUCAACCUUCACACUAUGAUUUUCCAUAUAUGUUUGAAUUGAUUUCUAAUGCAUGUCUAUAUAAUAUAGUAUUUGUUAAUAAUUUGCCUCCUCAUUUAAAAAACUCUGGCUCCGCCACUGAAUUGAGCCGAUUAGAAGAUGAUUUGAGUUCUUAAAUUUUCUUGCUUAAAAUGUAAUGUAACAUGAAUCUGCAGAUGAUCAUUAAAUUAGAAGGGAAAUUUAAUUUUGCCCUGUUUAUCUAAAGUUGUGCAAGUUCUCUGCAUUGAUGAUUUCAGUGAAUCUGUACAGAUCUUGUUUUCCUUCUAUUUGUCCUUGAAUAAACUUAUUGCACUUGUUUAACAUUCUUUGUCUCUCUCUCUUAGUUAAAUCUAGCAAAAUUUAUGAGGUAUGUUGUGCCACUCAUUUAGACUUGGAUGUGCGUGUUUAGCUCUCCUUUUUGGAUUAAGGUGAUUAUGCACAAAUUCAAUGGAAUCAACAUUGCAGAAAACUUGCAUAGAUUUUGUUAAUAUUGGAAAAAUUAAAUUUCCUUUUCUAAUUAAAUGAAAAUCUCUACUAAAUAAUAUGCUAUUUGAAUUGUCACUGCACUCAUGAAUGCUGCACCAGGGUAAAGCUACAAAUGUCAGUUUAAUAUCUGCCUCUACCUAGCUCGGCCUACAAUACCAAAGCUUCUCUCCUACAAAUGCCAGUUUAAUAUCUGCCUCUACCUAGGUUGGCCUACAUACAAUACCAAAGCUUCUCUCAACUAAACAUGAUGACCAGCACUCACAACCAUAACAGAACCAGUGGAAGCCAACUACUACAUAUUUGAUCAACAAGGUCAAAUUCAGUCAAGUUUUUAAGGAAAUCCAGUGAAAGAGGAACCUAAAAUUUUCUGUUUAGAUUUUCUUCUACUGCUAAGAACAAGCGCGGCCUUAAAUUGAAUUGUUUCAGUCACUACUCCUCCAUUGUAAAUAGAGGAUACCGCUUUCAAUAUUUAUUUCUAGAAGGAGAAUGGAAAACAGAAAAUGGCAUUAAAAGAUCCUAAUUUAACAUUUCCAUAGAGCAAAAAUGUUAAAAAAAGAGAGAGGAUAGAUUAAAUUUGAAAACAGAGGCAUGAGAAAUGCAUUGCCUUAACCAACCUUCUUUGACUGCUGGUUUCCUCUUUUGCAGCAACUUGUUCGUCCCUGCUACUAUUGUUUGUACUGCCAGUAUCACUAGCAUAAUGCCUUUGCAUUGCACUUUGAGCCAGCCGGAACAAGCUAUCCCGAAUACAAAGUCUAAUUCUGACAUCCAACUGUUGUAAAACAUUGGUUUGGAAUCGUAACCAAGCACAAAUUAUUUAGCAGGGAAAGAAUGCAAUAGUACGUGAAGCAUACCUUUGAAAUAAUAUCUUGAAGCCUGUAGAGUACUGUGUCCUCCAUUGAAUAAUCAUUAACCGCCAGAGAGACUGUAUUGGAAUCGUCUUGCUCAAUAGGUGAGUUUGGGUCAAAUGAAGCAAGUGUACUUAGAUCCUCUACUUCAAGGUCAGCUCCUUCAACAUGCUGAAUUUGAUUUUCUUGGGAACACUUUUGAUGAACAAGCUGCUGCUGCUGUUUCUGAAUGGCAAGCAUUGCCUGAAUUUGUUGCCGCCUCAAUUUUUCAAUCUUUUCCUGAGGUGUCAUUCUCUGGGGUUUCACUGGACAGUCAGCUAACUUGUUUAUAGGAUUUGCAUUGCCUGAAACUUCAUAACCAGAAAUUUUAGGUCGAUGAUUAAAUGACUAGAAAUUUUGUUGGGAAGUCAGAAAACUUUAACAGGAUUCGCAUUACCUGAAGAAACUUCAUAACCAGAAGCUAAAGGUUGAUGCUUAAAAUCCCCAGACUGAAUGUGGGACAACCCAGGCAUAGAAUAUGGAUUUGUAGUACUCCCGUAUGCAGAAGGGGCCACAAAUGGAUUGGAUAUCUGCUGGUACUGCAACUGCUGGUACAUCUAUAAUCAAAGUAAAAGGCCAAGAUUCAAAAUAUCCAAAAGAAAUAUUACCUACUUAUAUGCCAAAAAUGGCCAAAACUCUGAAUCCUGAAUAUGUGAAUCAAAGGUAUCUCUAACUGAUGCACCAUCAGCAGUCUCCUAUUUUGACUUGUGAUUAAUGACCUAGCAGUUCACUUCAACAACAUCAUUGAAAGGUCCCUAGUGAACAUAAGUUUGAAUUUCAGACCCAGCAAGAAGAAGUUCAUUUUCCAGUAGGCAUGCAUAUCACCUUUUUAUCAAUAUCCAUGGAAGACAAAAACCAAGCAAUAUCAAGUUUUUUUCUGCUGGAUAUCCAAUAAAAAAUACCUCAAAGUGUGAACAUCUUUAAGAAGGAGGAUAUCGCAUUGCACCCCAUCAACUGAUCCACAAAUAAAUUGGCAUUUUUCCAUCAGUUCCAAGCUACUUUGUAAGGAAAAGGGAGGGAAGUGCCUUCAAAGAUACCUUCUUCAUAGCUUCUUUAGAUAUGAAUCCACACGACUUUCGUAAUCACCAAUCACUAUGCGCACCUUCUCUUAUCAUCACAAGUUCCCAAGAAAAAUUAUAUUCUUCCCUCCUCCAGCCCUUUCCCUACAUAUUUCCACCAGCUUCAUAGCAAUGCGGCCCGUGAAAACGACUCCCAAAUUAAAACACUUGAGAAGCUCUAAUAGUUUUCCACAAAGACCUACUUUUCUUAUUAUUUCUUCACUCUAUAUAUGUCAGUGUGCCAUAUUCAAAUACUACUGAUCGAUUCUUCCUCCUCACAACCACUCACUUUCCCCUAAAUCCCAUACCACAACCACUCCUUAAUCUUCAACUAAAUCAAUAUCUCUCAUCACUUAUGAAAACUCCAUCUAAUUUCCAAAUGAAUCACACCAUUUGAACACUUUGCCAAUUCCUAAUUCCUUCAAAAUUUUCAUCCAUUAAAAAAAAAACUGCAAGUCAUACUUUUUCACUUUAACACAGUUCUCCUUAUAAUCAAUCUUCCAAAAUAACCAUACUAUUGCCUCUAAAUCUGGCACGCAAAGCUUCUACAUAACCUUCCAACGUUACUUCUUGCCGCCCAACAAGGGCGGCGGCAUGCAUGGGCUAGGGUAGGCUCUAGUACAGGUCAAGAUUUUAUCAAUAUUUUUGUAUUAGUUUUAUGUAAAGAAAAUAUGAUGCUUUAGUUUGGGUUAAAAUUUCAGAAUUUUUAAAGAAAUUCAGAAAUUUGAUAAAAAAAAUCAUAAUUUGACCAGUUUUACGUUAUUGAGUGUAAUUUUUAAUCUGAUUAUCAGAUUGAGCUAAAAUUUUACGAGGGAUCUUAAAAUAUAUUGAAUAAAAUCUGGUUUAAAUUUUAGAAUGAACAGAGUUUGGUAGUGCUAACAAAAAAAAAACAUCAAAUAAAAGCAAAACGACUCAUUAAAGGUAAAAUUGUUAUUUGCCAUUAAAAAAUAAAACAAAUCAGUUCUUCCUUCCUUUAUAUGUUGCCGACUGGGCAGAAGCAUAAUAGAAAAUGAAAGAAAAGAAAAGGCGAGAGAGAAAGAGAGAAAAAUAAGGGAAAAACAUAAAAAAAAUCCUAGAAAAAAAGAUAAGAAAAGUGAGAAAAUAACCGUGUAAACUUACAAAGUCCAACUUAUAAAAUAUUAAUCUAAGUAAGAAUCAAGUGAAGAAAAGAGGAAUUGAGAGAGAAACAAAAUUUAAUUACUCUAUUUUUAAUUAAUAUAAAAUUAUUAUUUUAUCCCGAUUAAGAGAUUGCUACAAACUCCUCAAAGUACUCAAAGAGGGACAUAAAUUGGUUAAGCCAACAUUUUUCAUUCUUCUAUUUUCACGCUGGCAUUCUGUUACAAAUACUAACUGAAAGAGCGGAUAAAAGAACAACUUCCAAUUAUCAAGCAAUAGCCAACACGUGGCAAGAUUCUCAGCUAAAUAAAAGAAACACCAACAUUUAAACGAUGUGUCUGGGUGGUAAUUGAAACGGUGUGUUUUGUGACACAAUACCCCUACAAUCGUCUAACAGCCAUGCGGUGCAUUUAGUAGGAUUCAAACAUCUUGCAACGGUCACUAGAUUCAAAUGCUCUCCAUCCUCGCCUCCUCCCCUUGAUGAUUCUUUUGACCCUGCAAGUUCUGUGACAAUCUCUCUCUCUCAAUUAAAUCUAGCAAAAUUUAUUCUUUCCAACUUUAUUUGUUUUGACUGAAAAAUAAUCUUUUAUUUUUGUACUUCACAGGCAUGUGGUGGCAAAAGUCGAGCACUAUAUAUAUAUAUAUAUAUUCCUGAAGAUACAUAUGGCUGGUGAUUAGCGGAUGAUGGUGCCAUUAAGACUCUUGGUGUGUACCCUCAUCCUUUCUGCUUAUAGUUGAGUCCAUUUGCAGCUUCAAUGGCUACUAUCAGUUGCUUUGGAACCUGAUAUCACUAGUCUCAUUAUGGUACAGACAAGCUCAGGAUGAUCAAUCCUUGAGAAUCCACAUCCAACCAGAAAUAAACCGAAUUUCGAGCAUAAAUGACUCGAACUCGCUGGAAUGCUUUGGCACCUCCUUCAAUCCUAGUUUGGGAAACAGAAACACUAUCACCAUUAGUUUUCACCGAGGAAGACAGCACCCCCAUUCUCUCCUGCUGUGCUGAUGAUGGGGCAUGAGAGAUAGUCCAAAGGAUUUGCCUCCCUCCUGCCGCAAGCAAUUAGAAUGGUUAUCACCAGACCUAUAAGGAUCAGUUUUUCUUUUCGGACUGAAAAAAACAUGAAGAGAGAAGUCACCAUAUGUGUACCUAGCCGCAGAGACAGCUGUUUCAGUGCUGGGGAAAACUCCAGGCUCUGAUAAAUCUUUGGCAGAUCGUUCUGUGGCGAACGAGGGCGGUGGUAUACUGCAAACUCAAAAGCAAUUUGUGACACAGAUUACUCAAAAUUAUGCCACAAGUGUCAAGGGUGUAAAUCUAUCAUGAAAUCAUCACGUCGUUGUUUUCCACUCGGUAUAAAAAAGAAGUCACACGCCUUAGAGGUUAAAUAAAUUUAUGAAGUUCACCAGCAUAAUUCACACUAAUUCCCCUCUCCAACUUGCACCUCAUCAAUUUUUAUACCUUUACUCUCGAACGAAAAUAAUAAUAUCUAAGUUAUUAAACCCAACUUGAAUUAUAAUUCAAGCAGUGGGUUAACAUAAAUCAAUACAAAGUGAUGUGACUUUUAAGAGUUUUUUGAAAAAACAAAUUAAAAUGAUGUGAAUCUUUUUUAAAUUAAACUGAGUUUUAAUUGAUUAAAUAAGUUGGAUUACACCAGUCAAAUCCUAUCCGAUUUAAUUUAAAAUCCAAUCCAAUCUCUUAACUUACCUUGAGUUGGGUUAACACUAUUAUUGACAGACCAAAUUCUCAAUCUUUAUUUAUUAUAAUCACGAUCCAACUCAUUAAUUUUAAAUGGGCCUACAAAACCUUCAACUUGCCAUAAAAAAUAAAACUUCAUACUCAUACUCAUUAGCGGUUCUGCAUCCUAUUUUAUAAAAGACACUCCAACAUAAUUAAAGUAGUAUUUAAUAUUUUGGUAGUAAUUAUUCUUUAAAGUAUUUUUUAUUUAGAAAUAUAUAUAAAUAAUUUUUAUUUUUUAUUUUUAAAAAUUAAUAUUUAACAUUAUAUAUUAAAACAAUCUAAAAACAUAAUUUUUUUAAAAAACUAUUAUUAUUUUAAAAAAACUGUAUCACCAUACAAACAAAUCCAAAAACACAAUUAUUUUAAAAAAAUUAUAUCACCGUAAAAACAAAUAAUUUUUAAGAGUGACAGUGAGCAACAGAAAUAAACCAUGGCAGAAACUAAAAACACCUUUAAUGAAAAUUGCGCUUCGAUUCACAACGUUUUCAUCCUUGACCAAUGCUCGACAAAGUAGACGAUGGGUCAAAAUAGGGCUAAUAUGCUGUGUAUGUUUGAUAAUGCAGUGAAUAUAAUUUUCUAAAAAUAUUUUUCGAUUAAUAAAAUAUUUCUUAAAGAAAUUUUCAAUAAUUUUGUUAAGAAAUUUGCGUGGACAGACAUUUUAAAGAAUGAUGCUAAAUUUGGUGUUACAUAGGCAGCUGCUGGCUCCUCUUGUAUCUUUUGGGGUUUGGCAUCGUUUGUUUCCUGCCGUUGUCUAUUCUCCGGUCGUCGAAGCUGACUGCAAUCCUCUGACUCUGUUCUCAUAGUCAGAUGCUUCCUCUGUUUUCUCCUGGCAUUAAAAUUACAGCUGACCUUCAAAUCUUAUUGAUGAUAUGCCUUUGGUCAUUUUCAUGAAUGGUGCUUGGUGUUGUCUUCUAGUGUUUGCAGUACUGAAUAUGAAAUGAGCUACGCCUGGUUACUCAAUUCAUUAACCUCCCUACUUUUAAUUAUAUAUAUAUAUAUAUAUAUAUAUAUAUAUAUAUAUAUAUAUUUUCUAAUCCAAGUAAAAUGAAUUAUAUUAUUUUUUAAAAUAAAUUUAAUCUCAAAUAAAAAUUUUACUUUCUAAAAUAAAAUAUGAAUUAUAUUAUUUUAAAAAUUUGCUUGAGUUACAUGAGGUUUUAUGGCAGCCCAGUAACGGACUCUUAGCAGAAUACCAGGCUGUUAGGCCUCCCUUUUCAUCAUUUUGAGCUUUACCGGUUACGCUUUUUUUGAGGAUGAAUAUUCUUAUUUAUUUUAUUUUUUCAACUUAAGGAUGAACAGUAUGUUUAUUAAAGACUGCAUUAACAGCCGGCUGCUAUUUUGAGUUCUGCGGGGCUUUUUGGAAGUGCCUUCCGUUUAGGGAAAAUUUGGAUUUUUUAUUUAAUUUUUUUUUACAUAAUGUUUAAAAUAAUUUUAAAAAAUAAAAAAAUUAUGGUAAUGUAUUUUUACUUACUUUAAAAAUCAUCCACUUGAUUAAUGGGCAUUAGCUGUUUAACACCACAUGGUAAAAACUUCGGGUUCCUUCCCUACGUACCCUUUUCCUCACUGGUUCUACAAUGUCUCUGGGUGGGUCCAUCUGUGCAAGUGCCUUGUAAAAUUGCCUUAUUCAGUAGUAUUUGUAAUUUUGUGUAGAGCUGGUAUCAUUCUUUGAAAUCAUAGUUAUUACGUCAUUGAGUUAACUCGUGUGUUAAUUAUAGGAUCAAUCAUUUUACUUUGUUUUUUUUCUUUAAAAAGAACAAAAUUUCUUGUAUUGACCUCAGUGUAUUUAGAUAAGAUUUUAUCAGUACAGUUGGGUAAUUAAGAAUCUAGUUGAGUCAAAUGGUUUUUGAUCAUAUUAAUGUUUUUUCUAGUUGAAUUUUAAACAUGAUCUAGAUUAGACUCUAGAUUAUGAAUUCCAUGUAUUAACUCACCAUCAAAUUUAACAGCUUUGCUAUAUUUUGGAAUAACAUAUAUAUAAAUAAAAAAAUUAAUAUAUUUUGAAGUAAAAUAUAUUUUUAAAACAUAUUUAAAAAAACAAACAAUAUUUUACUCACAAACAGAUAAUCCUAUUGCAUCUUAAACUCCAAGUUUCCAACAAUGAGUACCCCCAACUAAACAAUAUCUACAUUCAAUUAGAACUUGUGGUAUAGUUACCUGACAGCGAAAUAAAAAAGAAGAAGUAGGAACCCCCCUGGAUCUAGGAAAUUUCUAUUAGACCUGCAAACUGAGGCCGUAACGAGCUUUGGAUCUACACACAGGGAAGAGUAAUUUCAAUAGACCAUGAUCCAAAUCAACGGCUGAAAUCUAAUAACUCAAGGGAUAGUGACACGUUGCCAGGAGUGGAAGACAGCUGGUCUCCAGUACGAAGAGAAACAGCAACGUUUUUGUUGUUUAAAAUGGAGUGUUUGUCUUCAUUGUUUCAUGGGAAAUGGGCUGAUGUCAGAUGGAGAAAUUUCUGUGCCGAUCCACUGGAGAGAGAGACUUCUUCAACCACCAAUCAAAUUAUUCUUAUUGACUUUCUGUGCAGUUUGGCACUUUCCUUCGCUCAUUCUCUCUUUGCACCACAAACACUUGGUAUUUUAAAAAGAGAAACUAAGCACGGUUUUGCUGUCAAAGUUGUUGUUUUCGUAUUUUAAAAGAGUUUUUUUAAAAAAUUAAUUUGUUUUUUAUUUUUUAUCAAUUUUUUAAUUGUCUCCAUAAUAGAAAGAUACCAUCCCCACAAUACAAAACUCUUAAAAAAAAAGAUACCUGUCGUUGUGCUGUUUUAUCGAUAUCACAAGCCACGCGAGUAGCGUGAUUAGAGUGAUUUUGUAUGGGACCCAGUUGUGACAUCAGCUGCUUUUGUGUUUUUUCUUUCAAUCACAGCUUGAUAGUAGGCAUGGCAUGAUUGAUGAUUGAUGGGGGGAGGGGAAAUGGGAGCCACACGAUCCAUUUCAUGGUUGGUUGGUUUUUUUAUUAACGUGGUUUUACUGUCGGUUUGCUUCUAUUUUAACUAAUUUUACAAAUCUAAAAUAUAACUAGUUAACCUGCUGUUGUAUUAUUUUAUUUCACGGUUGUUUCUUGCUUGUGGAAGAUCAUGUCAUAACGGAUCUUACGGGAUCGAUACCUUGCUCGGUGUUGAUUUACUACAAUGGCUGCACGUGAACCCGUCCACCAGAACAAAUCCCAACCAGUGUCCGUCUAUCACACUCAAAUUAAUUUGAGAUUUCUGUUCCAGUGCCUCCAGAGAAGAGUAUAGUUGUUAAUCAUCUUUUAUUUUUGUGUUUUAUAAUUUUUUUAGGGUAAAUUCUCAUAUAACUUAUCAUAAUAUCUAAUCUCUACAAACCGACUGCAUCAUUAAAUUUAAUUUUCUUGAAAUAUUUUUUAUGAACAAGCUCCCAUUGCUGUUUCUGAUGACAAGCAUUGCUUAAUUUGUUAUUGCCUCCUUGAUUUUAAAUAUAUAUUUAAAAAUUAUAAAUCAUUUACAUAUAUAAAUUUGGAUACCGAGGUUAAUCAUGUUGGAUAAUAUCACUUCCACCUCCAUAUCCAAACAAGUAAGGUUUUUUUUAUCCAUCAUUAUGGAACAAAAAUCCCUCCAUAUUCACUUUUAUUCAGGUAAAUGGAUGUGAACGGGUUCAAUUGUCAUUUCUAAAAUUAAUUAAGCCCAAGUUAUCGAUAAAUGUAUUAGGAAAUCAAGUUUUUAUUAUUUAUUAUGAUUUUUAAUAUAUUUAUAUAGUAAAAUCCCUCGUAUAUAUAUUGAAUGCUCUUUCUCCAUCAAAGCUAAUGGAAAUGUGUAUAAAUUAUCAUUUUCUCCCCCAUUUAAGUUUUUGACAAUCAAUCGAUGGUUUGAUAGCAUUUAAUAUAUAGAUCACUGACCUGCUGGUGAGCAUUACCAAGCAUGUUCUGCAGCCGAAGCUAGAAAGACUACCUGCUGAGCAGAAGCAACAACUGGUGGAUAAGUAUAAGAUGGAAGACAAACAGGUAUUAUAUAGCUCUGAGGUGUGAUGGCAAAGAUUGAAUAACAUUAUAAAGGGGACAUACUCUUGCUUUCAGCAUCCUCGUGUGGAUUUAACUAGCACUCAUCUCAUUUCACAUUCACAGGCCUCCCUGUUCCCAGAAAUUAGCUCAAUGCUCCUUUUAGUUCCUCAAGAUUUAAUUUUGGUGGAAUCUAAUUAAUAACAGAUAAAAGCAACAUUCAUAAGCAGAUUGUUUCAGAGCUCUUAACUGCAAGUUCAGGGGAAAUGCAUUUAAGCCUGGAACGGUGCGGGGCCUGUAUCUACGUUUAUGCCUAAGAAUAGUUUCUCUUAAGUUAUGAUUAGAAGUAUAAAUUUGAAGUCACAAGCUAGCAGUGAUGGUGAAUUGUGUUUGAACUCUUUGCAUUUCAUCAUCCUCUACUGCCAUGACACGUCCUAGAUGACUGGAUGCUGUGGAUGUGACCUGGACCAUAGCCAUGACAGUCUCCUUUCCUACCCUUUUCCUCGCUGGUUCCUUGACAUCUUCGGGUGGGUGCAGGUGCCUUGUUAAAUUGUCUGAGUCAUUAUCGGUAAUUUUGUGCAGAACUGUUAUUAUUCUUUGAAAUCAGACCGGGUUCGAGGAUCGAGUAUAAAAGAAUUUGGAAUCAUUUUAUUAAAAUGAUUUUUUUAAAAACAAAUUCCUUAGUAUUUAUUUAAUCAAGUUUAAAUCAGAUUUUUAUCUGGUCAAAUAAAUCAUUAAAAAUUCAAUUGAGAUAAUAAGAUUUUAUCAUAUCACCAUUUUUUCUAAUUCAAUUUUAAACUUGGUUUAUAUCAAUAUUUGGAGGAUGUGCUCUCCAUAUGAAAUCAGUAUGCAGGAAAGAGUUUAAAAACUAUACUAUAUAUAGAAAAAAUAUUUUGAAAUAAAAUGAUAUAUAUAUAAAACCCUCAAGGUCUAGGGUCCACCGGUGAAAGCAUGAAGUGAAGGGUUCUUCUGCAUUAUUAGCACAAGUGAAAAGAAAGAUUAUAUUGGGCAUAUAAUAAAGUUAUUCCAACCAAACCCUCUUUUUCGACCGAUGGGGUCUCUUGGCAAAUAAAUCAAGGACAGACCGAUGGGGUCUCUUGGCAAAUAAAUUAUAAUUAAUUUUUUUUUGGAGUGAUUUUUUAUCUUUUGAUUAUGUAAAAUUUAGUAUUUUGUUUUUCCUUUAGCUUCUGCAAUUUGAUAUUUACGUUCAAUUUCUAUAAUUUGUGUUGUGUUUUGGAGUAAUCAUAUAAUUUCGAGAAUAUAUUUAUUUAGUUUCUGCGAUAUCUAUUCACUUUCUGUAAUUUGAUACUUUAUUUUUCGUUGCUUUUGCUUUCUGUUUUUUUAUUUGUUAAUUAUGGCUACCGAAAUAGAUGAUUCGUUUCAGUCUGUGAGAGGUUGGAUGAAAAUAAUUAUUCGUACUAGUAAUGAGAAAUUUCUUUAAGGGUAAGAAGAUGUGGGUGUAUGUUAGUGGAACUUAUAUGAUACCCAAGAAUACCGAGAAAAGUGAUGUUAUUUUGAUAGAUAUAUGGGAAGCAAAUAAUACAAAGAUUAUUAUUUGAAUCAACAAUUCUGCCGAGCAUUCUAUAGGUAUAUAGUUGGCGAAGUAUGAGACAACAAAGAAGAUUUAAAAUCAUCUGCAAAGAUUAUUCAUGCAAUCAAAUUUUAUAAAGCAAUAUAAUACCCCCAAAAGUCAUGGUAGUAAUGAAUAUUUGAUUUUUUUUUAAUGAAAACUAGAGAACUAUAUUAGAAGAAAAAAACCUGCUAUUUAGGAUUAAUUAAUUGCUUUAAUUCAAUUCUUUCUAUUGACAUUGAUACCAAACAUGUUAAUUCAUAAUAUAAUCAAGUAAUUCAAUUCAAAUUUACUAAUACAAUUCAACUCCACUUAAGCCUUUGAAUAUAGCCAAAUGCAAAGGUUAUUAAAGUGAAGGAUCUUAAUAAUUUUUAUGCUUUGCAACCCUAGGAGCCACACAAAAUAUAAUGUGUUUAGACCAUAUUUAUUUGCUGAAAAGUAAUUUCUUUUUAUAAAGAGAUUUUAUCAUAAGUGAAUUAUUUUUUUAUAUUUGAUAAUACCAUGAAAAAUAAGUUGGAAAAUAUCUUUUAAUAUUUAAUUAUGUCAUGAAAGAUGAGGUGAAAAAUAAUUUUUUUAUUUUUUAUUUUUUUUCAAGUUUAUUAAAAGAAUGAGAAACAAGUCUUACAUAUAAAAAUAUUAAAGGAGGAUGAAAUUGGAAAAAAAAUUUAUUUUCAUAAACUAUUUCAAAUAAAAUAAAUAACAAUAAAAAGAAUUAGGACCAAAUCUGAUAAAUAAAAAAAUUUAAUUAAAAAAAGAUAAGAUAAAAGAAAAUAAAAAUAAAAAUAAAAAGAAUGAGAAUCAAAGUUGAUAUAAAAAUAAGAUUAAAUCAAAUUAUACGGGAUAGAAUUGAAAAAAAAACAUUCAAAACAAAAUGUAUAGCAAUCAAAAGAUUAAGGACUAAAUUGGAUACAAUCAAUAAAUAACAAGAUAUUUUUAAAUUUUUUACAAUUUCUAGAAAAAUUUUUCAGUCCAAAAUAAAUAUAAAAUAAUUUUCUAGAAAUCAAAUCAAAUUUAAUAUUUUUUAUUUUUAAAAAAUGAUUUUUAAUAUAAAAUAUCAAAAUAAUUAUAUGUAAAGUAAUAUAAAUAAUGUUUUUUUCAUUUUAAAAUAUUAAUAUAUUAAAAUAAUAUGAUAACAUAAAAAAAAUAUUAAAUUAAAAUAAAAAAAAUAAUUUUAAUAUUUUUAAAAUACGUUCAAAAAGAAAUUCCAAACACUAGCAAUAUGGGUGCUUCAUAAGAAAGAUCGAAGGUGACAUUCAUUAUAACUCUACUGCCCCACAUCUCUCUCCUACCUGCAGCAACCACUAAUAGAAUGUUCAUGGCGUCUUCUUCUUCUUCUUUGCCUAGACCUGGUUGGGUUUACGAUGUAUUUCUAAGUUUUAGAGGUGAAGAUACUCGCAAAAAUUUUACGGAUCAUCUUUACACUGCUUUACUCCAAGCAGGAAUCCAUACAUUUCGAGACGACGAAAAACUUCGUAGAGGUGAAGAAAUCUCCUUCCAACUCUCCAAAGCAAUACAAGAAUCCAAGAUUUCUAUAGUGGUUUUCUCUGAGGGCUAUGCUUCCUCCACUUGGUGUCUUGGUGAACUUCAAAAGAUUCUUGAUUGCAGACACACAACUGGGCAGAUUGUUCUACCUGUUUUCUAUGAUAUCGAUCCUUCUGAUAUUAGAAAGCAGACGGGGAGUCUUGCUGAAGCCUUUGGUAAACAUGAAGAAAGUUUUAAGGAAGAAAUGGAGAAGGUCCAAAAGUGGAGAAAAGCUCUUUUGGAGGCUGCAAAUUUAUCUGGGUUGGAUCGUCGCAGUAUCGCAAAUGGGUGCUUCUUUUCUUUCCCUAUAUCGAUAGCAAAUGCUUAUAACUUUUACUCUUAUUACAUUUUGCAUUUUAAAUUUGCAUUAAAUUCAAAAUAUUAUCUUUCAUCGAUGAGUGAUGACUUUCUUUUUCUAUGCACAGGCAUGAGUCAAAAUUAAUUCAAAAGAUUGUCGAAGACGUUUCAAGUAUUUUGAAUCCCAGAAACAUAAACGAUAGGUUGCUGAAGAGGUUGAAGACAACAAUGAUAUCUGGCAAUGGGCUGCUUGACGAUGCUGAGGAGAAGCAGAUAACAAAUAAAGCUGUGCGGGAUUGGCUGGCCGAGUAUAAAGACGCUGUCUAUGAAGCCGACGACUUCUUGGAUGAGAUUGCUUAUGAAGCUCUACGGCAGGAGUUGGAAGCUGAAGCACAAACCUUCAGAGAUCAGACGCAGAAGCUUCUUUCUUUCAUUAACCCACUUGAAAUAAUGGGGUUGAGGGAGAUAGAAGAAAAAUCAAGAGGCCUCCAGGAGAGUCUAGAUGACUUAGUAAAACAAAAGGAUGCCCUUGGUUUGAUCAACCGCACUGGUAAAGAACCAUCAUCGCAUAGAACACCAACAACUUCUCACGUGGAUGAAUCUGGUGUUUAUGGUAGAGAUGAUGACAGGGAAGCAAUACUGAAGUUGCUUCUAUCAGAGGAUGCAAAUAGAGAAAGCCCGGGUGUCGUCUCCAUAAGGGGAAUGGGCGGGGUUGGUAAAACCACGCUUGCUCAGCAUGUAUACAAUCGCAGCGAAUUACAAGAGUGGUUCGGUCUCAAAGCCUGGGUUUAUGUUUCAGAAGAUUUUAGUGUUUUGAAGUUAACCAAGAUGAUCCUUGAGGAGGUCGGUUCAAAGCCUGAUUCUGAUAGUCUGAAUAUUCUCCAGCUUCAGUUGAAGAAGAGAUUGCAGGGAAAGAGAUUUUUGCUUGUUCUAGAUGACGUUUGGAAUGAAGAUUAUGCUGAGUGGGACAAGUUGCUUACCCCCCUGAAGUACGGAGCACAAGGGAGUAAGAUUCUUGUCACAACACGCAAUGAAAGUGUAGCAUCAGUCAUGCAAACUGUCCCAACUCAUCAUCUAAAAGAAUUGACGGAAGACAGCUGCUGGUCCUUGUUUGCCAAACAUGCAUUUCGUGGUGAAAAUCCCACUGCUCAUGAAGAGUUGCUAGAAAUUGGUAGAGCAAUAGCGAGAAAGUGUAAAGGCCUUCCUCUAGCUGCAGUAACACUCGGAGGUCUGCUACGCACCAAAAGAGAUGUAGAGGAGUGGGAGAAGAUAUUGGAAAGCAAUCUAUGGGAUUUACCCAAAGACAAUAUCCUCCCAGCUUUGAGAUUAAGUUAUCUUUAUCUCCUGCCACAUCUGAAGCAAUGUUUUGCUUAUUGUGCUAUAUUUUCAAAAGACUAUUCAUUUCGAAAGGAUGAAUUAGUGCUCCUGUGGAUGGCAGAGGGCUUCUUAGUCCACUCUGUAGACGAUGAGAUGGAAAGAGCAGGUGCUGAGUGCUUUGAUGAUCUCUUGUCAAGGUCGUUUUUCCAGCAAUCAAGCUCAUCAUUUGUGAUGCACGAUCUCAUGCAUGACUUGGCUACCCAUGUGUCCGGUCAAUUUUGCUUCAGCUCCAGGUUGGGGGAAAAUAAUUCUUCCAAGGCCACCAGAAGGACUCGACAUUUAUCACUCGUAGAUACGAGAGGCGGUUUUUCAAGUACAAAAUUAGAAAACAUCCGUCAAGCCCAACUUCUACGCACAUUCCAAACUUUUGUACGCUAUUGGGGUCGUUCUCCUGAUUUUUAUAAUGAGAUCUUUCAUAUAUUGUCAACACUUGGGCGCCUACGUGUGCUAUCCUUGUCUAACUGUGCCGGUGCAGCUAAGAUGCUUUGUUCAACUAGCAAGUUGAAGCAUUUGCGGUAUUUGGAUCUCUCUCAGUCAGAUUUAGUAAUGUUGCCUGAAGAAGUGAGUGCUCUUCUCAAUUUGCAAACGUUGAUCUUGGAAGAUUGCCUCCAACUUGCUAGUCUACCUGAUCUUGGAAAUUUGAAGCACUUACGACAUCUGAAUCUUGAAGGAACAGGAAUCGAAAGGUUGCCUGAAUCUCUGGAAAGGUUAAUCAACUUGCGGUAUCUUAACAUCUCAGGCACGCCUUUGAAAGAGAUGCUACCACAUGUGGGUCAACUGACAAAGCUCCAAACGUUGACUUUCUUUCUCGUGGGAGGACAGAGUGAGACUAGCAUUAAAGAAUUGGGAAAGCUACAACAUCUACGGGGACAACUUCAUAUUAGGAACCUUCAAAACGUGGUGGAUGCUCGGGAUGCUGCUGAGGCAAAUUUGAAAGGUAAAAAGCACCUUGAUAAGCUGAGGUUUACAUGGGAUGGUGACACUCAUGACCCGCAACACGUAACAAGCACACUUGAGAAAUUAGAGCCAAAUAGAAAUGUGAAGGAUCUUCAGAUUGAUGGUUAUGGAGGUGUAAGAUUUCCGGAGUGGGUAGGAGAGUCCUCUUUCUCAAAUAUAGUGUCCUUGGUGCUCAUUAGCUGUAGAAACUGCACCUCCUUACCACCGCUCGGGCAAUUAGCUUCUUUAGAGAAACUCUUAAUUGAAGCAUUCGAUAAAGUUGUAACUGUGGGCUCUGAGUUUUAUGGGAAUUGUACUGCUAUGAAGAAGCCAUUUGAAUCCCUCAAAAGAUUAUUUUUUUUAGAUAUGCGAGAGUGGUGCGAGUGGAUUUCAGACGAAGGCAGCCGGGAAGCCUUCCCUCUUCUUGAUGAGCUUUACAUAGGAAAUUGCCCCAACCUUACAAAAGCCCUACCCAGUCACCACCUUCCACGUGUAACAAGACUUACAAUUAGUGGAUGUGAGCAGCUUCCUAGGUUUCCUAGGUUGCAGUCUCUCUCUGUUUCUGGAUUCCACUCCCUAGAGUCGCUCCCCGAGGAAAUUGAGCAAAUGGGUUGGUCACCCUCUGAUUUAGGGGAAAUUACAAUCAAGGGCUGGGCUGCUCUCAAAUGCGUCGCACUGGACUUGUUCCCCAAGUUAAAUUCUCUUUCUAUCUAUAACUGUCCAGAUCUCGAAUUACUAUGUGCACAUGAAAGACCUCUCAAUGAUCUCACCUCUCUACAUUCUUUGAUAAUCCGGGAGUGCCCUAAAUUAGUUUCAUUUCCCAAAGGAGGAUUACCUGCUCCAGUCUUGACACGACUUAAGUUACGGUAUUGCAGAAAGUUAAAGCAGUUGCCUGAGUGCAUGCAUUCCCUCCUCCCAUCCCUUUCGCAUUUGGAAAUAAGAGAUUGUUUAGAACUUGAGUUGUGUCCAGAAGGGGGUUUUCCUUCCAAAUUACAAUCACUUGAGAUUUGGAAAUGUAACAAACUCAUUGCAGGCCUCAUGCAAUGGGGCUUGCAAACGCUCCCUUCUCUCUCACGUUUUACAAUUGGUGGCCACGAAAAUGUUGAAUCCUUCCCUGAAGAGAUGCUUCUGCCCUCAAGUCUUACAUCUCUUCACAUCUAUGACCUAGAACACGUGAAAUCUCUUGACUACAAGGGGCUUCAACACCUCACCUCUCUUACAGAAUUGGUGAUUUCUAGCUGCCCUCUGAUUGAGUCAAUGCCAGAAGAAGGGUUGCCCUCCUCCCUUUUUUCUCUUGAAAUUAAAUAUUGUCCCAUGCUGAGUGAAAGUUGUGAAAGGGAGAAAGGUAAAGAUUGGCCCAAGAUUUCUCACAUUCCUCGCAUAGUUAUUUUCCCAACAUCAGCGGAGCAAAAAAGUAGCAGUUAAAAGGAGCUUUUCUUUCAAUCGUCCAACAUAUUGAGGUAUUGCUACUAAAGAGUUUAUUUUCUUUUCAGUAAUCAAAGGCAAUUUCAGUUAAAAUUUGUCAUGUUCCACUAUUAAUUCUAUGCUUAUUUUUGGCAGGAUCCAAAUCCAUCUUUCUACUUACAGUUCAUGAAGGCUCUGUCACCCUUCCUUCUUGCCAGAACGAUAUGCACAGGAUAAAAUUGAUCUGCUUGCUCCCUCAGCUAUGACUCAUUGUGAGCUUUUCCAUUUGAUGUUCUUUCUCAGUUACUCUGUAUUUCUCCACCAUUAUUAAUUCUUUGCAUUUUCAUGUCAGUAUUACCAAUUGCCCAUUUUCACUAAACAAGAUUGUUUUUCAAAUAUCAUUACGUAGCUAUUUGUGUAUUUUACAUAUCCUUUUCAUGCUCUUGGUCUAAAUCCUCUAUUGUUUCUUUGCAGCAUUCUGAUCCAAAUUUUCCUCUACAAGCAUGGGCGGCUCAUAAGUUUGGAUGAAUGAAAUACAGAUACUGUCCAUGUUGUAUGUUUUUAUUUGUUGGAUGUUGAUAUACAAAUUUUCUUCCCAUUGUCUCUCAUACAUCUUCUUUCUCAUUUUAAAAUGUUUAAUGAGUUCUUUAAAAUAACUAAUUUAUAAUUUUAUUAUUGACCAUGCUUUAUUGUAGGUCAAGUUAAGUUUUUCUUAAAAAUAAAAAAUUAUUUAAAUUGUGAAUGUUUUAAUUUUUUCUGGUAAAAAAAAUUUAAAUCGUGUGGUGAUAUAUUUGGUGUGAGUUGAUUCAAUUUGCAGUUUAAAAAACAACCUAGAUAACCAAUAAAAAUAUAAUUUAACUUAUAAAAAAUUUCAAGAUUACAUAUAUUUUUUUAAUAUUAAGAUAACAACAAAUUAAAUUGAUUUGGGUCAACUCAAGUUAACUUGUUAAAUUCAUAACUUGAAUUAUGAGACUAUGAUAACUAUGUAGAAAAUAAAUUAUUAAGUCUAAUUUUCAACCAACCAAAUAUUAAAAGAUAAAAUUAAAAUAAAUAAAUAAGCCAUUUGGAGAUUGACCUGAUGCGACUUAAUUGAUUUAGCUUGUUUGAAAGCAACCCUGACAACCAGUAAAAAUAUAGUCUGACUUAGAAAAAAUUUCAAAAUGACACUUUUUUUUAAUAUGAAGAUAACAAAGUAAUAGAUUGAAUUGGGUUAACCAAAGUUAACUUGUUAAAAUUUUUAUCCAGGUAUGAGACUAUGAAGUCUAAUUCCUAAUCAACCAAAUAUUGAAUGAUAUAAUUGAAAAAAUAAUCAAUUAAAAAAAUAAUCUAAAAAUAUGAAUUGAGUUAACUUGUCAAGUCCAUAGCCUUGGUUAUAAUAGAGAUAUAAUCUUAUAGAAAAAAAAUAAAAAUAAAUUAUGAAGUUCAAUCUUAAUUAGCCAAAUGUUGAAGGAUAAAAUUAAAAAAAAAGAAAUCAAUUUUAAAAAGAACAUAAAAAUAACUCAAGUCAAUCCACCAAACCCAUAACUAGCUCGUCAUGAGAUCGAAAUAAUCUUAUAAAAAAAUUACAUGAUUUAACUCAUUAAAUAUGUGACUUUGGUUACAAGACCGAGACAACCUCUUAAAGAGUGAAUAAAAAUAAAUUAAAAAGUGCAAUCCCUAAUUGACCAUGUCAAACCCGAUGUGAAUGAUGCAAUUUCUAGAAAUUUGAAUUAAAAAAUAACAUAAAAAUGAUUUAGGUCAAUUAGGGUUAAUCGGUUAAGCAUCAUUUUUAGACAAUGAGGCUAGGAUAACAUAAUAAAAACAAAAUCAAAACAAACCAUGAAGCUUAAUUCCUAAUAAAACAUAAUAUUAAAUAAUAAAAUUGAAGAAAAAAGAUCAAUAAAAAAAUUGAGUCAAUCGGGUUAACUUGCUAAGCUUGCGAGUUAGGUUAUGAAACAUAAAUAAUCCAAUAAAAAGCAAAUUCACUAUUGAAGGACUCGUGACCCAGAUCAUGAAAUCAAGAUAACCUCUUAUAAACAAAAUUAAAAAACAACUCAAUUUAAUUUGGAUUAAAAUGCCAAAACCCCCGUCUCUAAUCAUGAGACUAGGAUAACCCUGUAGAAAAUAAUUUGAAAUAGAUUAUGAAGCUUUAUUCCCAACUGACUUGAUAUCGAAUGAUAAAAUUGAAAAAAAAAUUCAAUUAAAAAACAUAAAAUACAACUCGAGUCAACUUAGGUUAACUUUUUAAGUAUUAUUUCUGGGUUACGAGGUUAAAAUAAUCUAAUAUAAAACAAACAAAACAAAACAUGAAACUUAAUUUUUAAUUAAUCUAAUAUUAAAAGAUAAAAUUAUAAAAAUUAAAAAGUUAGCUAAAAAAAUCAAGUUAACCGAAUUAAUCCAUCAAAUCCACAAUUUUUAUUAUAAAAGUGAGACACCUUAAUAAAAAAACAUUCAUUAAAAAAAGCACUCAUUCAAAUAAUUGUAUAAAAUAUAAUAAUAUAAAGUAUAAUUUAUGAUUUAUUUAUUUAAUUUAUCAAUGAAAAGUGAUAGAAGGAAGAAGAGAAAAGAAAUAAAGUGAAGUCUUCUGCUGCAUUAUCAUAUCAUGUGAAAAGCUUCGCAUUUUGUGAAGUUUUUCCAAUCAAACCCCUUUUUUUAAAAGAUGUAAUUUCUAGGAAAAUAAAUCAAAGACAAACCGAGUAAAAUUCCAAAAGAAGAGAAAGAUGGAAUAGCGUUUCAGUUGCGGCUUGUAUACGUGUUUCAAAAAUAAUUUUUUUAUUUUAAAUUAAUAUUUUUUUUAAUGUUUUUAGAUUUUUUAAUUUGUUAAUAUUAAAAAUAAUUUAUAAAAAAUAAAAUAAUUUAUUUUAAUAUAUUUUUAAAUAAAAAACAAUAGAAACCCGUGACCCCUUAAAUGUACUCCUAAGCAUAACAAUUUAAGAGUUAAAGAGCCGAGAGAGAAAAAGCUUUUGCCAGUUCUUUACACAAAUUCUUUCCCCUUCUGUCAGCUGAACAAAAUCCCCUCUUCUUCUUCUUCUUGUUUGUUUACUCUUCCUUCGUUACUUUGCAAAGAGGAGAAACCAUGGCCGGGGCUUUAGUAGGAGGAGCUUUUCUUUCUUCUUUCCUUAAUGUUUUGUUCGACAGGAUGGCCUCUCCCCAGGUGGUUGCCUUCUUCAGAGGCCAAAAAGUCAACAAUUGGCUGCUAACGAGGUUGGAGACAGCAAUGACAUCUCUCAGGGUGGUGCUUGACGAUGCCGAGGAGAAGCAGAUAACAAACCAAUCUUUCCUGGGAACUUGCUUAGUUAAAGGAUUAUCCAUACGAUACUAUUUUUAUAUAUAUAGCAGUUUGUAAUGAAACGGUUGAAGACUAGCAAGACGACGACACAAGAGAACAGUUGGGUUCCGUAUGAUCAAGGAUCUGAUGGAGUGGUGAUUUCUUCAAAGAAGUUAGAUUCGGUGACUGUAAUUUCUCGAGGGAGAAUUGAUGAAGACCCUGAUAAUGGAAGAGAAAUACAGCAAGGGGAUAAAGAUUGACACCCUAUUUUGACUUGGAUAGGUGUUGUGACAUGAUGAGUUGCUGUCAAACAUAAGCAAGGAAUGGGGAGAAAUUUGGAGAACAGAAAUUGCACGAGGGCACAUGGAGAUUGUGUAGGAGUACCCGUGAUCCAACGAGGUACUGUAAUGAGACAACAGAUGCAAGGAGAAGAAGUGUUCCCGGAUGAAGCUCAAAGUAAAGAUUGUGAAAAGGAUGUACAACAGGAAGUCUCUUGUGCUCUUGAUGAAGACAACAGGCGAGGACCUUUCCAAUACAUGCAAGGAUAGAAAGAGAGCUAUUGCAGAGGCACCUAAUUGAGGGGGUGCGAACGCCUAUGAUAAAAGACGACCGCCUAUGAUGAAAGGCGAAGACACCAAAAAGAGUUGGUGUAGGUGGAGCUGUCAAGCAGAAAGGCGCAAAAGCUCCAAACAUAGAAAAUGAGAUGGAAGAUUGCGAGGAGUGUACCACAACUCUCUCUUUCUAUGUGUUCAAUGGAAGUGAUCUCUCCCAUAGUCCACAUGGUGGUAGAGAAUCUUAGAGCCACAUUGAAGCAUCUCCGAUGAAGGAGGAUGAGAACGCAUCAUGACGAGCGGAGACACCUCAGACAGAAAGUGUGCGGGCCACGAUAUGAGCCUAGUUCAGACCGCCUUAUGAUAACAGGCGAAGACACCUUAAAAAAGGUGUGAGAGCCACGAUAGGAGCCCCAGUUCAGAAUGCUCCAAAGCCAAUGUAAUGGUUGGAUAUGAGUGGACAAGUGUAUGGAUAGCCAAUGAAGUGGCUAUGAUGAGUAUGGAGACAAAUGCCAGAUUGACUUUCAUUGCCUCUAGGUUAAAGAUCAAUGAGCUAGAUAACAUAUGCCUUGGACAAUAAGUGGAUGACUUAUGGAGCAUUAAGACGCGACUGAUAAGAAUGAGCAGAGUACAUGCGCAAGUUCCGGGAAUAAGUUGACUCUUGUCAAGGUGGUGAGCUCGGUAAUGGCAUUGUAAUACUCAGAGUAUGAAGAAAGAUAUGGAUCAACCUUUAAUGGGCUGCCCCCAUGGUUAAAGGUGGAGAACUACCUGGACUCUUAGAACUAAAAGCGAGAGACUCAUGGAAAAGUAAGGUGUGGUUCCUAGAGUGGAACAGAGGGCAGACACAACUUCGGGAUGAGUAGAAUCUUGGAAGAGUGGUGAGCUCGUGAUCACAUUGAAAUACUCAGAUAAUGAAUGUCGCACUCGGAAAUAGAUAAUUCCAUUUGAGGGGGUGUUGUAAGCCUUGAUGUGAGGCUUGAUAAAUCAUUUCGGAUUGAGCAUGGUUAAUACGCUCGAAGGGGAAUUUUAUCCCAGAGACAAGCGUUAACACUCUUCAGAUGUAAUGUGACAGACCAUCUGGUUGUAGUGAUCCUUUUGUGUAAGAAAAGGUGUGCUUUGGUGACUCUGGUGAUUGAAAGGUUUGGCGAGUACCUGUAAACUUGGCCAAAGAUGCUCUCAGAAUGGUAAGCUUGGAAGAGUUGCAAGAUGCAAGCAUGUGCUGAAGAAGCAAGAGGACAAUUACCCACAUAAAUGGCAAAGGGGGUGAUUGUUAGAAUAUUACCAAUUAUGUGGCUGCCAUUGUCAAAGAAGAUGGCUGCCAUUGUCAAAGAAAAAAGGCCAACUUGUGAGAGUCAAAGAGAGUUGUUGAUGCAGCAUUUGCAGCCUUUUAACAUUGUCAAAGAAGGAGGCUAUAAUGGUGGGUUGUUGGUGGCAGCUGCUAAUGUCAAAAGAAGCUGCAACAACCAUUAACAAAGAGUAGCCACCAUUGUUGACAAAGGAGCAAGAGGAGUUGUUAUUGAAGCCUAUAAAUAGACACCAAGAGUGCAACACAAAGUGAGAGAGAGAGUCUUGUAGUAGAGCUACAAAAGAGAGAAGAAGAGAGAAAAAAAGAGAAGGGCUGCAACCAGCAGCCCUGCUGCCUUAUGCAGCUACUGCCCUAUGUAGCAAUGUGAGAUGGGAGUUGAGUGGAUGUGAUCCUCCUCCGUGUGUUGUAUUCUUUCUCUAUCUCUAAUAAUAUCGAUCUCUCCAGUGGAUGUAGGCGAUUUGCCGAACCACGUUAAAUAUUGUGUUAGUGUGCUUAGUCUCCUUUAAGCAAUGAUCAUGAACACCACCGUUCCGCAAGGGGGAGCAGAAAUCCCCAACAAUACAGAAGUUGCUUCUACCAGACGAUGCCAAUGGAGAAAACCCAGGUGUGGUUCCUGUUACAGGGUUAAAUUCGUCAGGCUGUAGGUUGACGAAAGUAUUGCUGGACAGUAGCUAUGAGGUGGCAGCCCGCAUGACGGUAGUGAAAAUCGGCAGCAUGCAACAGCAACGCAGCAGUGUGCUGACAAGAGCUGGAGACUUGGACUAUGGAUUGUCCAAGGCUCGAUGAAACAGUGCUGGAAUGACGUGAUGGGACAGUGUCGAAUUCGGCAGCAUUGAUGAGAUCAACAGCGUCGACAAAAUUGGCAGCAGGGGCUGACGAUAGGUCUAGGCGAUGGACAGUCCAUGACUGGACAUAAUACACUACUGGCAUGAAUGGCAGCACGCAUAGGUAGUGGCAACGUGCAUGGGCAGAUUCAGCAACAGUGUGCGUCAACGAUUCGACAGGACAUGGGUUGAUGUUCGACAGGAAUCCUAACUUAGACCAUGGACAGUCCAAGGCAUACAAACACCUACUCUGGCAGCGUGGAAGUUGGCAAAAGGGACAACUGGCUUGUUGGGUGGCAGGCUAUGGAAGAAGCAGCAAUUGCAGGCAAUUUUCGACAGUUAUCAGCAGUUUUCCAGGAGGCCAAACUGACCAGAACGUGGCCCAUGUCUUGGGAGGCAGUUAUGUUGUAUUAUUCCAUGUAAUAGGUUGUACAUAGGGUGUAGCAUGCAAUGUUCUGGUAGGCAGCAGAACACUUGUGCAUGGCACACACGCUAAUAAACUUGUGUAUCCUUUGUUGACGAGACUAAUGAAGGUUGGGAAUGUUUUCCUGUAAUAUCUUGUGUGCUUGGUUCUGUACAGCUUUGCUUGUGUAUUCCGCUUGUCUAUGUAAUGGGAGUGAGUGUGGGAAACCUCUUGGUGAGGGAAACACGAGUGAGGUGAGGGAAAGGCUGAGUCUAGCUAGUCAUCAACCUCCUGUCACGACCCGAUCCCCGGAUCCAUGACUGGCACAUAGGCAAGGUUCCCCUCCAAGGUUCCAUACCUAUGCGAACCCAAACUUACACACAAACUUAUCCUAACUCAAUUAGAGUUCAACGCAGCAUUAAUAACAAAAUCAACUUCAUAAUAUAAUUGAAUUGUCUUAAUACAAGAGUUUAUAUAAGUUCAGAGUUUUGGAGCACUAACUAGACAUAAAGGAAAGGUACCAAGUACAACCAAAAAGCAGGUUCUGAAGGUCCAACAAAAUGACCUGUUAUUAAGCUAUAAGCCUGAAAAGGAUAAAUAAUGAGAUGGUGAGUUCAACAACUCAGUGAGUAGAUAACGUUCAAUACACACACACAAGGUAAUACAGCAAUGAGAAAUAUAUAUACAAUUGGCUUUAGGUUCUUAUGGAAGUUUUCUCAAAUUGGCCAUAACAAGAAGAUCAUAUGGUAAAACUCGUCAGAAAAUCAAAAUGCAAUGAGCAUGAGGCUCCGUACUGUGGGAUGAUCAGUCCACACAGGUUGGUGACUCCCCCGACCAACUAGGGUUCAGAUACGAUGUGCACAAAGACUAACACUACCCUGUUAGCAUGGGUAUUCUGACUGACAUACCAUAGGUUUAUAAUCAUAAUCAAACAGACAUAUUCAUAUCUCAAGGCUCAACUCAUGACAUCAAUCAAAUGAGGAGCUAUCAAUUCAGAAGUCAAUUCAUAAUAUAUAUACUGGUUCAUAUCAAUAAUUCGGAUUCAACAAUUGAUCAUGCUUAUCAUAACAAGGAUAAUAAUCAACAUAUAUAUUAUCAAGAAGCAUGAUCCAAUUCAUAUUAACAAAUCAAAUAUUUAUAAUAUUUCUCAUGCAUAUGGAAAAUUAUCCACUCACCUGACUCAAAAGCAAACAGAAGCCAAAAGCAGACACCGAAGAAAAUCCUACUGACGUCCCGCCGGUAGAAUAUCAGGAUUAUCUGAAUAUAAAGGAGACAUAUUUAAGAACGACUCGAAAGAACAUUUAACCUAUUUAAUAAACUUAACUAAUAAUGUAUUCCGUAACCCUAUAUGUUUUUGAACUAACUAGUCAAUUUUCUCAAAAACCCAAAAUUUAACGGUUUUUUCCGAAAUCUAAUCCAUAAUAAAACAACUAAUAAAAUUGGCAAUAAUUCACUAAAUAACCCUUAAUUAUUCAUCAAACUAAUCUGCAAAAGCUAAUAUUACAGAUAGGGAAUAAUCUGUAAUUUAUCCUAUUUUUAAGGGUCAAAUUGCAACUUUUGUCUAAUUGAAGGACCAAACUGAAAUUUAUCAUAAAUCCAUGAAUAUACUGAAAUUCUGACCAUAAUUAGUCCUCAUUUCUGUCCAGAUCAUCUCAUUAUACUCCAAGGACCAUUCUGGAAUUUUACCAAAUUUUUAGGGUCAAAUUGUAUUUUUUGCCAAAUUGGAGGACUAAAUUGAAAGUGUUAAAUUCUCUUAUCUAUACAGUAAUUCUGUCCAUAAUUCAUAUGUUAUUCUGUUCAGAAUCUCGGAAUAGGCUCCAGGGACCAAUCUGCAAAUUUUCCAAAGUUUGGGGACUAAACUGUAAUUUUCCAAAAUUGAGAGACCAAACCGAAAUUUUGUCAUCUUCAACCUCCAACCCAGAAUUCCAACAGAAAACCCACUGUUCUUUCCUUAUUUCUAACACAAAUUCACCAUUCAAACAAAAUCAUAACUCAAAAUCAUCAUCUUUCAAUUCAAUCUCUCAAAUUCAACCAAAUAAUCAAAUACCCACAACAAUUAACCCUACAACAUCCAAAUUAACUCAUAAAUCAAACUCAAAACACAAAUUUCAUAACCCUAACAUUUAUCAAAAUCAAAAUUAAAGCUUAAUUAACACAUAUUUAUACAUAAUCUUACCUUUUUACUUAUUUCCUUCAAUUCCUUUCUAUUUCCCUUCUAAUUUCCCUCUUUUCUCUUCUUCUUCUUUCUCCCUUUCUCUCCUGCCGGUUCUCUCUCAAAAUUCAGAUCCCUCUUUCCUCUUUUUUUUUUACUUCCUAUUUAUAUAUAUUAUCUCUUUAUACAAUUAUUAUUAUACCCCUCAUUUAAUUUAUUCCUACAUCUAAGCAUUCAAGGGCCUUGUUGCCAUUUCCUAUCUUUUAAUACAAAACAUUACACCUCCGAGGACAGAUUUCUCUCUAAGGUCUGUUUUUGGGAUAAAAAAUUGACCCUGUGACAGUUCCCAUAGUGGGAAUGGGCGGGGUUGGUAAAACCACGCUUGCUCAGCUUGUAUACAAUCACAGCAGAGUACAAGAGUGGUUCGGUCUCAAAGCUUGGGUUUGUGUUUCAGAAGAUUUCAGUGUUUCGAAGUUAACUAAGGUUAUCCUUGAGGGGUUCGGUUCAAAGCCUGCUUUUGAUAAUCUGGAUCAGCUCCAGCUUCAGUUGAAGGAGAGAUUGCAGGGAAAGAAAUUCUUGCUUGUUUUAGAUGACGUUUGGAAUGAAGAUUAUGAUGAAUGGGAUAGGUUUCUUACCCCCCCUGAAGUACGGAGCACAAGGGAGUAAGAUUCUUGUCACAACACGCAAUGCAAGAGUAGCAUCAGCCAUGAGCACUGGUCCAACUCAUCAUCUAAAAGAAUUGACGGAAGACAGCUGCUGGUUUGUGUUCGCCAAACAUGCAUUUCGUGGUAAAAAUCCCAAUGUUUAUGAAGAGUUGCUAGAGAUUGGAAGAGAAAUAGGGAGAAAAUGUAAAGGCCUUCCUCUAGCUGCAAAAACACUCGGAGGUCUGCUAUGCACCAAGAGAGAUGUCGAGGAGUGGGAGAAGAUAUUGGAAAGCAAUCUAUGGGAUUUACCCAAAGGCAAUAUCCUCCCAGCCUUGAGAUUAAGUUAUCAUUAUCUCCUGCCACAUCUGAAGCAGUGUUUUGCUUAUUGUGCCAUAUUUCCAAAAGACUAUUCAUUUCGAAAGGAUGAAUUAGUGCUCCUGUGGAUGGCAGAGGGCUUCUUAGUCCACUUUGUAGAUGAUGAGAUGGAAAGAGCAGGUGCUGAGUGCUUUGAUGAUCUCUUGUCAAGGUCGUUUUUCCAGCAAUCAAGCUUAUCAUUUGUGAUGCACGAUCUCAUGCAUGACUUGGCUACCCAUGUGUCCGGUCAAUUUUGCUUCAGCUCCAGGUUGGGGGUAAAUAAUUCUUCCAAGGCCACAAGAAGGGCUCGACAUUUUUCACUCGUAGUAGAUACGGAAGACACGGAUGGUGAAGAUACCGAAGAUGGAGAUACGGAAGGUGUUUUUUCAAGCACAAAAUUAGAAAACAUUAGUGCAGCCCAGUUUCUACGCACAUUCCAAACUUAUCCACACUAUUUGAGGUGUCCUCCCGAAUUUUAUAAUGAGAUCUUUCAGUCAACACUUGGGCGCCUACGAGUGCUAUUCAUGACUGGUUGUAGAGAUGCAACUUUGAAGUUUUGUUCAACUAACAAGUUGAAGCAUUUGCGGUAUUUGGAUCUUUCCUUUUCACAGUUCUUAGUAACGUUGCCUGAAGAAGUGAGUGCUCUUCUCAAUUUGCAAACGUUGAUCUUGCAAGAUUGCUCCAAACUUGCUAGUCUACCUUAUUUUGGAAAUUUGAAGAAUCUUGAAGGAACAAGAAUCGAAAGGUUGCCUGAAUCUCUAGAAAGGUUUAUCAACUUGCGGUAUCUUAACAUCCAAUAUACGCCUUUGAAAGAGAUGCCACCACAUAUAGGUCAACUGACAAAGCUCCAAACGUUGACUGACUUUAUUGUGGGAAGACAGAGUGAGUCUAUCAUUAAUGAAUUGGAAAAGCUACGACAUCUACGGGGAAAACUGUAUAUUCGGGUCCUUCAAAAUUUGGUGGAUGCUCGGGAUGAUGUUGGAGCAAAUUUGAAAGGUUUAAAGCACCUUGAUCAGCUGUUUCUCAUUUGGGAUGGUGACACUCAUAACGUGGAACACGUAACAAGCACGCUUGAGAAAUUAGAGCCAGAUGGAAAUGUGAAGUAUCUUGAGAUUGAUGGUUAUGGAGGUAUAAGGUUUCCGGAGUGGGUAGGAAACUCCUCUUUCUCAAAAAUAGUGUCCUUGAAGCUCAGUAGAUGUAAAAACUGCACCACCUUACCACCGCUCGGGCAAUUAACUUCUUUAGAGGAUCUCUCAAUUGAAGAAUUCGAUAAAGUUGUGACUGUGGGCUCUGAGUUCUAUGGGAAUUGUACACAAGAAGCCAUUUGAAUCCCUCAAAUGUCUAUUUUUUAAAAGGAUGCCAGAGUGGCGCGAGUGGAUUUCAGACGAAGGCAGCCGGGAAGCCUUCCCUCUUCUUGAGAAGCUUUACAUCCAACAAUGCCCCAACCUUGCAAAGGCCCUUCCUAGUCACCACCUUCCACGUGUAACAAGACUUGUAAUUAAAGAAUGUAAGCAGCUCGCGACUCCACUUCCUAGGUUUCCGAGGUUGCAGUCUCUCUCUGUUUCUGGAUCCCACUCCCUAGAGUCCCUACCCGAGGAACUUGAGCAAAUGGGUUGUUCACCCUCUGAUUUAGGGCGAAUUACAAUCCAGGGCGAAUUACAAUCCAGGGCUGCGCUUCUCUCAAAUGCGUCGCACUGGACUUGCUCCCCAAGUUAAAUUAUCUUUCUAUCUGUGACUGUUCAGAUCUUGAAUCACUAUGUGCACAUGAAAGACCUCUCAAUGAUCUCAAUUCUCUCCAUUAUUUGUUUAUCGAGAAGUGCCCUAAAUUAGUUUCAUUUCCCAAAGGAGGAUUACCUGCUCCAGUCUUAACACGACUUGAGUUAGAAGAUUGCAGGAACUUGAAGCUGUUGCCUGAGAGUAUGCAUUCCCUCCUCCCAUCCCUUUCGCAUUUGGAAAUAAAAGAUUGUUUAGAAGUUGAGUUGUGUCCAGAAGGGGGUUUUCCCUCCAUAUUACAAUCACUUGUCAUUUGUAGAUGCGACAAACUCAUUGCUGGCCGCAUGCAAUGGGGCUUGCAAACGCUCCCUUCUCUUUCACACUUUACAAUCGGUGGCCUUGAAAAUAUUGAAUCCUUCCCUGAAGAGAUGCUUCUGCCCUCAAGUCUUACAUCUCUUAAAAUCCAUUCCCUAAAACACCUGAAAUCUCUUGACUACAAGGGGCUUCAACACCUCACCUCUCUUAGAAAAUUGCAUAUAAAUUACUGCCCUAGGCUUGAGUCCAUGCCAGAAGAAGGGUUGCCCUCCUCCCUUUCUACUCCUCUUUAUAUUUACUUUUGUCCUAUGGUUGAGUCAAUGCCAAAAGUAGGGUUGCCCUCCUCCCUUUCUACUCUUAGAAUUAACGAUUGUCCUAUGCUGGGUGAACGUUGUGAAAGGGAGAAAGGUAAAGAUUGGCCCAAGAUUUCUCACAUUCCUCACAUAAAAAUUAUGUAUUGAUGGCUAUUGAUUUUUCCAACAUCAGCGGAGCCAAAAAGGAGGUAUUGCCACUAAAUAGUUUAUUUUCUUUUCAGUAAUCAAAGGCAAUUUCAGUAAAAAUUUGUCCUUUUCCACUAUUAAUUCUAUGCUUAUUUUUGGCAGGAUCCAAAUCCAACUUUGCACUUACAGUUCAUGAAGGGUUUGUCACCCCUUCCUUCUUGCCAGAACAAUAUGCACAGGAUAAAAUUGAUCUGUUUGCUCCCUCAGGUAUGACUCAUUGUGAACUUUUCCAUUCGAUGUUCUUUCUCAGUUACUCUGUAUUUCUCCACCAUUAUUAAUUCUUUGCAAUUUCAUGUCAGAUUACCACUUGCCCAUUGCAGAGUGGAGCACCAUGGUUUCACAAAACAAGAUUGCUUUGCAUUGUUUAGCUAUUUGUGUAUUAUACGUAUCAUUUUCAUGCUCUUGGUCUAAAUCCUCCAUUGUUUCUUUGCAGGAUUCUGAUCCAAAUUUUCUUCUACAAGCAUGGGCGGCCCAUAAGUUUGGAUGAAUGAAAUACAGAUAUUUUCUUCAUAUUGUCUGUCAUUCAUCAUUCUAUUUCAAUAUAUUUUUUGCUAUAAUUAAUUUUUAAAGUUGAUUUGAUUAGUAUUGUACUUUUCUCAUUCUAACAUUUGUGGUUAGAACAAGGUAAUUUUCACUGGAGUGUCAUUUUGGGAUGAGAUGAUUUUGGUUCAAAUUCCAUAAAUUGUUUCUUAAAAAAAAAUAACAAUUUAAACAAGACAAGGAGAAUGAUCUAUAGGAGCGGUGAACCUUUGGCUUCUUUCCUUUGAAUCCAAAUUCAAAUCCUGUUCUGCUGCAAAUAAACAUCACAUGCUUCAGAUUUUGAAUUUAGUAAUAGAAAAUCCAUUGCUAGAAAGGAUUAAAAAAAUAUUGAAUUAUUUAAGUGAUCUGCAACUGAUUUUUCAUUGUUGACGCGGCAAGAUCAAAUCUGCAACUGAUUCAAAAAAUAAAUUAAACCCUUAAUUAUAUAAAAUCUCCCUUCUCUCCUUCUCUCCUUUUCUGCAUCUUCAAAAAUUCAAAUUUUUUUCUCCAUCUCUUUCUCUAGUCCAUUCGCCUUCUUCAAAAAUUCAAAAUCCAAAAAAUUUUGAUUUAUCUUUUUUUAUUAUUAUUUAACUUUGAUUAAAAAAAAUUUAUUCCAUAUAAAGCUGAAGUUAAAAAAUAAUUUUGGAGCGUAGGAAAGGCCCUUUCUAAUAAAAUUUAUUUCAUGGUGUUCAGGAAUAAUUAAUAAUAUUUUAUUAGUUAUUUUUAAAAUUUAUUUUCAUAAAACAAAUAAAUACAAAAAGAAAAAAUAAUAUAAAAUUCACCCGCGUUUUGGAAUCACAAUUCAGAAGCAAGUGAAAGUGGCCAAUGUCACUCAAGAGAGCAGGCACUUGCAAAUCUACUAAUGAUUUGUUUGGCAUGGUGUUGGUAAAUUGUUUUUGAAAAAAUUUAAAUUUAUUUUUAUUUUAAAUUAAUAUAUUUUUUUAUGUUUCUAUAUUAAAAUAUUAUUUUAAUAUAUUUUAAAAUAAAUAAUACUUUGAAAAAUAAUCAAAUAAAUAUGGGAGCAUCACCCUUUCGCACAAUCAACAGAAAGGAUUAAAGCACAGAAAGUCAUCAUCUCGAGAACUCACAGCAAAGAGUUCAAUGUUGUAGUAGAUAUGUAGCUAUAUUAAAAACAUUAAUACUUCCAGCAUGCACAAAUGCGACUUCUUAAUAGUUAAUAUUGGAAAAAUUAAAUUUCCUUUUCUAAUUAAAUGAAAAUCUCUACUAAAUAUUAUGCUAUUUGAAUUUUCACCUCAUGACUACAAGCUGCACUGCACUCAUGGAUGCUUCACCAGGAUAAAGCUACAAAUGUCAGUUUAAUAUCUGCCUCUACCUAGGUCGGCCGACAAUAUUACCAAAGCUUCUCUCCUACAAAUGUCAGUUUUUAAAAUCUGCCUCCACCUAGGUCGGCCUGCAAUAGAAUACCAAAGCUUCUCUCAACUAAAUCAAGACAUGAUGACUAGCACUCGCAACCAUAACAGAACCAAUGGAAGCGAACUACUACAUAUUUGAUCAACAAGGUCAAAUUCAGUCGAGUUUUUAAGGAAAUCCAGUGAAAGAGGAACCUAAAAUACUACAUGAUUGUGGAAUAGAAAGUUUAACGGCCUUAAUUGAAUUGUUUCAGUCACUAUUUUUUCAGUCACAAAGUAACAAUUUCUGUAUCAACUCUUCUCUUCUUCUUCUUCUUCUAUCACAUCUCAAUGGAUUGCAACAGAUUGUAACAGCCCCUGUAGUUUCUCUGUUUUGAAUUAUUCAAAUAAGUUGCACAGAUUGCAACAGCCCUUAAAGAUAGGAAGCAGUUUUGAACUGCUCUAUAGUUUAGGAUUUCAAAACAAAUGUUCGUUAUCAUGUAUGUGUAUUUAACUGCUGCAAAAUGUAAAUGAAAAAUAUGAUUGAUUUCAUCAUUCCUUUAUGGUAUCAGAGCACUAAACCGAUCCACUUUAUUUUUAUCUUUUCUUUUCUUUUUCCUUCCCUUGUUCAUUACCACUCAUGGCUACAGAGUCUAAUCCUGCAACCAUUCUCAACACCAAUGAAUCACACCAAACUCUCAUCAGCAUCAAUGUUGCUGCUCAAGCCCCUCUCAAACUCAACUCUACCAAUUACCUCUCUUGGAAACUUCAAUUCCAAACCUUAUUCAUUGGAUAUGAUCUUCUUGGCUAUAUUGAUGGCUCCAAACCAUGCCCGCCAGCUACCUUGACUCAAGCCAAUACCACCAUUUCCAAUCCCAAUUACACUCUAUGGAUCCGCCAGGAUUAAUUGAUUCUCAACGCUGUUAUUGGCUCCAUUUCACCUACUAUUAUACCUUUCAUUGCUCAAGCCACCACCUCUAGCCAAGCCUGGACAAUUCUAGCAAAUACCUAUGCUAAACCCUCUCGUGGUCGUAUUAAACAAAUCAAAAACCAACUCAAAAACACCACCAAAGGCUCCCUUGGCAUCACUGAAUUUAUGCAAACUAUCAAAACGCGAGCAGAUGAUCUUGCUCUUCUUGGUGCCUCCCUUGAUGCAGAAGAAAUCACGGACAAAAUACUUGAUGGUCUCGGUGAUGAUUACAAGGAAUUAGUUCGUGCUGUCCAGGCCAGAGAUACCUCCAUCACAUUUGUAGAACUUCACGAAAAACUUCUCAAUUUUGAGGCCUCCCUUCAACAUCUCCCAUCUGAGCCACACCAUUUUCCAGCUACAGCCAAUCCCACAUAUCGAACCAACACCAAAAAUUGGCGUCCUUCUCCACCUCGUAACAAUACCACAAACUAUUGGCGCCCAUCCUACAACUUUUCCAACCGCUCACCUAUUGUACCCAUUACAAGACCCAUUUCAGCACCGGCCUCUCGUCCUCACCACAAACCAUACCUUGGUCACUGUCAAAUUUGCAGGAUUCAGGGUCACACUGCCAAUCGGUGCCCUUCCUAUCGCCUUGUACCCAUUCAUCCUUUACCCACUUCCAGCACUCCCCAACAAGGAACACCCUGGCAACCACAAGCUCACCUUGCCACCCAUCCCUCCACCACGCCAUCCUGGCUUUUAGACAGUGGUGCUUCACACCAUGUCACCUCAGAUCUAAACAACCUCUCCCUGCAUGCUCCAUAUAGCGGUACUGAUGACAUCAUGAUCGGAGAUGGAUCCACUCUUCCCAUCACUCAUACUGGUUCCACCUCUCUCACCACUCCUCUCCAUACAUUUCAAUUACACAAUGUUCUUUGUGUUCCCUCUAUGGAAAAGAACCUCAUCUCUAUUUCACAAUUCUGCACUUCUAACAAUGUUUCCAUAGAAUUCUUACCAUCAACUUUUCUUGUUAAGGAACUUCAUACCGGGACAACACUGCUACAGGGACAGACUAAAGAUGGUGUCUAUGAGUGGCCCUCUUCCUCUCCUUUCAUUGCUUUCUCAACAAUAAAGCCCACGUCCUUCGACUGGCAUCAUCGCCUAGGCCAUCCAGCUUUUUCAAUUCUCAGACAUAUUGUCUCUAGCAAUCAUUUAGGCUUGUCUUCCUCCUUAUCUUCCAAUUACUCAUGUAAUGCGUGUCUUUGCAAUAAAAGCCACAGGCUGCCCUUCUCCAACUCUACAAUUGUCUCCACCAAACCGCUUGAAAUUAUAUUCUCUGAUGUGUGGACCUCGCCAAUUUUCUCUCAUAAUGGCUUUAAAUAUUAUGUAAUAUUUAUUGAUCAUUUCACUAAAUAUAUCUGGUUUUACCCACUCAAAAACAGAUCUGAUGUCAAAGAAGUUUUCAUUCGAUUCAGAGCCAUUGUCGAAAAACACUUUAAUUCCACCAUUAAAACACUCUACUCUGACAAUGGUGGUGAGUAUAUCUCUCUAGCUAAUUUUCUUUCCACCAAUGGUAUCUCUCAUCUCACAACUCCCCCUCACACGCCUGAACAUAAUGGUUACUCUGAAAGACGACAUCUUCACAUCGUUGAAACUGGUCUAGCCCUACUCACGCAUGCUUCUUUACCCCAUUCCUACUGGACUUAUGCAUUUUCCACAGCUGUCUAUCUCAUUAAUAGAUUGCCGACUCCCACUUUAAACUUGUCCUCACCCUACCACAAAAUAUUUCAAACAGCCCCAAACUACUCCAAGUUACGCAUCUUCGGCUGCCUAUGCUACCCUUGGCUCCGCCCUUACACCUCCCAUAAACUUGAAUCAUGGUCCAAGCCAUGUGUUUUCCUUGGGUAUUCUCUUACUCAAAGUGCAUACUAUUGCCUUGAUCCUUCCACCUCCAGAAUCUACGUCUCAAGACAUGUCAAAUUUAUUGAGUCACAGUUUACCUUCUCUUCACUAUCUGGUUCAUCCUCUACUUCCCUUUCCAAUCCCAUCACUACUUGGAUUCCUGCACCAAUUACAGUUCUUUCACCCGCUUCAGAACCACCACUCCCUAUGCCAUCUGCAGUUUUCAAUACUCAGCAACCCCAAAGUGCAGCUCCCCCAUCCAACCCCAUUCAGCUUCCAACCACCAUCGCCACCCAUACAACCUCCCCUUCCAUAACAUCUUCAACAGGUACAACCUCAACCCUCCAUUCCCCACCUAAAACUCCUACCCUUCCCACUCAUUCUAUGACCACUCGCGCUAAAAACAACAUUCACAAACCCAUCACUAAGCUGAAUCUUCAUACCCGACUAUCCACUUCCAGUGAUCUAGAACCAACCACCGUGACUAAAGCCCUUCUUGAUCCCAGGUGGCGUCAAGCUAUGUCUGCUGAAUGUGAUGCCUUAGUCAGAAAUGGAACAUGGGAACUUGUUCCACCAGAUUCUUCACAGAAUAUAGUUGGAUGUAAGUGGAUAUUUCGGAUUAAACGUAACACUGAUGGUUCUAUUGAUAGGUUCAAAGCACGUUUAGUCGCAAAGGGGUUUCACCAAAGACCUGGUGUUGACUAUCUUGACACAUUCAGCCCUGUAGUAAAACCAACAACAGUGCGUGUGGUCCUCAGCCUUGCAGUUUCUCGGGGAUGGACUUUACGCCAACUUGAUAUCAACAACGCUUUCCUUCAAGGCCAUCUCUCUGAGACUGUACACAUGCAACAACCACAAGGUUUUGUUGAUCAAGAUCAUCCAUCCUAUGUCUGCAAACUUCGAAAGGCAAUCUAUGGCCUCAAACAAGCACCUAGAGCAUGGUAUCAUGAACUUCGCACUUUUCUACUUCACUCAGGUUUCAAAAAUUCUCAUACGGAUACAUCAUUAUUUGUUCUCAAUACUGCUGGAAAGAAAAUGUAUAUCCUGGUUUAUGUGGAUGGCUUAAUAAUUACUGGUGACCACACUACCAUGAUCGACUCCUUUGUGGUUGUUCUUGCUCAUCGGUUUUCCAUUAAAGAUCUUGGACAGUUAUCGUGUUUUUUAGGCGUGGAGGUAGUUCACAAUCAGCAUGGAAUUUUGUUAUCUCAAAGGCGUUAUAUUUUGGAUAUUCUAGCUCGAACUCAUAUGGCAGAUGCAAAACCUGUGUUCACUCCUAUUCCAACUAGUCCACCUUUGUUAAAAUCAGGCACUGCGUUGCCUGAUCCCUCUGAGUACAGAACGAUUGUUGGCAGCCUUCAAUAUCUCUUGAUUACCAGACCAGAUCUUGCAUUUGCAGUUAACAAGCUCUCUCAGUACAUGCACACUCCAACAACUGAUCAUUGGAGCUUUGUUAAACGCCUCUUACGCUAUCUAUGUGGCACUAUUAAUGAUGGCCUCCAAAUACAUCGCAGGUCUCCAUUAAAUCUACAUGCCUAUUCAAACGCAGAUUGGGCGGGUAACAAAGAUGAUUUCUCAUCUACCAGUGCCUAUGUCAUAUAUCUUGGUCGCAAUCCCAUUUCAUGGAGUUCUAAGAAACAGAAAACUAUUGCAAGAUCUUCAACUGAAGCGGAAUACAGGUCAGUAGCAAAUGCAGCAGCUGAGCUCAACUGGCUUUGCUAUCUUCUGUCUGAUCUAGAUGUUCAACUUCCGUGUUGUCCGGUCUUAUACUGUGACAAUGUUGGAGCUACCCAACUCUGCUCCAAUCCUGUUUUUCACUCCAAAACGAAACAUGUUGCCAUCGAUUAUCACUUCAUCAGGGACCAAGUACAAAAUGGUGUCCUUCGUGUUGCCCAUGUAUCCUCAGCAAAUCAACUUGCUGAUGCACUGACCAAGCCUCUUCAUCGUAUCCGUUUUCUAGAUCUCAAAUCCAAGAUUGGACUUCUAUCUCGAGCUCCAUCUUGAGGGGGCAUAUCACAUCUCAAUGGAUUGCAACAGAUUGUAACAGCCCCUGUAGUUUCUCUGUUUUGAAUUAUUCAAAUAAGUUGCACAGAUUGCAACAACCCUUAAAGAUAGGAAGCAGUUUUGAACUGCUCUAUAGUUUAGGAUUUCAAAACAAAUGUUCGUUAUCAUGUAUGUGUAUUUAACUGCUGCAAAAUGUAAAUGAAAGAUAUGAUUGAUUUCAUCAUUCCUUUAUCUUCUACUUCUUCUCUCUUAUUCCUUUCUAAAGACAGAAAGACAGAAGAUAAGGCUGGAUUAGGGUUAAACACAAAAAAUUCUAAAACCGUAUUUUAUUUUUUAAUUACUAUUAUGUUCAAGUCGGCCUCUUGAAAAGGUUUACGCUAAAAAAAUUGACCUACACUAGAGAACAAAAUUAGAAUCCCUAAACAUAAAGAAAAUUAGCAUAAAAUCCGAAAUAAACAAUAAAUCUAAAAAUAUCAGAUGAUGCUGGUCCGUGUUUGCCAAACAUGCAUUUGGUUAUGAAAAUCCCAUUGCUCAUGAAGAGUUACGGGAAAUUGGUAGAGCAAUAGUGAGGAUUGUCUGAUGUUCACCUAUAAUUGUAGCUGAAGAAAAGCUAGAAAUGAAACUGCCUGUAUUGGAAGUGAAACUGCUUGCCUACAAUAUAUGUGAACAUUCUAUGGCUUUGUUGCCGCCUUCUAGCCUUUCGGUGUUGCACGGUGCUGCUGCUUUUUGGCUUUUGAUUUCAUACACUAUCAGAAAAUUGAUAAAUACAAACGGAAAUAUCAAGGAAAUAUUUCUGUCGGUAAAUUUUUGAGGGAUUUUACCGACAGAAAUAUUCCCCGGUAUAUACCGAGGGAAUUACCGUGGGAAAAAAAUUAAAACAAAGCAAAAAAAAUGAUGACGUGUCAUUUUUACCAACAGAAUUACCGACGGAUUUUUCAAUUCCGUCAGUAUUUUCCAAAGAGCUCCAAAAUUAUUCACUUUCCAAUUGCACUGUUAAUUGUUAUUCUUUACGGACAAAAUCACCGACGGAUUGAAAAGUCGUCGAUAUUAUUUGGCGGUUUUCUGAAAAAAUUCAAUUAAUUUAAAAUUUUCAUUUAAAUAUUACAGACGGAAUCACCGACGAAUUGAAAAAUUAUCGGUAAUUGUUGGCGAUUUCUGAAAAAAUUUUACAAAAUUGAAAAUUUAAAUUAAAUAUUACCGAUAAAAUUGCCGAUGAAAUAAUUAAAAAAUAUUAAUAUUCAAUUAUUUGUCGCUAACGCGCCUCAAUAAAAAGCCUGAAUCCCUUUAUUUCAGACUUAUUUCUUAUUAUUCUUCUACUUCUACUUCACUAUAUGUAAAAAACAUCAAUAUCUAUUUCUUUCUCUUCUUUUCUCUCCUCACCUCCUUAUCUUUUUCUCCAUACUUGGGUAUGUCUUCUUCUUCUUUCUUCUUUUAUCCUCUUAGUUUUUUUUUUUUAAUUAAUAUGCUUUACGAAAUUUUUUCUCUCUCCUUAGCUUCACUUGCAACUACAUUAAGGUAAGAUUUUUCUUUUUUCUUCUUUUUUCAUGAUUUUUUUCACUAUAUUUGUUUUUUAUUUUAUUUUUAAUUGUUUUUGUUCUUAAUAAUUAUAUAAAUGUUGUUGUGAGAUUUUUUUUUCAUAUGAGAUCAAGUUUUAGUUGAUUUAUUUAUAGGAUUUUUAAAUUUUUAGCAAUUGCAACUUCAUUUUUUUCAUAUGAAUUUUUUUAGUUGAAUUUAUUUUUUCAUUUUAUUUAUUUUUUGCAAAUUUGUUUGAGUUGAUUUUCUUAUUCUUUUUUUCCAAGCAUUUUGAGUAUAUAUUAUAGAGUGUUGAUUUAUGUUAAUUUAAUUAUUUUAUAAUUUUUUAAAAUGAAUAUUUUAAAAAUAUUUUUAAAUUAUUACCGACGGAUUUAUUGACGGAAUAGACGUGUCGGUAAUAAUAUUUUUUUAUUACCAACGGAUUUACCGACGGACAAAAAAUUACCGAUGAAAGAUGCACAGACAGAGCAUUUCUGUCGGUGAUUUUGUUGGUAAAUUAAUUACCAACGGAAUAUGUAUCUUACGCCGAUAGAAAAAUUCCAUCGAUAAAAUUGUUAAAUGUUGUAGUGAUAGAAAUGUUGUUCCCUCUCAUCCCUGGUGUUACAUAGGCAGCUGCUGGCUCCUCUUGUAUCUUUUGGGUUCUGGCUUCGUUUGGUUCAUGCCAUUGUCUGCUCUCCGGUUGUCGAAGCUGACAGCAAUCCUCCAACUCUGUUCUCAUAGUCAGAUGCUUCCUCUGUUUUCUCCUGGCAUUGAAAUUACAGCUCUCCCUCAAAUUUUAUUGAUGAUGUGCCUUUGGUCAUCUUAAUAGCUCUUUUUUUCUUGGGAUAUUUCAUUUGAUUCCUUUUUUCUCUUUUAUUUUAAUUAUUAUCUUCAUAGUUUUAACAUUAAGUCUCUUUGAAAAUAGAAGCAGCCUAUCUUUUAUAUUUGUAAAUCUUGUUCCAAGAGAGAGAGUAGAAGUUUAUUAAAGAAAAAUGUACAUUCUCAUUCGUCACAUUCCUUGUUCGUUUAUAUAUGAAAUGUUUUUUGUUUUUCAAUAAGCGAAUCUUCAAUCGGAAGGGAAAUUAUUUUAGUGAAUAGUGUAAUGGAACUAAAUUUUGGUUAAUUUAUAAUAAAUUUAAAUAGCUUGAAAGUGAAGCUCAUCUUCUAUUUAGUUUUCUCAAAUAUAUAAUUUUAAAAUAAAUUACUUUUAAAAUAAUUUUGAGUAAAUUUGACAUUAACUUUGUUGGAUGAAUUCCAAACCUAUAAUUUGAAACCAAAUGUUUGUAUAUUUUUUUUGUAAAAGACUAAUUUGAAAAAAAAAAUUCUAAAAAAAAUGACAAAGAGUUUUUAAAAAUUCAAGAACUAAUGAAAAAUUACUUUUUUGUCGACAAGGGUGCCUCCUUUUAAGUUGCCACCCACCUUGAUGUGGCUCCAUGUUCCACUCCAAACCAUUCAUAUAGGUAUCUUAAAUAGUGUAGCCUGAGCUUCACCGGUUAUGUUUUUAAUAUAUUUUUAAAUAAAAUAUAUUUUUAAAAAAUAUUAAAAAAAAAACUAACAUUAUUAUACUGUCAAACAGAUAAUCUCAUUGCAUCUAACGCUUUAAAUUCCAACAAUGAGUACCCGAUUAAACAAUAUCUACAUUCAAUUAAAACUUAUGGUAUCAUUCCUUGACAGCGAAAUAAAGAAAAGGAGACAGAGAACCGUACUUUCAGAAGACCAUGACACAAAUCGACGGUUGAAAUCCAAUCACUCAAGGGAUGGUGACACGUUGUCAUGAGUGGGAGACAGCUGGUCUCUAGUACGAAGAGAAACAACAGCGUUUUUAUUGUUUAAAUUUAGAGUGUUUGUUUUUCGGAGUGUCUUUGUUCUCGUGAUAGCUCCUGUGAUGAUGGGUAUCUUAGUAAUUGUAAAAACAAUUGAUUUUUUUUUUGAUGAAGUUGUCCGUGUGGAUGAGAAAAUACUGAGUUUGUAGCUUAGUAAAAACAUGUUGAUGUUACUUUUUAUUAGCCCAUGGUUGGCCCGUAAAUUGUAAUGGGUCCCACAAUCACAAACCUAUGAUUCACAUGUAACUAAAUAUCUUGUUUUUGUUAUCUGCAUUAAAAAUGCAAGAGCUGCUAAAAAAACAAACAUAUUUGAUCGUUGAACAUGUUUUUAAAUUGUUUUCUUAAUUAUUUUUUAUUUAAAAAAACAUUAAUAGAUGAAGUUUAAUAAUUAUUUUAUAAAGAAGUUUUGGAAUAAAAUGAUCUAUCUGCAUGAAAAACAAGGUCAUUUUUACAGGUGGAAGAUAAAACCAAUAAGACCUAAUCCUAUUGAACUGCAUCUUGUUAUUCAAAGCAAACAAUCAGUAUCUUUAAUACUGAUUAAGGAUAUUUUUAUUUUUGCAAUUCAACUGUAAUUUCUAAUAUAAUGAUUUUUUUAUUAUAACUUGCUCCACAAUUAAUCUUUUAGAGUUAAACAAAUACUACGCAACAUUCUAGAAUGUGUAAUGAAGUUUUUAUAAUAUUCAUAGCAAUGGUCAUCAGCUAAUUUAUAAUUUAUUUAUCUACUUUAUCAAUUAAUAAAAGUGAUAAAAGAAAAGGAGAGAAGAAAUAAAGUGAAGUCUUCUUCUGCAUUAUUAGCACAUCACGUGAAAAGAAAGAUUGGCAUUUAAUAAAAGUUAUUCCAAUCAAAUAAAGCAAGGACAAACCAAGUUACUCCAUUUUCCUCUCACUUUUUCAACCGAUGGGGUGUCUUGGCAAAUAAAGCAAGGACAGACCGAGUUGACGCGCUCCCUAACUCCAUUUUCCUGGCCCGCGCAAUUCACGCAUACACAAACACAUCCGGAACAAUAUUCAUAAAAUUAAUUAACAUCCCGUAAAAAUAUACUUUAAUACAGUAUAAGGCUUCCCGUCUACCUCUGUCUUUUCAUAAUUUCGAUCCUCUAAUCAUGUAUUUUCAGUCUAAAAUAUAGUAUAAAACUUUUCUAUACCCAAGAUCCUCUAAUACUAAUAAGACUGAAAAUUUGAGAUUUGGAUAACGAGAAAAGGAGAGACUGGGGAGUGGGAACUAUGUAGUGGAAUGUCAGGGGACUCGGAUAAGGAGACAGUAAAUUUUUUAACUUUUGCAAGUUAAAACUCAAAAUCAAUUAACGAGAACAAAAACGUACAAAAUAACAUCAAUUUAAUCUCAUGUCACCUCACCUUCCACCUUUUUUUAUGUUAGUAACAAGUUCUAGAAAUAAUAUCCUAAUAUCCCACCAAGCAAGACAUGCAUUUCAAGUUCUCUUUGAGUCUUUGUCGUCUCUCUUUGUAGUUAACAAAUAGUUAGUCUAAAACACAAUAUUUCUCUCUCUAUAUAAGUAUUCCUAUCUUUUAUUUUGCUCAUUUGAUUCCUCGCCAUCUACCUCUGUCUUUCCAUGGUUUUGAUUUUCCGAUCAUGCCUUCUCGCCCUAAAAUACAGUAUAAGAAUUUCUCAUACCCAAGAUCCUCUAAUGCUGGUGUUAGUCUACUAAGAUUGAAAAUUUGAGAUUUGGGCAACCGGGAAAGGGGAGACUGGGGAGUGGGGACUAUGUAGUGGAGUGUCAGGGGACUCGGACAGGGAGACAGUAAAUUUUUAACUUUUGCGGGUUAAAACUCGAAAUCGGUCAAACUCGGUCAAACUCGUAAAAUCAGUUCGAUUUUACCGAUUUUAACCGAUUUUGAUCGAUUUCGAGUUUUAACCCGAUUUGACACGUUAUAUACAUGUUGACUCGUAAAAUCAUAAGAUUUUAAGAGUCAACUCGUGAUUUUAAUAACCUUAGAAACAACAACGUUUCCAUUGUUUAAUUUGUUUUUCUGAGUAUCUUUGUUUUUGUGAUAGCUCUUGUGGUGAUAAAGAUUAAAAAAGAUAGUUUAGAUAAAUUAUUUUUACUCGUGAUUUGUUUGAUUUAAAUAAGUAUUUAAUUAAAAUUAUAAUUAAAAAUGUUUAGGUAAAAUUAUGAUUAAAAUGGAUGUUUUAACUUAAAUUACCACAAAAAUACUGCUGAAGGUGGAGAGGAUGUGAGAUGCGAUUGGGUAUCUUAUUUAAUUGUCAAAACAUCAACUGUUGUGGUCAAUAAAGCAAGGACAACCCGAGUAAAAUGUGGGACCUAACUCAAUUUUCCUGGCACACGCAACUCACGCAUACACCCAAACACGCUAUAACACUAAUGUGAGAUGUUUUUUGAACUUCGGAGUUUACAGGCAAAUAAAGUGAUGGAAGAAGGUCUUCUUCUGCAUCAUCACAUCACGUGAAAAGCUUGGCAUUUAAUGAAGUUUUUCCAAUCAAACCCAUUCCUUUCAAAGAUGGAAUUUCUAGUAAAAUGGAGUCCAGAGCAUAACAAGGGCCGAGAGAGAAAAGGCUUUUGCGAGUUCUGUGUUCUGUAUAUUUCUCAAGGGGAAAAAAGGAAGACGAAGAAAGGAAUAUCAUAUUUCUUGUAGGAGUAUGGUUAGCACGAACUAUAAGAGAUGUACAUGAGAGAAAAGAAAAGGGAAGGCCUAUCGACUCUCUUUUUUUCUAUAUUCACAGGUAGUACGGAUCGCUUACCAUGACUAAUCCAACAUCAAGCCUUAUCGUUCAUGAACUGUGCCUAGACUUCUUUAAUCAUUUACAUAUAUAAAUUUGGUUAAUCAAGUUGGAGAAGAUCGUGUCAAGAACCAUGCUGUGUAUGUUUGAUAAUGCAGUGAAUAUAAUUUUACAAGAAUAUUUUUCAAUUAAUAAAAUAUUUCUUAAAGAAAUUUUCAAUAAUCUUGUUAAGAAAUUUGGGUGGCCAGACAUUUUAAAGAAUGAUGCUAGUUUCUGGCCACAAGAGGUCAUGCUAGUCACUUUUUGAUCAUGUCUGUGAUCUUUUUGAAUGCUCUGUUCUCCAUCAAAGCUAAUGGAAAUGUGUAUAAAUUAUCAUUUUAUCUUUAUGAAGCAUAUUGUCAGAUCACUGACCUGCUGGUGAACAUUACCAUGCAUGUUCUGCAGCCGAAGAUUUCAAAGAAGAAAACAUAAUGAUUUUGGUGAAUUGUGUUCGAACUCUUUGCAUUUCACCAUCCUCUACCUUUUAUCAUUUUGAGCGUAGUUGCCACCCACCUUUCUGUGGCUCCAUCAUGUUCCCGCUCCAAACCAUUCAUAUAGGUUAUCUUAAAUAGUUUAGCCUGAGCUUUACCGGUUAUGCUUUUUAAUAUAUUUUAAUUUAAGUAAAAUAUAUUUUUUAAAAAUAUUAAAAAAAAACAUACCAUUAAUGUACUCUCAAAAACAUAAUCCAAUUGCAUCUCACGCUUUAAAUUCCAACGAUGAGUACCCAAUUAAACAAUAUCUACAUUGAAUUAAAACUUAUAGUAUAAUUACCUGACAGCGAAAUAAAGAAAAGUAGGAACCCUGCAUUUGGGAAAUUUCUAUAAGGCCUCCAAUCUGAGGCUGUAACGAGCCCUGGAUCCACACAGAAGAAAUUUCGAGGGAAAUGGGUUGAUGUCAGAGGGAGACAAGGAAGCGUACUUUCAGGAGACCAUGACACAAAUCAACGGCUGAAAUCCAAUCACUCAAGGGAUGGUGACACGUUGCCAUAAGUGGGAGGCAGCUGGUCUCCAGCACGAAGAGAAACAGCAGCGUUUUCAUCGUUUAAAAUGAAGUGUUUGUUUUUCUGAGUGUCUUUGUUCUCGUGAUAGCUCGUGGUGGUAGUGGAUAUUUAAAGAUGAUUGAGUAUCUUAAUAAUUGCAAAAACAAUUGAUUUUUUUUUUUUAUGAUUGACACACAAAACCCUAUUUUCAUAGUUAUGUUAAUUGAAGGAUAAUAAAUGGAAGAAUGACAAAUUGCCAGGUGGAAAGUUAUAGCUCAUCACAACAAAUACUUUCCAGCAAAUUGAUUAAUGGCUGUUACAACUAAUUACAACGAAUACUCUUCAUUUCUUCUCUAUAGUUAUGUUAAUGGUAAAAAAAAGUUGGAAAUUAUAAUUUUGAAAAAUAAAUUAAAAGAUAAGUGAUGAUCAAAUUAGAACUUGAUAUUUGAUAUAAAAUAUAAUUUUUUUUAAUUAAAUCCUAACAACAAAUCACAAAUCAGUUUCAAAUUAGUGAAUGUUGCCGAAGAGAAUGGCAAAAAAGAAGAAAAUUAUAUUUUAAGAAAGUCAUGGAGCCGUAUAUUUUUAUUAGAAAAGAAAAAACAUUAGAAUUGAUUGUUAUAUUUCUUGAAACAAAUAAAAAGAAACAAAAAACAAAAUAUAAAUCAUGGAUGAAUUAAAUCCUCUUGAAGACCUGCUUCAAAUAAGAAAGAGGUAAAUACUAUUGGAAUUUAAUUGAUAUACGUUUCUUGCAUGUUGUUUCAAGUUGCAUAAAUACAAGCAAAAUACAUUUAUACAUAUUAUAUUACAAUUGAUAUAUUUUUGGUGCAGAACUGAUAUUAUCUUUUGAAAUUAAAUCCGGUUCAAGGAUGGAGCAUAAAAAAAUUUGAAUUAUUGAGUCAUUUAAUUAAUCAGCAAGGAUUAGGGGAUGAUAAAAAAAUCAAAACACCGAUUAAACUGAGAAAACUGGAAAAAAAAUAAUUCAAAAAACUAAACCUUAAAAAAACCCGAUUAGAAUAUUUAAAAAACUGGCCAAUUCGGUUUGGUUUUGGUUUUAUAAGCCUGAAACUGAAAAACAAAACCGAACCAAAAUUAAUAACCGAGCCAAACCCGAAAAAACCAAGCUAAACAGAAAAAAACGAGCCAAACAGCAAAAAAACGAGCCAAUCGGUUAGGUUUUGGUUUUUACUCUAAAAUAACCAAACCGAACCGAAACCGGUCGGUUUGAACCGAUUUUGAUUUUUUUGUUUGUUUUGAUUUUUAAAUUUGGUUUGGUUAUUAUUUUAAGGAAAAACCAAACUGAAUAAAAAAUAAUCAUCUCUAGUAGGGAUCAUCGAUGAAUCAUUUUAUUAAAAUAAUAUUUUUUUAAAAAAAUAUUUGAUAUUAUUUUAACUAAAUUUGUAUCAAGUUUUAUUAAAUAAAAUAAAUUAUUAAAAAACCAAUCGAGAUAAUAAAAUUCAUAUCAACAUUUUUUCUAAUUCAAUUUUAAAAUUGUCUAUGUCAAGAUCUGGAGGAUGUGCUUUCUACAUCAAAUCAGUAUGCAGGAUGGAGUUUCAAAACUAUAUUAUAUAUAAAAAAAGAUUUUGAAAUAAAAUGAUCCAUUUAUAUAUAUAAAAACAAAAACCUCGAGGUCUCGGGUCCACCGGUGGAAGCAUGAAUGGCGGUCUUCUUCUGCAUUAUUAGCACAUGUGAAAAGAAAGAUUAUAUUUUCCUGUGCAUAUAAUAAUGUUAUACCAAUCAAACCCUCCUUUUCCUGUGCAUAUUUUCCUGUGCACAUAAGUGUGCUUGUAACGUUUUUUUAUUAAGAAAUGUAUUAAAAUAUUAUUUUUUUAUUUUUUAAAAAUUAUUUCCAUAUUAACAUAUGAAAAUACAUAAAAAAAAAUUAAUUUAAAAUAAAAUUUUUUAAUACAUUUCUUAAUAAAAUAAUAUUUUAAAAACUGAGUUCACAUUGCAGAAAGCCUUGGCAGUUGGCACAAGUGGAAGGCAACCUAGAAACAGGUUUAUUUCAACAAUCCAUGUACUGACAUCUGUGUUUGUGGAAACAAAGUUGAAAAGGGCUACAUUUUCCUGUGAUGUGAUAUUGAUUCAGAGAUUUGUAGAAUAAGACGUGGUGCAGAACUGUAGAAGAUAAGGUACAAGACUAUGAAAGUCCUCAGGAAAACUGUAGAAUUGCACAGUUUGAGUGAGAAGUAUUAGACACCGCACUAGCCGCUGCUGUUUUUGGUAUUGUAAUACAUUCCGUAAUCUGAAAAAAAUUAUUUUAUAAAAAAUAUUUUUAGUUGAAAUUUAUUUAAAAAAAAUAUAUAUUUAAUUAAAAUUAUGAUUAAAAUUAAAGUUGAAUGAAAAAUAGCUUAAUAUAUUUAGUUAAAUUUUUUUUUAAAUUAAAGUUAUAUAUAUAGUUUUAAAUUUAAAUAUUAUAGAUUUAAGUAUUGUUAUUACAUCAUGAAAUAAAUAAUAUUGAUAUCAAAUAUUUUUUAUUAUUUUAUUAAACUAUGUGCAAUUUCAUCACGUUCGAAAUCUAUCCGGCAAGGACUACAUUUUCCAUUGUUUAUUAAGCGCGCAACAACAUCAGGUAAAAAUAUUAUUAAGAACAAAAUUUGAAUUGCAAUCAAAUUCUGCAAAUAUUAUGUCAUCAAACGAUCUCCUUCUAAUUUUUUAAAUAAAACACAAAUAAAAAUAAAAAUAAAAACUGAAUUUUUUAAUCUGGGUCGGACCCGGCAAUAACAAAAUUGGAAUUGCGAUCAAAUUCUGCAAAUACUACGUCAUCAAGCAAUCUCCUUCUAAUUUUUUUAAUAAAACACAAUUAAAAAAUAAAAAUUAAAUAUUUUUUUAACCGAAUCCAACCCGGUUCAAUAUAUUUAGCUUUGGACCGAACCUGGUCGAUCCGAAACAAUAACAGUAAUAGUGGAGAGUGAACUCCAGUGGAGUUCACUCUCCACUGCGUAGAGAAGCAGCUUUUGAUCAACCUGCGGUGCAACCUUAAUAAAAUGAUGGGUCCUAUCAAAAGAAGUUGUGUUUUUUACUUAACCAAACAAGAAAAAUUGUGGUUGCAGGUGAACUUUACCUGCGACCACAAUACCAAACAACUAUAAAAAAAAAUUAUUUGAUAUUAUAGUUGAAAAUGUGUUUUGUUCCAACCACAAAAAAAAAAUAAUGGUUCGGUAACCAUUUGAAACGUAAAUUUUGAAGAUGGGUCUCACUAAAAAUUAAGUUUACACAACCGGUUUUGUGAAGCAGAAAAUUACUGCUUUUCAAUUUACUUUUGCCCGCUGCUGCCAAGGGAAAGGAAAAAGGGCCCACCCAAUUUCUUAUUUGCUUCUUUUCUUCUCAGCUCAAGUAAGAGUAUUUCUUUUACUAUCAUCAUUUGUGCACUGCCAAGUGGAUUUAUCCGGCACUGUUCACGUAAACAGUACCCCUACUAUGAACAGUGUUUAUUGAACUGCGUCCAACUCAAAAAAAUUUAAUUUUUUUAAAAUUAUAUUUAUUUAAAAAAUUAAUGUUUAAUAUUAUUUAAUAACACUAUAUAAAUUAGAAAGAGAUUCUAUAAUAAUAUAGCAUUUGUGAAAUUUGAUCGCAAUUCUAAUAUUAUAAUCUUAAUUUGAAAAGUAUCUUUAAUCAAACACAUUAAACUACUUUUUAUUCGAUCUUAAUUUCAACCACAGUUUUAACCAAACAUAUAUAAAUAUGAAACCAAUCUAAACAGUUAAAUAAAUACUAAAAGACAUAAAUUGAAGUUUUUAUAAUAUUCAUAGCAAUGUUCAUCAGCUCAUUUAUAAUUCAUAAUUUAUUUAUCAAUGAAUGAAAAGUAAUAAAAGAAAAAGGAGAGAAGAAAUAAAGUGAAGUCUUCUUCUGCAUUAUUAGCACAUCACGUGAAAAGAAAGAUUGGCAUUUAAUAAAAGUUAUUCCAAUCAAAUAAAGCAAGGACAAACCAAGUUACUCCAUUUUCCUCUCACUUUUUCAACCGAUGGGGUGUCUUGGCAAAUAAAGCAAGGACAGACCGAGUUGACGCGCUCCCUAACUCCAUUUUCCUGGCCCGCGCAAUUCACGCAUACACAAACACAUCCGAACAAUAUUCAUAAAAUUAAUUAACAUCCCGUAAAAAUAUACUUUAAUUUAGAAAAGAUUUUAAAAUGUUAUUUUUUUAAUUUAAUAAUAACAAAGUUUUAUAUUAAAUUGUUUCAACUAAGUUAACAGGUUAGAUUUAUAAUUCGGGUUAUGAAAUUAUAAUACCUAGUUCCCAAAUAAACAAAUAUGGUGAAGUUUUUCCAAUCAAACCCCCUUUUUUUUUAGAUGUAAUUUCUAGAAAAAUAAAUCAAAGAUAAACAGACUAAAAUUUCAAAAUAAAAGAGAAAGAUGGAAUAUCCCACCAAUAUUUAACCCACUUAAAUUGAGCAUAUAAAAGAGUGUUAAAUGAAAAGUUAAAAAUUAAAAAAUAUUAUUUUGACUCUUUCAACUUUAUUUUAUACACCUCAAAAAAAUAUUAAAUAAAAUGUCAAAAUAUCUUUUCUUUCUUAUAAAUACUAUUUCUACAUGUCUAUUAAAAAAACCAAUACUAAAAAAGUGGAGCCAUCAAAAAAAUAAAUCAAUUAAAUAUAAUCAUUAAAAAAAAUAACAUCAAACUCAUUAAAAAAAAUAAAACACUUAUUUCUCUCACUCCAAUACAAUUAGCUUUUCAAAUAGUUUUUUCCAUUAAAAUAUAUAUAAUAAAAAAAAUUAUAUUUAUAUUAUUCAAAAUACUAUUUUAUCAAUUUAGCUAUUCAAAACAUUGUUAUUAAACCCAGACCGGCCCGACAAAUCGACCGGGUGGCUAGACCGGUUCGGGUUUGUCAAAAGACCGGUCAGUGCAACAACCCGGCAAAACUCAGUUGACCCGAUGAGUUGACCCAUGACCUGGGCGAACCCGGACGAGACCAGUUUUUGUUUUUUAAAUGUGGUUUUUCUCCUAUACCCUUCUUUUUUCAUUUUUUUUUUAGUUGGUUAUUAACACUUUUUAAAGUUUACUAUAUAAAUAUUAUAAAAAUAUUUUAUUUUUUCAAUGUAGGAUUUGAAACCCUUUAGUAUAUAUACUAUAUUUUUUCAAGAAAAAAAUUAUUUUUUCAAUGUGAGAUUUGAAACCUUUUGUAGAUAUAUUUUAUGUUCACAAGAAAAAAAUUAUUUUUUUUCAAAGUGUGAUUUGAAACCUUUCAGUUUAUAUACUGUAUGUUUCAAAGAAAAAAAUUAUUUUUUCAAGAUGAGAUUUGAAAUCCUUUAGUAUAUAUACUAUGUGUUUUUAGAUUAUUUAGAUGUGCUGAUAUCAAAAAUAAUUCUUAAAAAAUAAAAAAAUAUUAUUCAACCAACUUGGGUUAACCCAUUAAGCAUUAUUCUCGUAUCAUGGUUCAGAAUAACCUAAUAGAAAAUAAAUAAAACAAAUCAUGAAGUGUGAACCCCGGUUGAAAAUUAGGCAGAAAAGUAAUCUAAAUGUUUAUACAAUAAAUUUAACAGAAGUACCAAAUAAGCAUUAGAACAAACCAAAUACAGACAAAAGAAAAUAUAUACGUAAAUAUGAAUAAAAUAUUGUUGGGAGUGAGUUACCUGGAAAUAAAAUUAUCAAUAUGUAACUAAAUAAAAUUCAAAUUCACCCAGGUAAAAUUUUUAUAUAGACAAAUGCCGGGAAUUAGGAAUUUUAUCCCGGGAACAUGAAAUUUAAUAUUUGGGAUAUAAAGGGAAUUUGGUAAAAUUUAAGAGUGCGUGUGCGCGCACUCUCGGGUAAAAAGAAAAAUGGAGAGAAAAAAAGGAGAGGGGAAACUACCAUUUACAUGUGAGAGAGAUAGAAUUGUAACAAAAACAUAAAAUCUUAAAGGAAGAUCUUGAGGGAACAUUACCCAAGCCUAGUGAGCAUUAAUUGGAAGGAAUAAAAAUCAAGUGAAGGUGAGUAUAAAAGGAGAGAGGAAGUUCAACCAAGAUUAAAGAAGAGGAGUUGAAAGCUUGAUUUAGGAAGUGUUUAGAGUUUAAUUACUUGCUUGGUAAUGCAUUCUAAGGACUUUUGAUCUGAAUUUUAAUGGCUUAAAGUUCUUAAUUGAUUGAAUUUUUAAAAUUAAAAAGUUAGGGUUCUUGAAUAAAUUAAAAGGAAAUAAAAAUUUAUUGUAAUUUGUCAUGGGGAAUAAUGUGAAAAUUAGAGUAAAGUGAUUAAAUUAUUGUAAUUGAAGUAAAGAUUUUGAUAAUUAAAUAGAGCUAGUGGCCAACCAAAUGACGAGAGAUUUUAUGGGAUUUAAUUGUUAAUAAAUGUUGUGAAUUGAUGAAUAAUGUAGUAAGUAGAACUGUUUUUUGAAUAUCUCUUUAUAACUUUUUAAAUUUCAUGGAACAUUUGUGUUGAUUAUUGAGAUGGUGUUAAAUAUUACUAUCAUGAAAAUCAAAAAAGGAAUUGAUGUCUAGAUGAGGAAUAUCAUUGAAUUGUUGGUUCUUAUUAGAUUUUGGUAUGUAAUGGAGUCAUGAGACGUUAAAAAUUCUUGAGAAAUGUUAAAUUAAUAGCUAAAAUUCAUAGAAUGGUAUAUUUUUUAGAAAUAUAGUUAACUAUGAAAUUUAUUUGAUAAAAGAAAAGCAGGAACUUAUGGUAUAUUUCCUUGACAGUGAGUACCCGAUUAAACAAUAUCUAUAUUCAAUUAAAACUUAUGGUAUAUUUCCUUGACAGCGAAACAAAGAAAAGUAGGAACCCUGUAAUAUCUAGGUAAUUUCUAUACCCUUUUAGGUUAUGUUUGUUUUUGAGAAUUCACUUUCUGGAAAAUCACUUUUCACAUUUUUCUGUAUUUAUUUGCCAUUAGAAAAGUUGGUUAACGGAAAACACUUUCCACUCAAAGAAAAAUUUGGCUUGGUUUUUAGAAAAGUGUUUUCCUAAAAAAUUUGGGCGGAAAACACUUUUCGGAAGUUGUGAAAAAUUAGAAAUGUCAUAUUAUUUGCUGUUUAUAUCAAAGUUGAUCCUCAAACUUUUAAUUGCUAUAUAUAUUUUGUUUUGGAUAUUUAUUUUUCAAUUUCAUCUCUUAAAAUUUAAUUUUUAUAUUAAUUUUGGUCCUCAUUUUUAUAAUUGUUAUUUGCUUUUCCCUUAUCAUUUUUUUAUUGAAUUUUUUUAUAUAUCAAAUUUGGUGCUCAUUCUUUUGAUUGUUACUUAUUUUAUUUGAAAUAAUUUAUGAAAUGUUAAUUAUUAUUAUUUUAAUUUCUUCAUCUUUUAUUUUUUUUAUUUUUUAGAUUUGAUCUCUAUUAUUUUGAUUAUUAUUUAUUUUAUUUGAGAUAAUUUAUGAAAUUAUAUUUUUUUUCAAUUUCAUUCUCAUUCAACUUUUUAAUUUGUAAGAUUUGUUCCUCAUUAUUUUAAUAAACUUGAGAAAAAUAAAAUAUUAAUAAGUUAUUUUUCAGUUCAUUUUCCAUGACAUAACCAAACACCGAAAAAUGUUUUCCAACUUAUUUUCCAUUACACUGUCAAAUAUAAAAAAAUAAUUCACUUUUCUGAAAUUUAUUUUUCUAAAAUUUAUAUUUUUUAAAAAAUUAUUUUUCAAUAAACAAACAGUUCUUAAUAACUACUACAAGCUGAGGCUGUAAUGAGCUCAUGACAGAGGGAGAUCUGAAAGCGUAAUUUCAGAAGACCAUGACACAAAUCAACGGCUGAAAUCCAAUCACUCAUGGGAUGGUGACAUGUCGCAUGAGUGGAGACAGCUGGACUUCAAUACGAAAAGAAACAUAGCGUUUUCAUUGUUUAAUUUGUUUUUUUGGAGUAUCUUUGUUCUCAUGAUAGUUCUUGUGGUGAUGGAGACUUAAAAAAGAUAGUUUAUAAAAAUUAUUUUCACUCGUGAUUUGUUUGUUUAAAUAAAUGUUUAACUAAAAUUAUGAUUAAAAAUGUUUAACUAAAAUUAUGAUUAAAAUGGAUGUUUUAACUUAAAUUACCACAAAAGAUACUGGUGAAGGUGGAGAGGAUGUGAGAGACGAUUGGGUAUCUUAAACAUCAACUGUUGUUGGUGGACUAAAAGCCAUCCGCUUGAUUAAUGGUAAACACUUCAGGCUCCUUUCCCGCCCUUUUCCUGGCUGGAUCCUUGAUAUCUUCAAGGGGUGCCAGCGCCUUGUUCGAGGAUUGAGCAUAAAAGACUAAAAAGAGUUAAAUAAAUACUAAAAGACAUAAAGUGAAGUUUUUUAUAAUAUUCAUAGCAAUGGUCAUCACCUCAUUUAUAAUUUAUCAAUUAAUGAAAAGUGAUAAAAGAAGAAGAGAGAAGAAAUAAAGUGAAGUCUUCUUCCGCAUUAUUAGCACAUCACGUGAAAAGAAAGAUUGGCAUAUGAUAAAAGUUAAUCCAAUCAAACCCACUUUUUCGACGAUGGGAUCUCUUGGCAAAUAAAGCAAAGGACAAACCGAGUAAAAUGUGGGACAUAACUCCAUUUUCCUGGCACACGCAACUCACGCGUACACUAACACUAAUUUGCGAUAUUUUUUUACUUGGGAGUUUACAGGCAAAUAAGGGCUUCUUCUGCAUCAUCACAUCAUUUAAUGAAGUUUUCCAGUCAAACCCACUUUUUUCAAAGAUGGAAUUUCUAGUAAAAUGGAGUCCAGAGCAUAACAAGUGCGGAGAGAGAGAAGGCUUUUGCGAGUUCUGUUUUCUGUAUAUUUCUCAAGGGGAUAAAAUAAUGUCUUGUUACAGAUUUGUUUUUGGUAGAAUUGUUAGAGAUCUUAGCCGAUGCAUCUGAAUUAUAAUUUUUAGCAAUUAUACUAUUUUAUAGCCCUAAUAUCUUAAAAAAAACUUAUUUUCUAGCUUUUUUUUAUGGUAUGAUCAAACAUUGCAUGCUUACUCUCUGGUCUAUAUGACCAUUAACAACAAUCACUCGAAACCCACAGUCAUUGCCAUACAUAUUUAACUUGAUGUUUGAGAAUGUGAUAAUGAUUGUUUUUUAAAGUGUUUUUUAUUUUAAAAUAUAUUAAAAUAAUAUUUUUUAUUUUUUAAAAAAUUAUUUUUGACAUCAACACAUUAAAAUAAUAUGAAAACAUCAAAAAUAUAUUAAUUUAAAAUGAAAAAAAUAAAAAAAAUUUAAAUUUUAGUCAAAAAUAUAUUAGUCAAUAUCUGAAUGCAUGAUUAAUUAUGCACUUUGUAACCAUAAAUCUUCCUUUAAUCAUUCCAAAUAAGAAAAAAAAUAGAAAAGAUUUUCUCUAAUCUGUAUGGUGAGUCCCAAUUAUCACUGGCUUCCAAUUUCCAUCCCGUGCUUUCUAGCUGGAUUGGGUGUUUUUUCUCUUCUUUUCUCUUUGUUGGAAUACAAUAAUGCAUCACAACGGUUAAUUCCUUAUCGGUUCGUGUUGCAGUAAUUAUGAACGAUGAGUCCAUUUGACCUUAAAAGUAAAAGUAUCUGCUGUUCAUAACGACUCACUUAAGUUUGCAAUUGAGCUAAUUGUUCUAUAAUUACUGUAGCUAUGAAAGGUGAAGCACAAUUUCAUCCAAAACAAAACUCGUUAUUUUCAAAAAGAAAAAUUACCCCAAUUUUUUUCUUAUAUUUUAGUAUUUCUUAUAUUUAAAGGCAGUAUAGUUGUAAUAUUUUCAAGUAAUCGAAACAACCACCUAUAUAUCAAUUAUAUGAUAUACUGACUUGACUUUCCAAGUGUUUUGACUUUUGAGUACUAGAAGAAGAAAAUAUACUUCUCUCUAAAAAAUAAGGAAAUUUCGGAUGUAUUUUCUUUUAACUGGCGAAAAAACAGGAAGACGAAGAAAGGAAUAUCAUAUUUCUUGUAGGAGUAUGGUUAGCACGAGCUAUAAGAGUUGUACACGAGAGAAAAGAAAAUGGAAGGCCUAUCGACUCUCUUUUUUUCUAUGUUCACAGGUAGUACGGAUCGCUUACCAUGAACAUCAAACCUAUCGUUCAUAAACUGUGCCUAGACUUCUUUAAUCAUUUACAUAUAUAAAUUUGGUUAAUCAAGCUGGAGAAGAUCGUGUCAAGAACCAUGCUGUAUUGUUUGAUAAUGCAGGGAAUAUAAUUUUACAAGAAUAUUUUUCAAUUAAUAAAAUAUUUCUUAAAGAAAUUUUCAAUAAUCUUGUUAAAUUCCAACAAUGAGUACCCGAUUAAAUAAUAUCUACAUUCAAUUAAAACUUAUGGUAUAAUUAUCUGACAGCGAAAUAAAGAAAAGUAGGAACCUUGCAUUUGAGAAAUUUCUAUUAGGCCUCCAAUCCAAGACUGUAACGAGCCCUGGAUCUACACAGAAGAAAUUUCGUGGGAAAUGGGUUGAUGUCAGAGGGAGACAAGGAAGCGUCUUUCAGAAGAACAUGACACAAAUCAACGGCUGAAAUCCAAUCACUUAAGGGAUGGUGACACGUUACCAUGAGUAAAGAUGGAGACACUCACGUUUGGGAACGCUGCUACGGCUGCGUUCUCAAAAAAUUUGAUUUUUUUUUUUUUACUAAAAUUUAAUAUGAUUUGUAUCGUUUUGAUGUGAUGAUAUCAAAAAUGAUUUUUAAAAAAUGAAAAAAUAUCAUUAACAUUCAUUUUGACACGAAAAGUAAUUUAAAAAACAUCCACAACUACACUGACAAACAUGACAAGGGAGACAGCUGGUCUCUGGUACGAAGAGAAACAGCAGCGUUUUCAUCGUUUAAAAUGGAGUGUUUGUUUUUCUGAGUGUCUUUGUCCUCGUGAUAGCUCGUGGUGGUGGAUGUUUAAAGAUGAUUGCGUAUCUUAAUAAUUGCAAAAACAAUUGAUUUUUUUUUUUUUUUUGAUGAUUGACACACAAAACCCUAUUUUCAUAGUUAUGUUAAUUGAAGGAUAAUAAAUGGUAGAAUGACAAAUUGCCAGGUGGAAAGUUAUACCUCAUCACAACAAAUACUUUCCAGCAAAUUGAUUAAUGGCUGUUACAACUAAUUACAACGAAUACUCUUCAUUUCUUCUCUAUAGUUAUGUUAAUGGUAAAAAAAAAGUUGGAAAUUAUAAUUUUGAAAAAUAAAUUAAAAGAUAAGUGAUGAUCAAAUUAGAACUUGAUAUUUGAUAUAAAAUAUAAUUUUUUUUAAUUAAAUCCUAACAACAAAUCACAAAUCAGUUUCAAAUUAGUGAAUGUUGCCGAAGAGAAUGGCAAAAAAGAAGAAAAUUAUAUUUUAAGAAAGUCAUGGAGCCGUAUAUUUUUAUUAUAAAAGAAUCAAUAGAGAAAAGAAAAAACAUUAGAAUUGAUUGUUAUAUUUCUUGAAACAAAUAAAAAGAAACAAAAAACAAAAUAUAAAUCAUGGAUGAAUUAAAUCCUCUUGAAGACCUGCUUCAAAGUAAGAAAGAGGUAAAUACUAUUGGAAUUUAAUUGAUAUACGUUUCUUGCAUGUUGUUUCAAGUUGCAUAAAUACAAGCAAAAUACAUUUAUACAUAUUAUAUUACAAUUGAUAUAUUUUUUUGGUGCAGAACUGAUAUUAUCUUUUGAAAUUAAAUCCGGUUCAAGGAUGGAGCAUAAAAAAAUUUGAAUUAUUGAGUCAUUUAAUUAAUCAGCAAGGAUUAGGGGAUGAUAAAAAAACCAAAACACCGAUUAAACUGAGAAAACUGGAAAAAAAAUAAUUCAAAAAACUAAACCUUAAAAAACCCCGAUUAGAAUAUUUAAAAAACUGGUCAGUUUGGUUUAGUUUUGGUUUUAUAAGCCUGAAACUGAAAAACAAAACCGAACCAAAAUUAAUAACCGAGCCAAACCCGAAAAACCAAGCUAAACAGAAAAAACGAGCCAAACAGCAAAAAAACCGAGCCAAUCGGUUAGGUUUUGGUUUUUGCUCUAAAAUAACCAAACUGAAUCGAAACCGGUCGGUUUGAACCGAUUUUGAUUUUUUUGUUUGUUUUGAUUUUUAAAUUUGGUUUGGUUAUUUUUUUAAAGAAAAACCAAACUGAAUAAAAAAUAAUCAUCUCUAGUAGGGAUCACCGAUGAAUUAUUUUAUUAAAAUAAUUUUUUUUGAAAAAUAUUUGAUAUUAUUUUAACUAAAUUUGUAUCAAGUUUUAUUAAAUAAAAUAAAUUAUUAAAAAACCAAUCGAGAUAAUAAAAUUUUAUCAUAUCAACAUUUUUUCUAAUUCAAUUUUAAAAUUGUCUAUGUCAAGAUCUGGAGGAUGUGCUUUCUACAUCAAAUCAGUAUGCAGGAUGGAGUUUCAAAACUAUAUUAUAUAUAAAAAAAGAUUUUGAAAUAAAAUGAUCCAUUUAUAUAUAUAAAAACAAAAACCUCGAGGUCUAGGGUCCACCGGUGGAGGCAUGAAUGGCGGUCUUCUUCUGCAUUAUUAGCACAUGUGAAAAGAAAGAUUAUAUUUUCCUGGGCAUAUAAUAAAGUUAUUCCAAUCAAACCCUCUUUUUCAACCGAUGGGGUCUCUUGGCAAAUAAAGCAAGGACAGACUGAGAAAGAUAUCCAGAACAAUAUUCAUAACAAUAUUUAUAAAAUAAUAUAUAUAAUCUUUCUCAACCGAUCGGCAACUCACGCAUACAUAAACAUAUCCAGAACAAUAUUCAUAAAAUUAAUUAAUAUCCCAUAAAAAUAUAAUUUAAUUAAAAAAAAAAAUUAAAAUGAUACUUUUAAUAUAAAAAUAACAAAGUAUUAGAUUAAAAUGACUUGUUAUCAAGUAAUCAAAUAUUAACAUGAUCAUAAGAUUGAGAUAACUUCAUAUAAAAUAAAAUAAAAAUAAAUUAUAAAGUUCAAUUUAUAAUUAAUUUAAUAUUAAAGGAUGAGAUUAAAAAAAUUAAUUUAAAAAAAACAUAAAAAUAAUCCAAGUCAAUCUGUUAAACCCAUAAUUCGUCAUGAAACAAAUAUAACCUCAUAGAAAAAAAUAAAAAAAUAACUUGAUUUAAUUCGCUAAAUCCGCAAUUCUGAUAACGAGAACGAGAAAAUCUCAUAAAGAGCAAGUCAAAAUAUAUUAUAAAGUUUAAUUCUCAGUCGAUCAAAUAUUGAAUGAUAAAGAUGGAAAAAAAUUCAAUUAUAAAAACACAAAAAAACAACCUGAAUUAACUCAGGUUAACCCAUUAAGUAUUAUUCUCAGGUCAUGUGGUCAGAAUAACCUAAUAGAAAAUAAACAAAAUAAAAUUUAUAACUUAAUUUUCAAUUAACCUAAUAUUAAAAGAUGAAAUUAUAAAAAAAAAAUUAAAAAAAUCAAGCCAACUAAAUUAACCUAUCAAAACUAUAAUAAUAAUUAUUAUAAAAGUGAGAUAACAUACAAAAGACAAAUUUAAUAAUAAAAAAAAACACAUUGAUUAAAAGAAAAGGCAAAGCACUUAUUCAAAUAACUGUAUAAAAUAUAGUAAUAUAAUGUAUAAUGUAUAAUUUAUUUUUUUAAUUUAUAACUGAAAGUGAGAAAAGGAAGAAGAGAAAAGAAAUAAAGUGAAGUCUUGUGCUGCAAGAUCACCUCACCUGAAAAGUUUGGCAUUUAGUGAAGUUUUUCCAAAUCAAACCCACUUUUUCAAAGAUGGAAUUUCCAAGUAAAUAAAUCGAAGACAAACCUAGUAAAAUGGAGUCUAGAGCAUAACAAGUAGUUACAAAGCCGAGAAAGAAAAAGCUUUUGCGAGUUCUUUACACAAACUCUUACUUCUUAUGUAACCUGAACAAAAAUCCCUCUUCUUCUUCUUCUUCUUCUUCUUCUUUGUUUACUCUUCCUUCGUUACUUUGCAAAGAGGAUAAACCAUGGCUGAGGCUUUAGUAGGAGGAGCUUUUCUUUCUGCUUUCCUUAAUGUUUUGCUUGACAGGAUGGCUUCUCGCCAGGUGGUGAACUUCUUCAGUGGCCAAAAAAUCAACAAUAGCCUGCUGGAGAGGUUGGAGACAGCAAUGAGAUCUGCCAGUCGGGUGCUUGACGAUGCCGAGGAGAAGCAGAUAACAAGUACAGAUGUGUGGGAUUGGCUGGCCGAGAUUAAAGACGCUGUCUAUAAAGCCGACGACUUCUUGGAUGCGAUUGCUUAUAAAGCUCUACGACAGGAGUUGAAAGCUGAAGAUCAAACCUUCACAUGUCAUAUGCAGAGAUUUCUUUCUUUCUUUAACCUAUGUAAAAAUGGGCUGGGAGAGAUCGAAGAAGAAUUAAAAGUCCUCUUGCAGGAUCUAGAUCGCUUAGUUGAUCGAACGGUUGCCCUUGGUUUGAUCACCCGCACUGGAAAAGAACCAUCAUCGCCUAAAACACCCGGAGAAACUUCUCUGGUGGAUGAACGUGGUGUUUAUGGUAGAGAUAAUGACGAGAAAGCAAUACUGAAGUUACUUCUAUCAGACGAUGCAAAUGGACAAAGCCUAGGUGUUGUUCGCAUAGUGGGCAUGGGCGGGGUUGGUAAAACCACGCUUGCUCAGAUUGUAUACAAUAACAGCGAAGUACAGAGGUGCUUCAAUCUCAAAGCUUGGGUUUGUGUUUCAGAAGAUUUCAGUGUUUCAAAGCUAACCAAGGUUAUCCUUGAGGAGGUCGGUUCAAAGCCUGAUUUUGAGAGUCUGAAUCUGCUCCAGAUUCAGUUGAAGGAGAGGUUGCUGGAAAAGAAAUUUUUGCUUGUUUUAGAUGAUGUAUGGGAAGAAAAUUAUGCUAAAUGGGUCAGUUUGCUUGAACCCUUGAAGUCUGGAGCACAAGGGAGUAAGAUUCUUGUUACAACACGCCAUGAAAGGGUAGCAUCAGUCAUGCCAACUGUUCCAACUCAUCAUCUAAAAGAAUUGACGGAAGACUUCUGUUGGUCCUUGUUUGCCAAACAUGCAUUCGGUGAUGAAAAUUCCAUUGCGGAUGAAGAGUUGCAAAAAAUUGGUAGAGCAAUAGCGAAAAAGUGUAAAGGCCUGCCUCUAGCUGCAAAAUCACUCGGAGGUCUGCUAUGCAACGAAAGAGAUGUCGAGGAGUGGCGGGAUAUUUUGGAAAGCAAUCUAUGGGAUUUACCCAAAGACAAUAUCCUCCCAGCUUUGAGAUUAAGUUAUCAUCAUCUCCCGUCGCAUCUGAAGCAAUGUUUUGCUUAUUGUGCCAUAUUUCCAAAAGACUAUUCAUUUGGAAAGGAUGAAUUAGUGCUCCUUUGGAUGGCAGAGGGCUUCUUGGUCCACUCUGCAGUAGAGAUGGAAAAAGCAGGAGCUAAGUGCUUUGAUGAUCUCUUGUCAAGGUCGUUUUUCCAGCAAUCAAGUGCCUCUCGCCCCUCAUUUCUGAUGCACGAUCUCAUGCAUGACUUGGCUACCCAUGUGUCCGGUCAAUUUUGCUUCAGCUCCAGGUUGGGGGAAAAUAAUUCUUCCAAGGCCACCAGAAGGACUCGACAUUUAUCACUCGUAGUAGAUACGGAAGACGGAGAUACUGAAGGUGUUUUUUCAAGCACAAAAUUAGAAAACAUCCGUAAAGCCCAACAUCUACGCACAUUCCGAACUUUUCCACACAAUCGGAUGUGUCCUCCUGAAUUUUAUAAGGAGAUCUUUCGGUCAACACAUUGUCGCCUACGAGUGCUAUUCAUGACUAAUUGUCAAGAUGCAUCUAUGUUGUCAUGUUCAACUAGCAAGUUGAAGCAUUUGCGGUAUUUGGAUCUUUCCGGGUCAGAUUUAGUAACGUUGCCUGAAGAAGUGAGUGCUCUUCUCAAUUUGCAAACGUUGAUCUUGGAAAGUUGCCACCUACUUGCUAGUCUACCUGAUCUUGGAAAUUUGAAGCAUUUACGACAUCUGAAUCUUCAACGUACAAGAAUCGAAAGGUUGCCUGCAUCUCUGGAAAGGUUAAUCAACUUGCGGUAUCUUAACAUCUCAGACCACACCUUUGAAGGAGAUGCCACCACAUAUAGGUCAACUGACAAAGCUCCAAACGUUAACUGCCUUUAUCGUUGGAAGACAGAGUGAGUCUAGCUUUAAAGAAUUGGGAAAGCUAAGACAUCUACGGGGAGAACUUCAUAUUCGGAACCUUCAAAAUGUGGUGGAUGCUCGGGAUGCUGUUGGAGCAAAUUUGAAAGGUAGAAAACACCUUGUAAGCUUGAGGUUUACAUGGGAUGGUGACACUCAUGACCCGCAACACGUAACAAGCACACUUGAGAAAUUAGAGCCAAAUAGAAAUGUGAAGGAUCUUCAGAUUGAUGGUUAUGGAGGUUUAAGGUUUCCGGAGUGGGUAGGAGAGUCCUCUUUCUCAAAUAUAGUGUCCUUGAAGCUCAGUAGAUGUAAAAACUGCACCUCCUUACCACCGCUCGGGCAAUUAACUUCUUUAAAGGAUCUCACAAUUGAAGCAUUCGAUAAAGUUGAGACUGUGGACUCUGAGUUCUAUGGGAAUUGUACUGCUAUGAAGAAGCCAUUUGAAUCCCUCAAAACAUUACGGUUUGAAGGGAUGCCAGAAUGGCGCGAGUGGAUUUCAGACGAAGGCAGCCGGGAAGCCUUCCCUCUUCUUGAGUUUCUUUCAAUCAAAGAAUGCCCCAACCUUACAAAGGCCCUACCUGGUCACAACCUUCCACGUGUAACAAGACUUAAAAUUAAAGGAUGUGAGCAGCUCGCGACUCCACUUCCUAGGAUUCCUAGGCUGCACUCUCUCUCUGUUUCUGGAUUCCACUCCCUAGCGUCCCUACCCGAGGAAAUUGAGCAAAUGGGUUGGUCACCCUCUGAUUUAGGAAAAAUUAAUAUCAAGGGCUGGGCUUCUCUCAAAUGCAUCUCACUGGACUUGUUCCCCAAGCUAACUACUCUUUCUAUCUCUGACUGUCCAGAUCUCGAAUCACUAUGUGCACAUGAAAGACCCCUCAAUGAUCUCACCUCUCUCCAUUCUUUGGAAAUCGAGCAGUGCCCUAAAUUAGUUUCAUUUCCCAAAGGAGGGUUACCUGCUCCAGUCUUAACAGAACUUACGUUACGACAUUGCAGAAAUUUGAAGCAGUUGCCUGAGAGGAUGCCUUCCCUCCUUCCAUCCCUUGACUUUUUGGGAAUAUUUGGUUGUUCAGAAGUUGAGUUGUGUCCAGAAGGCGGUUUUCCCUCCACAUUACACUUUCUUUGGAUUCGUAAUUGCAACAAACUCAUUGCAGGCCGCAUGCAAUGGGGCUUGCAAACGCUCACUUCUCUUUCAGUGUUUUUUAUUGGUGAAGACGAAAAUGUUGAAUCCUUCCCUGAAGAGAUGCUGCUGCCCUCAAGUCUUACAUAUCUUAACAUCUCUGACCUACAACACCUGAAAUCUCUUGACUACAAGGGGCUUCAACACCUCACCUCCCUUAAACAAUUGAAUAUACAUGACUGCCCUCUGCUUGAGUCAAUGCCAGAAGAAGGGUUGCCCUCCUCCCUUUCUGCUCUUUUUAUUGUAGAUUGUCCUAUGCUGGGUGAAAGUUGUGAAAGAAAAGGUAAAUAUUGGCCCAAGAUUUCUCACAUUCCUAUCCUAAGUAUUAACCGAGCAAAAAGUAGCUUUUCUUUCAAUCGUCCAACAUAUUUUUUGAGGUAUUGCUCCUAGAAAGCUGUAUGUUUUUAUUUGUUGUAUGUUGAAAUACAGAUAAUUUCUUCCAUAAUUAUUGUCUCUCAUUCAUCUCCAUAAAUAAUAAUCAUCAUUCUAUUUCAAUAAUAAUCAUCAAAUGCGGCAAAUAAACAUCACAUGCUUCAGAUUUUGAACUGCCAGCGCCGUCCUUAAAAAACAAGUGUCCAUCUUAAAAGAUUAAAAAAUAUUUAAGUAAUCUGCAACAGAUUUUUCAUUGUUGACGCGGCAAAAUCAAAAUUCAAAAUUUAAGUAAUCAAAAUUCAAAAAUCUCCGUUCUCUCCUUUUCUCCUUUUCCGCAUCUCCAAAAAUUCAAAAUCCAAAAACUUUUGAUUUAUCUAUUUUAUUAUUACUUAACUUUUCUUGAAGUUUACUUUCAUAAAAGAUCUUUUAUAGAUAUAAAAAGAAGAGAUAAUAUAAAAUUCAUCCGUAUUGGAAUCACAAUUCAGAAUCAAGUGAAAGUGGCCAAUGUCACUGAAGAGAAAGGAUUAAAGCACAGAAAGUCAUCAUCUUGAGAACUCACAGCAAAGAGUUCAUUGUUUUGCAGUAGAUACGUAGCUAUAUUAACAACAAUACUUCCAGCAUGCACAAAUGCGACUUCUUGAUGGUUACGCUGCUAAAGACAUUUACAAAUCCCCAUCAAUACUGGUGUUUAUUCCUCAUGAUGAUCCAGUGAGCUCACAAUAAAAGAAAACCUCGGCAUUACUAGUAAAUCGUCACUGCAAGCAUGGAAGAGAUUCAGGUAGGAAUUACCCUUGUCUUCAUUGAGAGGCUUUAACCUCCCUAGCUCCUUCAUCAGCAGGCCCAUUGUUUGAUGCAUCCUCUGAAGCGUCUAAGCAAGGAUUGCUUUUACACUGACUUACAGGCUGAGCAUUGGUCAAGAGACUAGAAAGUUGAGACCCCUUUUGCGAAAAGUUUGGUUUACCUUUCGGAGUCUCAGACAGGCUUCCCGUUGACAGCUUUACUAGGCCAUUGUCUUGUGCUCACACGGGAGCUUAAUUGAAAAAGGUGAUUCAGGUGUCUCAGGAUGCUUCCCAGGAAUAUCCAUCGGUCUAUGAAACAGCAAAUGAGCCACAGUCCGGUCUACGGGAUUUGUCUCUGUUUCCACCUCAGGCAUCUUAACCACCCUGCAGUAUACUCAUAAAAUCCAUGAGGAAAAUGACAGGCAAGUUUGAGAUUGCCAUACUCUAAACAAAUUGAUAAACAAAUUGAUAAACACUUGAUUAAUAAUUUUGUGCAUACAAAUUGAAUAAUUUGAAAUGGGAAGGACGAGAUGUAAAGGAACAAACCCAUUGGAACAAGGAACAAUCACAUUGUCGCUUACAACAAAAAAUCGAGUUUCAGAUCAAAAGAGCGUAUGGUUUUGGCUGGAAGUGUCCCAUUGAGACAUAGAUGAGCCGAUUAGAAGAUGAUUUGAGUUCUUAAAUUUUCUUGCUUAAAAUGUAAUGUAACAUGAAUCUGCAGAUGAUCAUUAUAUUAGAAGGGAAAUUUAAUUUUGCCCUAUUUAUCUAAAGUUGUGCAAGUUCUCUGCAUUGAUGAUUUCAGUGAAUCUGUACAGAUCUUGUUUUCCUUCUAUUUGUCCUUGAAUAAACUUAUUGCACUUGCUUAACAUUCUUUGUCUCUCUCUCUUAGUUAAAUCUAGCAAAAUUUAUCAGGUAUGUUGUGCCACUCAUUUAGACUUGGAUGUGCGUGUUUAGCUCUCCUUUUCGGAUUAAGGUGAUUAUGCACAAAUUCACUGGAAUCAACAUUGCAGAAAACUUGCAUAGAUUUUGUUAAUAUUGGAAAAAUUAAAUUUCCUUUUCUAAUUAAAUGAAAAUCUCUACUAAAUAUUAUGCUAUUUGAAUUGUCACCUCAUGACUACUUGCUGCACUGCACUCAUGAAUGCUGCACCAGGGUAAAGCUACAAAUGUCAGUUUUUAAUAUCUGCCUCUACCUAGCUCGGCCUACAAUACCAAAGUUUCUCUCCUACAAAUGCCAGUUUAAUAUCUGCCUCUACCAUAACAGAACCAGUGGAAGCGAACUACUACAUAUUUGAUCAACAAGGUCAAAUUCAGUCAAGUUUUUAAGGAAAUCCAGUGAAAGAGGAACCUAAAAUUUUCUGUUUAGAUUUUCUUCUACUUCUAAGAACAAGCGCGGCCUUAAUUGAAUUGUUUCAGUCACUAUUCCUCCAUUGUAAAUAGAGGAUACCGCUUUCAAUAUUUAUUUCUAGAAUUAGAAUGGAAAACAGAAAAUGGUGAUGGCAUUAAAAGAUCCUAAUCUAACAUUUCUAUAGAGCAAAAAUGUUUAAAAAAAGAGAGGAUAGAUUAAAUUUGAAAACAGAAGCAUGAGAAAUGCAUUGCCUUAACCAACCUUCUUUGACUGCUGGUUUCCUCUUUUGCAGCAACUUGUUCGUCCCUGCUACUAUUGUUUGUACUGCCAGUAUCACUAGCAUAAUGCCUUUGCAUUGCACUUUGAGCCAGCCGGAACAAGCUAUCCCGAAUACAAAGUCUAAUUCUGACAUCCAACUGUUGUAAAACAUUGGUUUGGAAUCGUAACCAAUUCUUGAAGCAUGUAGAGUACUGUGUCCUCCAUUGAAUAAUCAUUAACCGCCAGAGAGACUGUAUUGGAAUCGUCUUGCUCAAUAGGCGAGUUUGGGUCAAAUGAAGCAAGUGUACUUAGAUCCUCUACUUCAGGGCCAGCUCCUUCAACAUGCUGAAUUUGAUUUUCUUGGGAACACUUUUGAUGAACAAGCUGCUGCUGCUGUUUCUGAAUGGCAAGCAUUGCCUGCAUUUGUUGCCGCCUCCUUAAUUUUUCAAUCUUUUCCUGAGGUGUCAUUCUCUGGGGUUUCACUGGACAGUCAGCUAACUUGUUUAUAGGAUUUGCAUUGCCUGAAACUUCAUAACCAGAAAUUUUAGGUCGAUGAUUAAAUGACUAGAAAUUUUGUUGGAAAGUCAGAAAACUUUAACAGGAUUCGCAUUACCUGAAGAAACUUCAUAACCAGAAGCUAAAGGUUGAUGCUUAAAAUCCCCAGACUGAAUGUGGGACAACCCAGGCAUAGAAUAUGGAUUUGUAAUACUCGUAUGCAGAAGGGGCCACAAAUGGAUUGGAUAUCUGCUGGUACUGCAACUGCUCGGAACCCUGUAGCUGCUUCUGUUGGCUGAGAAUUGAAGGGGGAGAAGAUUGCUUAAUUUGGGGUGCUAAAUGAUCCUUAAGUUGACAGGCUGGGAUUCCAGAUGAAGUCCAUUUUCCAUAAAAAUCUUGGUAUGAUUUCAGUUCACCUUUUUCUUCCAGUUUUUCCCGACCUUUCAAGAUCUUCUUUUGCCUGUGAGUCUGAUCACAGAACUAUAAACAUAUGAAUAGACAAAUUACUUAGAAUAGAUCAACGUUUUAACCAUCUAGACCUGCAGGGGAGAGUGACUAAGGCACAGUUAGUAUUUUAAUUAAGUACAUGGUUUGUAAGGAUAAAUUCAAUGUUAUUUUUUUUUUUUAACUGUAACUUAUGAUCCAAAGGGCUUCUAUUGUUCAGAAUAUAUUGAGGUAUUAGCUAAACUAGGCAAAGCAAACAGAAUUUGCAUGUCCCUGGGAAGAGUGGAUGUCAUGCUAGAAAUAUAAAUAACUGAUGCCUCCUGAAUUUUCACAUGUUAUUCCUUUCUCCUUCCUACUCACAGAAAACCACACAAUGGCUUUACUUUAGGCAAUCGAUAUCAUGGUUAAGUCAUGGGAAGCUGAAAUGACAUCUCUGUCAGGCAUUUCAGCUUCCCAUGACUUAACCAUGAUAUCGAUUCCCAUCUUGAUAAUUAUAGAAGUGAUGACUAAAUCAUGUAAAUCCAUAUUCACCCAACAUCCAAGUUUAUUCUCAUUCCAAAAAAUAAAACUAAAAAUAAUAGCAAGAAAUAUGAAGAGACGAAGAGGAAUUUAAAUAAUAUAAUUUCUCUUUUCUGUCGCCAUUUUCCAUUCCAGAGAAGUACUCGGGAAGUCUUAAUAAGUUCAAGUGUAAGGUAACUUUUACCCUUCCCAGCUCUAAUUAGGUUUCGCUGUCCCUCCAAUCUAAUUUAAGAUCUAAUAUGAGGAAACCACACUGUAUUAGUGAAAGGAUCACAAUAUCAAGAUUUUCCAACUUCAAUUCACUGAUAUAACUUUUCUUGAAUCCUGGACAAAAGAACUUAGAACAUCAAAAGAUCAUAGCAGGAUUCUAAAAAACAAAGAUUGUAUUUGGUGCUUAUUGAGUCUAAAAGUUAUCCUGGAUGAAAAGGGUAAAAAUCAGUAACAUGUCUGGUUCAGUAUCAAGAUUUUGAAAAUAUCAAAAGGAAGAAAAAAAAAAGGUACCUUGUUUGCUAAUUCAUUUGGAAAAGCACCAUUUUCCUCUGUCAGUUGAGAGUUAGCCGCCGUGUUCUUUCCCACAACAGCCAAAUCUGUCUGCAAAAGCACAAUAAAUAAAUAAAAAUAAAUGCUAAGCUUCUCUCAGCUCCUGCACUUGAGCAUGGGGCAUUAAUAAGUGAACUCAUUACUGAAAAUUGAGUUGCUAUACCUGCUCCUUCAGUAUAGGCUUGUUUUUACCUUCAUCAUAUUCUACAUGAUCAAGGCUUGCCUGAGUAUUCUGCAGACCAUGAGAUGCAGGAUCGUUCAUUUUUCCAUAGCCAAGGGUAAACAGCCGGUCCUCUUCUUGUGCAUACUCUUCUCUCGAAGCCACAGAUAUUGGAAAGGGCUUUACCGGGCUUUUAGUUAUAUCUUUAGAAGAAGACUGUUAGAGGUCUAGGCGCGGGGCGCGCCAACGAAGGCACAUUGCCUAGAAUUCGGCAGCGAUGGACUGCGGCAGAAACGAAUUCGGCAGGCAGCGUGCAUGGUCUGUGCAAGUCUUUGAGCUGGCGACUUGGCAUGGACGUGGGGCUUAGACAAUGGACCUUCUAAGUCAGCAGCUGAUGCAGCAGAAAUUGGCAAUUGGGGGCUGCCAAGUAGACAGCCAGGAAAUGGGGGAAGUGGCAGCUUCAUGGGAAGCAAAACGUGGGAGCAUAAAAUGGGGUGUUCUCCAUGCCACUAAGUCCUGGAAACAUGGGAUCAUGGAUGAGAGGUAGUGCUCCACUAUAUCCUGAAAACAUGGGAUCAUGGGUUCGAGAAAGUGCUCCACUAGGUCCCGAAAAUAGGGGUUAAUGGGGGGGAGCUUGCUGCUCAUAUUUGUCUAUAAAUAGGCUGCCAAGCCUCUGUUGUGGAGCUUGCGAUUUGUGCAUAGCACACACCAUAUUGNNNNNNNNNNNNNNNNNNNNNNNNNNNNNNNNNNNNNNNNNNNNNNNNNNNNNNNNNNNNNNNNNNNNNNNNNNNNNNNNNNNNNNNNNNNNNNNNNNNNAAAGAACUGGUCACAAGAGGUUUACAUACCACUUUGAUUACUGACUCAGCAGUUUUUGCCAUGAUUUCCCGUGUGAACAUGGUAUGAGAGAGUUUAGUUUUUUUCUUUUCUUGUCUAUUUUUUUGGUAUUGGUCUGCUUACUAUUUUGAUCCAUCUUAAAUUUUUUAUGGAAAGGUUAUAGUUGGAGCUCAUGCUGUAAUGGCCAAUGGUGGUGUGAUAGUACCUGUUGGGCUGAAUAUGGUUGCACUUGCAGCUCAAAAGCAUGCUGUACCUUUUGUCGUGCUUGCAGGCAGUCACAAGGUAAUUUAGCACAAUAAUAUCCCUUAGAGUUUUGGUAGUGAGCAAGUAAACAAACUGCCAUAUUUGAAUUGCUUGUUCUGUUUUUGCUAUUGAAUGGCAUGCUGCUGUCAUACUGCUUUACUUGUGACGGAAAAUAAUGGCAACUAUAUAGCAAUAAAUGGAAUGUCUCUUCUGUGGCCCAGAAGAUGUUUGUCAUUUCCUUCUCUGCAUCUUUUUUCUGUUAGUGUUGGUGUUUGUUGCAGGGCCAUGUGCCAGCUCAUACUGACCUAAUGAAACCCAAAUAGGCUAUAAUUUGAUUGAACUACAAGCAUAAGAAUUGCAAGUUAUAAAAAAUAAGUCCCGCCUUUGGUGCUCCUAAAAUCUUAACAUUUUGUCUUUUUCUAACUUGUUGCGUUCUUCUGAACUCAGAUCAUUGUUUAUUAUAUUUAUUUCUAGAUUUUUUUUUCUAAUGUUUAAUUUAUAGAAAUCUAGUACACAUAACAGGGAUGAAAAUGCCCAGGGAGGACAGAAAUUUUUUAUGAAUCCAAACACGAAGACAAAUGAAGAAAAACAAAUAUGGAAUUUCUUUGUUUAAUUGUAACUGGAUGGUGUCAAUAGUUAAUCCUUGUGUGUUUUGUCUCUGAUUUUGUGGCCUUGCUAAUUAUACAGUCAGUAAAACGACUUGGAUAAUGUUAAUGACUUUUGUGAUGGUAGACUUUGAAUUUUAAAUACUGUUCUGAUUCUUGCUUUAAUCCUUCGUACACUUGGCUGUUUUUCUUGGAUGGAAGCUGUGUCCCUUGUACCCUCACAAUCCUGAGGUCUUACUAAAUGAAUUGAGAUCUCCAUCCGAGCUUCUGGAUUUUGGAGAAUUCUCAGAUUGCUUAGAUUUUGGGAGCGGUACGGGCUCUCCUCUUCUUCAUGUUGUCAAUCCAGCAUUUGAUUAUGUGCCACCAAAGCUUGUUAGUCUGUUUAUCACUGACACGUAAGUUCUAGUACUUUUGAGGACAUCUUUUAAUGUUAACCACUGAUGCAAAUCAUUGAUUAGAAUAAUACUUAUUCCACUAAACAGUGUUAGGUCUCUGGUGCCAAAUCAGAUGGAUUUGAUAUAAUUAUGUCAAGUUCCAACUUCCAAAUCUUAAAUUAUUUAUAUUUUCAUCUCAUGCAAUUCUAACCGCUGUUAAUUUCUAAUUACUUCACAGUGGAGGGCACAAUCCAUCAUACAUGUACCGACUCAUUGCAGAUUAUUACUCCGCCGAUGAUUUGGUGGUGCGAAGAAGGGUUGCUUUGGGAAAUUGAGCUCAAGUCACUUUUGUUUACAAUAUUAUCUGUAAGUUUCCUCAUUCAUGUUGCUUUGUUAAUGGAAGAAUAGAGUUUGCCAAGUACAUACAGAUUUUCACCAUGAAGAAAGUUUGCUAUCUGAAGCACAAAUCAUGCUAUCUUUCUUGUAGUCUUUCACUGAACAAAUGGAAAUGGAAUCUGUUAGUUGCUAGAAUGACAUUUCUCAUCAUCUCAAUUCCCUUUCAGUUAUUUCUUGUCUUUCUCUGUAUGAAUUUGCUGCCCCCUCCCCCCGCACUGUUGCUGAAGUUGUUUUCAUUUCUCUCAUCUACCGUGGCUGAUCUCAAUUCAGAUUGCUUUUCACAAAUUAUGCAUCGCAAAAGGAUAAAUGUUUGGGUAAUGCCUGCCCUUGUGUUGUAUAUACAUUGCGAUUCCAUUACGGAACAUAAGCUGUAUCCAUAGUGUCCACAUGAGGGUAUCUCAUGACCACUUAAAACUCAACUUCUUUGUUUCUCUUUUGUUGCAAUUAUGUUAAAUUAUGAUAACUUAUAAUGCUUAGUAAGUGGUUGCAAAUACCAAUAACUUCAACUUUCUUGGGACAUAAUAGGGCCAUUGCUUGUUGUCGCCGCUUUUCUGAUAUUUUCCUGUUUUCACCUUUCAGGUAGUUUAGGAGUUACCAUGGUAAGAAGUGAUGGAUGAGGAUAGAGUAGUUUUGUCUCAGUGUAUGGAAGCAUUUAACCAUUGUUUAUGCUGGAAGAGAAGCAAACUUGUUGAUAGGGGGCAAUGCGAGGGGUAGACUAGCCAGGAAAUGACCAUUUUUUUUUAUUAUUAUUGAAGCAAAGGGCUAAGAGCUAAGAGCUACACUGAGAAGGAACGAAUGCCAUGAUGGUUGUAGCAAGUUAUAAACUAUGUAUGCCGUGUCAAAACUGUGAAAAGGAAAGGAAAAAGGAGCAACAGGUUAUAUCGAGUUUAAUCGAAAACUUGAGAACAAUUUGCACGUGGAGAAUGCGAUGGUUAGUGGGCUGUGUCGUGUGAGCACAUUUGAAAGUACUAUGGUUUAUUAGUUUUUGUUAGGAGGAGUUUUCGGUUUCCAAUACCUGAAGUUUUUUUUUUUUAAAUCUUUGUAUUUAUAUUUACUUCUCCUUUUAUCUUUAAUUUCUCAUGAAUAUGAAUAAAAGUACCAGAUUAAUUUGAAAAACUUGAGCUUGAUUAGGGUUGGGUUUUAAGAGACUCUUUUCAAGUGUGUUUUUUAAAAUAUAUUUUUAUUUAGAAAUGUAUUAAAAUAUUUAUUUUAUUUUAUUUUUGAUAUUAAUAUAAUUAACAAAGUAAAUUUAAAAUUAAAAAAAUAUUUUUUUAAAAAAACAUGAUAUAAUUGUAAAAUUAAAAAAAAAAUAUUGAUAAAGUCAAAACCUAGUUGAUCAAUAGGGUUGAUUUAUGUUCUAGUUGCCAAAUAAACCCAGUUCAAACUUGUUGAAUCAAUAUUAAGGAAAUUGGAAAUUUGAAGUUCAAAUUUAUUUGAUCAACAUGAAGUACAUUUUUUUUAAAUGAAAGAUGUUUUAAAAAAGUAAUUAGCUUGAUACUAUGUGAGUUUAUCCAAUAACCUAAUAAUUUGGUUUUUUAGGAGCAGUUCCAAACCACUCUGAUAACAUCCAUGUUGAAUAAGGAGAGAGACUCUUGAUCACCUGUAAAUUCUUCGGAAUGUUCAAACUGACAAAAAAAGAGAGUAUAGAAGUUGAUUUGAUGAAAUAUUAAAAUAUAGGGACCAAACAUGAUUUUUAUCAAAAUAGUAGUCACUCACAUACACGUGCUUUCACCUAGCAAGCCGGCAACACAAUUCCCAGUCCAACUUCCAUCCUUGCCGGUGACGGAAUAUAGCCCCCACCAAUCACAUUCCUCCACCUCAUCCUUUCCCUUCUGUUCCUCUCCCAUCACUUGUCUCCUCUUCACCAUCACCGUUUCUUUCCCGUCAACCAUAAAAAACCCAACACCUUGAGAAAAAAAAAAAAAAAACCACCCCCUGCCCUCUCUCAUCAGAAUCAUCAAAAUCAGAUCUGAUUGUUAUUUCAUCGACUGCCGAUCAUGGAAGACGACGAUGAGAUACAGUCACACUCAAACACCACCGAAUAUUCCUCACCGUCACCACCACCACCGAACGGAAGAAUCACCGUAUCUGCUCCCGCCGCCGUGCAUCCACAGCCGGUACCACCGCCACCGCAACAGAACAACAAGAACCGCUUAGCACUUGUUUUGCCGACGAAGCCGAAAGUGAACGGAGGCGGAGGAGGAGGAGGAGGGAGAGAGGACUGCUGGAGCGAAGGAGCAACGGCGGUGUUGAUCGACGCCUGGGGAGAAAGGUACUUAGAGCUAAGCAGAGGGAAUUUGAAGCAGAAGCAUUGGAAGGAGGUAGCGGAAAUUGUAAGUAGUAGAGAGGAUUAUUCUAAGUCUUCGAAAAUUGAUAUUCAAUGUAAGAAUAGAAUUGAUACCGUGAAGAAAAAGUAUAAAUUGGAAAAAGCUAAAAUUGCUUCAGGUGGAGGGCCGAGUGGUUGGCCUUUCUUUGAUCCUUUGGAUAGAUUAAUUGGCUCCACAGCGAGGAUUCCUGUUGUUGGAAAUGGUAAUGUGGGUGGUAAAAUUCCUACUAGGGUUCGUAGUGGUAGUAGGAGGGGUGGUGUGAAUCAGUAUCAUUUUCGGAAUCAGAAUGUGAAAAUUCGGAUUCUGAAACAUGAGGAGGAUGAGGAUGAUGAGGAGGAGGGUGAGGAAGAGGAGGGGGGUGCGGAAUCGGAUGAUAGUUUUCCGCCGAUGAAGAAGAGGAGAGUGGUGGUGGAGAGGGAAGUGAGGGGGAAAGUGGGGAAGGAAAAAAGAGGAGGAGGGUGGGGGAAUUCGAUCAGGAUGUGACGCAAGCAAUGGUGAAGUUUGGGGAAGCCUAUGAGCAAGCUGAGAGUGCCAAGUUGCAGCAAGUGGUGGAGAUGGAGAAGACGAGGAUGGAGUUCGUGAAAGAGUUGGAGUUGCAAAGGAUGCAGUUUUUUAUGCAGACACAGAUGGGGAUUUCGCAGUUGAAGAACGCGAGAAGGGGAGGGAAUGCUACCAGUAAUCAUUAUCAUCAUCAAUACCAUCGUCAUCAUACUGGUAACAAUAUUAAUGCUAGCAAUAAUGUUAACAACAGUGAUAGUGAUAAUUAAGUGAAUGUAGAGUUGUUGGUUAGUGUUAAAAUUUUAGAAUCUUAGAUUUUAUUAGGUUUGUGUGUUUUGUAGUAGAAGAAUGCCCCAUUAAGGGUGGAGAUUUAUAAUGUUAGCUGUGUUGCUUAUGGUGUUUAAUUUGGAGUACAGUGAUGUGAUUUCAUACUUAUUUGUGUCAGCAUGCAUUUUGCAAAGGGCACUAGCUUGAUUAAUAGUUUUUUAGAGAGUCUGUUAACGUAGCAGAUGUGAAGUUUACAUUUCAAGGGACGAGUUCUAGUUCUACAGUUACUGCUUUAAUUUGUCAGCGGCAUCUUUACUCAAUUUCAGCAAGGGAUUGUCUGAUGUUCAUCUAUAAUAGCAGCAGAUAACUAAUUGUAGCUGAAGAAAAGCUAUUAUAAAGAAUGGUAUGCGAGAGCGAUUUCAGAGGGACACAUCAAACGGGAGAUAAUUUCUGUCUCUUUUCAGCACUGUCUCCUCUCCCCUCUCCCCUCUCUCUUCUUGCUUCCUCCCCAUGAACCCGCAUCCUCCUUCCCUUCUGUUCUUUCAAUCUAUUGGAGAAGAUGUUGUAUUGGUGGUGAAACUGCUUGCCUACAAUAUUUGUGUUCUGACCUUCAUUGGUGUUCUAUGGCUUUGUUGCCGCCUUCUAGCCUUUUGGUGUUGCACGGUGCUGCUGCUUUUUGGCUGUUUCCUCAUCUCCGGUGUUACAUAGGCAGCUGCUGGCUCCUCUUGUAUCUUUUGGGUUUUGGCAUCAUUUGGUUCCUGCCAUUUUCUAUUCUCCGGCCGUAGAAGCUGACAGCAAUCCUCCGACUCUGUUCUCAUGGUCAGAUGCUUCCUCUGUUUUCUCCUGGCAUUAAAAUCACAGCUCACCCUCAAAUCUUAUUGCCUUUGGUCAUUUUCUUGAAUGGUGCUUGGUGUUGUCUUCGAGUGUUUGCAGUGUCGUAAUUUGCUGGAGUUUUUGUAGUAUUUGAAUUGUGGUUGAUUGAGCUGCAGAAUUAGAGGGAAUUGAAUCCGUGCUAUGGGUUAUCAUGUGAUAUCAUCAUUCAUCAACAAUUAAUUGAAUGGGUUUCUACAUGAAAUAUUUUUAGUUUCUUAAUCAAUAAUUUGAAGUUUUUAAUUGGAAGUCAAAUUAUUCUUAGAGAAUAAUAUAAUUAAACUAAAUCUUGGUUAAUUGAUUGCUAGCAGAGGUGUAAAUUUACAUGGCUUCAAAAUGAAGCUUAUCUUGAAUAUCUUCCACUUAAUUUUAUCAAAUAAUAUAAUUUUGAAAUAAAUUAUUUGUAGAAUAAUUUUGAAUGAUAUAAAUCAAAUAAAUGUUAAAACAUUCAGUUUUGUUGUACCUCUCAUUUGAAACUAACGCUUUGUAUGUUUUUUAUAAAAUAAAAUAAAUCCUAAACUUCUUAUGGACUAAAAUGUUUUUAUAGAAAAUAUGAGGAUUAAAAAACAUUCAUGAACAUUUAAGAAAAGCUUUUUUUUAUCUCUGUGGGCUAGGUAUGAUGUAUGCAGGUAUGGAUAUGGGUCUUGGCUUAGAAUGAUAGAUAUGGGUCUAGUAGGAGCACAAUAUUUUUUAAUGGUAACGAAUGAGCUACGCCUACCAGGCUGGUUGCUCAGUCUUGUUUUUUUUUUUUUACUAGAAUUCAUUUCUUUAUAAAGCAUGAAUCUGUAACCAAAUUUGCUUAAUCUAUAGAAAAUAAAAGCGAUAAUCUUUUUUCAAAAAUUCCACCAUCUUCCUCGACCAAUUUUUUUGUUUUUGUUUCUAUACAUAUUAUAAUUAGUUACAAAUAUAAUACCCAAUUUAAUAAAAUCAUAAACAAAAUUCCAAGACUUUCCACACAUCAAUUUAUUUUCUCUUUAUAUUAUGAAUAAAAAAAAUCAAUAAGAGAUGAGGAAAAAAUCAAAGAGGAAAAAAAAUAAAAUUAAAAAUAUCUUAAAUGAAAAAAAAUUAAAGAAAAUGAAAUUAAUUAUCGGUAUAUUAGAGGCCUUUUGCUAUGUGCUCAUAGUGUCACUAUAAAAAAUGAUAAGUCUUAAAUAAUUAUCGUUUUUUUUUAUUCUAAUAAGUAAGAGACAAACAGAUAUGUCUUAAAUAAAAUGACUCUUCGUGAUAUACAAACUCACGGUUAGGCCUCCAAACUGAGGCUGUAACGAGCCGAGUUACAGCUUGGAUCUACAAACCCUGGAUCUACAAACACUGAAGAAAUUUCAUGGGAAAUGGGCUGAUGUCAGAUGGAGAAAUUUCUGUGCUGAUGCCAGCUAUGUUGUUGCCACUGGACAGAGAGACUUCUUCAACCACCAAUCAAAUUAUUCUUAUUGACUUUCUGUGCAGUUUGGCACGGUUUUGCUGUCAAAGUUCAGAAACCCUAGCUAUUAGAAUAGACAAGUGUUUGUCUUUGUAUUUUAAAUUAUUAUUUUUAAUUGACUCCACAAGAGAGAGAUGCCAUCCCCGCAAUACAAAACUCUCGAAAAAAUAAUGAUCGUGCCAUCACCGGUGGUUGUGCUGUUCUAUAAUAUCACAAGCCACACGAGUAGCUGAUUAGAAAGAUUUUGUAGGCAUGGCAUGAUUGACGAAUGAUGGGGGAAGGGGCAAUGGGAGCCACAUGAUCCAUUUCAUGGUUGUUCCUUGCUUGUAGAAAGAAGAUCAUGCCAUCAAGGAUCUUGCGGGAUUGCUAUCUUGCUCGGUGUUGAUUUACAAUAAUGGCUGCACAUGAACCCGUCCAGCAGAACAAAUCCCCACAAGUAAUUGUCUAUCACACUCAAAUUAAUUUGAGAUUUCUGUUUCACUGCCUCCAGAGAAGAAUAUAGUUAUUAAACCUCUCUCUUCUCCUUCAAUAUUACAGUAACGAUGUUAUUUUAAGAUUUUUUUUUUUAAAAAAUAAAACAAUUAUUAAGCUUUCCUUUGAGUUCAAACAAAUCAAGGUUGCUUAUUUGACCUGCCUGCGGGGCUUUGCUCAUAGAAUAAGACAUGUAAAUCUAGGAAAGAAAAAGUUUAAUAUAUAGUUUUAAUUUUUUAUUUGGUUUAAGACCCACCCAAAAAUUUAAUAACCACAAUGUAAUUUGAUGUUUGUGUUCCAUGGCUUCGUGUUAUGGAUGCGUGCUAUUGCAAAAAAAUAAACAAUGUAGCUUGCCAAAUAUAUAUAUAUAUAUAGCUGUGUCUUAAGUUGCUUAUAUAACUAAUUAUAACUUUUAAUCUCUAUAAGCCCAACUACAUCAUUAAAAAGAAGUUCAAUUGUCAUUUCUAAAAUUAAUUGAGUCCAAGUUAUUGAUAAAAGUAUUAGGAAAUCAAGUUUUUAUUUAUUUAUUUAUUUAUUUAUUGUGAUUUUUAAUAUAUUUAUAUAGUGAAUUUUUUAGAAUGUGCAUACAUGAAAAUGAAACAUCAAAUAUGUUAUUGAUGGUUCGGAAAUAAUCCCAAAGUAUACCAAAUAAUUCCUUCCAAUCAAUCCACCCCAUUCUUCUCUGGAUCGUGUUAAAAACCAUGCUGUAUAUGUUUGAUAAUGCAGUGAAUAUAAUUUUACAAAAAUAUUUUUCAAUUAAUAAAAUAUUUAUUAAAGAAAUUUUCAAUCAAUCCACCCCAUUCCCUCCUGCUGUGCUGAUGAUGGGGAAUGGGAGAUAGUUCAAAGGAUUUGCCUCACAUUCAAGUAUGCAACUGUUUAUGGUUAGCCUCACAUAUAAAUAAACAUACAAGGUUACAUAUAUAUACUAUGACAAGUCCUUAAAAUUCCUGUUGUGAUAACCUAAAAUUUUACUCUCUUUUUUACUAUAUAUAUUUUUUUCAAAUAAUAAUAAAAAAAUGAUGGAAAAAAAAAUAAUGAUAAAAAAAUGAAAUGAAUGAAGAAUAAAUUAAAUUUUGGUUUAAGACAACAUAAUUGACAGUUCAGGGACUUAAUUAAACUUUGGAUUAGUUUAAUUAACCAAAUAAAGGGCUUAAAUUGAAGAGUUGUUGACUUUUGAGACUUAAUUGAAAUUGAAAUUAGUUUAAUUAAUGAAAUAAAAGGGUUUAAUUGAAAAAAUAUCAAAGUUUGAGGCUGAUUUGGAUCAAAAUUGCAAGGAAUUAAAAUUCAAAGACCAAAUUGAAAAGGUGGGGGGUACCAUAGGGAGCUUAAUUGAUUUUUCUAGGGGUAAUUUUGAAAGAAUUAAAAGUUGAAGAGUCAAUGAAGGACUGAAUUGAGAAAUUUAGAAACCUAGGAUUGUUUCGUAAAAUACGCUGAGAUGCAGGGGUCUAAUUAAAGUUUAUCCAGGGUGCUUAAUUACAAAACUUCAAGGGCAAAAACGUAAAUGACCAUUGACAUCAAACAAUGCCAUUUCCAGACGUUGUUCAUCUUCUUCACUCGACCGAAAAACAACAGAUGCCCCUGCCAUCGCCAACCAUUACCAUUACUCCUGUAAUAACGGUCUUGAAUGUCUUCAUUGUCAAGGAAAACACAUGACAUUCUUUGCCUAUAAAAGCUAGAGAAGGAACCGAACACAAAAAAGAAGAGGGUGGGCUGACAAAAGAAGAACAAAAACAGAGGAGGAAAAAGGACGAAAACACGAAGAAACAGUGGAGAGAGAAGAGGGAUAGAAAAAAAAUAGAAGAACCCAAAGGAAACAACGAACAUAAAAACAAAAAGUAAGAGGGUGGGCUAACAGAAGAAGAGCAAAAACAGAGGAGGAAAAGGGGCGAAAACACGAAGAAACAAUAGAGAGAGAAGGGGGAUGGAAAAAAAGAGAAGAACCCAGAGGAAAAAUGAACAAAAAAAAAAGAAAAGAAAUGGGUGGGCUGACAGAAAAAGAACAAAAAAAAAGAGGGUGGACUGACAGAAAAAGAACAAAAACAAUGGAGGAAAAAGGGCAAAAACACGAAAAUACUUUUUUUUUUUCCUUUUAUGUUAUAUUUUUUUCACACGGUAAAGAAAAAAUAAAUUGAUAAGAGUUUUUUAUAUUAUAUAAAAGUUGAGUGAUCAUAAUUUUUUUUCAUUUGAGGUUGGGUUAAAUUUUCUUAUUAAAACAUGUUUGUUUUUGUAUUUUAAAAAUGUUUUAAGAAAAAUUGAAUGUUGUUUCUUUAAUUGAAAAUAAUAUUUUUUUAUGUGUAUAUUUUGACGCGAGAUACAAAAAUCCAUUUAAUUCUUUUCUCUAGUUUUAUCUCAUACGGUAAUAGAAAAUAAAUGAUGAGAGUUUCAAUACAUCGGCAACUAAUUUAUUUUUCUUUAUUUUUUUCUCUUUAAUUUUUUUGUUCUCUUAUUGAUUUUGUUUUCAUAUUGUAAAGAGAAAAUAAAUUAAUAAAAGCCAGACUCAAGAAGAUCUCCAUAGCCCUUUUCUUUUAAAGAUAUUUUUAAUUUUAUGUUCUUUUCCUCUUAUAUUUUCUUUUCUUUUCUCUUAUUGAAUUUUUUUCCAAACUGUAAAGAUGAUAUAAAUUGAUAUGACUUUUUUUAUAUUGUACAAAAGUUGAGUAAUGAUAUUUUUUUUUCAUUUCAGAUUGUGUUGAAUUUCCUGAUUAAACCACGUUUGUUUUUGCGUCUUAAAAAUUCUUUGAUUUAUUUUUGCUAAUUGUUAAUUUUUUUCUUUACUUCAAAUUCAUAUUUUUUUAUGUUUUUGUAUUAUUCUUUUAAAUAGUUUAUUAAAAAAUAUAUUGAGAUUGAGUCUGGUUGUAAAGCCAAACCCAAGAAAUUAGAAAAUUCUUAAUUUUUUUCUUUACUACAAAUUAAUAUAUAUUGAUGUGUUUGUAUUAUUUUUUUAAUAUAUUGAGAUUGGGUCUGGCUGCGUAGCUAGACACAAAGUUUUUGGGAUUGGCUCUGGCUAGGCAGCAGGACGCAGCGAGACCUAAUCUCAAUAUAUAUAUUUUUAAAAAAAAUAUAAAAAAAUAUUAAUUUGAAGUAAAUAAAUAAAAAAAAUCAAAUUUUUUCAAAGAAUUUUUGAAACACAUAAAUAAAUAUGUUUUUAAUAAAGAAAUUAAAUCCUACCUGAAAGGAAAAAAAAAGUAUUUUCACCUAAUUUUUAUACAAUAUAAAAAAAUUACAUUAAUUUAAUUUCCUUUUAUAUUAUGAAUAAAAAAUUUAAUAAGAGACAAGAAAAAAAUUCACAUAGAAAUUUCUAUGCUGAUGCCAGCGCUAGCUAUGUGUUGACACUGGACAGAGAGACUUCAACCACCAAUCAAAAUUUUCUUAUUGACUUUUUGUGCAGUUUGGCACGGUUUGCUGUCAAAGUUCAGAAACCUUAGCUAUUAGAAUAGUCUAAAGUGUUUAUUUCUGUAUUAAAUGUUUUUUUUUAAUUGACUCUACAAGAGAGAGAUGCCAUCCCCGCAAUACAAAACUCUCAAAAAAUAUAAUGAUCGUGCCGCCACCACCGCUGGUUGGGCUGUUACGUAAUUGUUUUUUUUUGUUUUUUUUUUUUUAUAGUUGUUAUUUUUGAAAAUAUUUUUUAUUUUUUAAAAUUAAUUCUUAAUUUUUAAUAUUAACAUAUUAAAAUGUUUUUAAAAUAUAAAAAAAUAUUAAUUUAAAAAAAUAAAAAAACAUUUAAUUUUUUUUAAAAUAUUUUUAAAAUACAAAAGAAUUCUAUAACCAAGCCACCACCAAUGAUUGUGCUGUUUUUUAAUAUCAUAUUUAGGACGUGAACGAAGUCUGUUAAUAUAACUCAUAUUCUUGCUCCCUCAGGUACGAAGAGCCCUAGAAUUUUCAUGGGAAAUGGGUUGAUGUCAGAGGAGACAGAGAAGCGUACUUUCAGAAGAUCAUGACCCAAAUCAACGGCUGAAAUCCAAUCCCUCGGUGACACAUUGCAUGAUUGGAGACUGCUGGUCUCUAGUACGAAGAGAAACAACAGCUGUGAUGAAGGAAUCUUAUUUUAUUAUUUUUUUAAAAUAUUUUUUAUAUUUUAAAAUUAAAAAUAAAUUUUUGAAAAUAAAAAAUUAUUUUUAUAUAUUUUUAAAUAAAAAAUAUUUAAAAAAAAAGCUAUGCCAGCACCAGACUCCUUAUAAGAAAGAGGGAAGGUGAUAUUCAUUAUAACUUUACUGCCCCGCCUCUCUCUCCUACCUGCAGCAGCCACUAGAUGUUCAUGGCGUCUUCUUCUUCUUUGCCUAGACCUGGUUGGGUUUACGAUGUAUUUGUAAGUUUUAGAGGUCAAGAUACUCGCAAAAAUUUGACGGACCAUCUUUACACUGCUUUACACCAUGCAAGAAUCCAUGCAUUUCGAGAUGACGAAAAACUUCGUAGAGGUGAAGAAAUCUCCUUACAACUCUCCAAAGCAAUACAAGAAUCCAAGAUUUCUAUAGUGGUUUUCUCCAAGGGCUAUGCUUCCUCCACUUGGUGUCUUGGUGAACUUCAAAAGAUUCUUGAAUGCAGACGACAACCAACCGGGCAGAUUGUUCUACCUGUUUUCUAUGAUAUCGAUCCUUCUGAUAUUAGAAAACAGACGGGGAGUUUUGCUGAAGCCUUUGAUAGACAUGAAGCACGUUUUAAGGAAGAAAUGGAGAAGGUCCAAAAGUGGAGAAAAGCUCUUGUGGAGGCUGCAAAUUUAUCUGGGUUGGAUCGUCGCAGUAUCGCAAAUGCGUACUUCUUUACUUUCCCUAUGUCGAUAGCAAACGCUUCUAACUUUUAACCUUAUUACAUUUUGUAUUUUAAAUUUGCAUUAAAUUCAAAAGAUUAUCUUCCAUCGAUGAGUGAUGAAUUUCUUUUUCUAUGCACAGGCAUGAAUCAAAAUUAAUUCAAAAGAUUGUCGAAGAAGUUUCAAGUAUAUUGAAUCGCAGAAACAUAAACGAAAGGCCGCUGAAGAUGUUGAAGACAACAAUGAUAUCUGGCGGUGGGCUGCAUGACGAUGCUGAGGAGAAGCAGAUAACAAAUACAGCUGUGCGGGAUUGGCUGGACGAGUAUAAAGACGCUGUCUAUGAAGCCGAGGACUUCUUGGAUGAGAUUGCUUAUGAAACUCUACGGCAGGAGUUGGAAGCUGAAACUCAAACCUUCAUUAACCCACUUGAAUUAAAGAGGUUGAGAGAGAUAGAAGAAAAAUCAAGAGGCCUCCAGGAGAGACUAGAUGACUUAGUAAAACAAAAGGAUGUCCUUGGUUUGAUCAACCGCACCGGAAAAGAACCAUCAUCGCCUAAAAGUCGAACAACUUCUCUGGUGGAUGAACGUGGUGUUUAUGGUAGAGAUGAUGACAGGGAAGCAGUACUGAUGUUGCUUGUAUCAGAGGAUGCAAAUGGAGAAAACCCAGAUGUCGUUCCCGUAGUUGGAAUGGGCGGGGUUGGUAAAACCACACUUGCUCAGCUUGUAUACAAUCACAGAAGAGUACAGAAGCGGUUCGAUCUCAAAGCUUGGGUUUGUGUUUCAGAAGAUUUCAGUGUUUUGAAGUUAACCAAGGUUAUCCUUGAGGGAUUCGGUUCAAAGCCUGCUUCUGAUAAUCUGUUGAAGGAGAGAUUGCACGGAAAGAAAUUCUUGCUUGUUUUAGAUGACGUUUGGAAUGAGGAUUAUGCUGAGUGGGAAAAGUUGCUUACCCCCCUGAAGUGUGGAGCACAAGGGAGUAAGAUUCUUGUUACAACUCGCAAUGAAAGUGUAGCAUCAGUCAUGAGAACUGUUCCAACUCAUCAUCUAAAAGAAUUGACGGAAGACAGCUGCUGGUCCUUGUUUGCCAAACAUGCAUUUCGUGGUGAAAAUCCCACUGCUCAUGAAGAGUUACUAGAAAUUGGUAGAGCAAUAGCGAGAAAGUGUAAAGGCCUUCCUCUAGCAGCAGUAACACUCGGAGGUCUGCUACGCACCAAAAGAGAUGUCGAGGAGUGGGAGAAGAUAUUGGAAAGCAAUCUAUGGGAUUUACCCAAAGACAAUAUCCUCCCAGCUUUGAGAUUAAGUUAUCUUUAUCUCCUGCCACAACUGAAGCAAUGUUUUGCUUAUUGUGCCAUAUUUCCAAAAGACUAUUUAUUUGGAAAGGAUGAAUUAGUGCUCCUGUGGAUUGCAGAGGGCUUCUUAGUCCGGCCCUUAGAUGGUGAGAUGGAAAGAGUAGGUGGUGAGUGCUUUGAUGAUCUCUUGGCAAGGUCUUUUUUCCAGCUAUCAAGUGCCUCUCCCUCAUCAUUUGUGAUGCACGAUCUCAUACAUGACUUGGUGUGUCCGGUCAAUUCAGCUUCAGGUUGGGGGAAAAUAAUUCUUCCAUGGCCUCUAGAAGGACUCGACAUCUAUCGCUCGCAGUAAAGACGCGCGCAAGUUACGGACGGUGGUUUUUUCAGCCCAGAAUUAGAAAACAUCCGUGAAGCCCAACUUCUACGCACAUUCCAAACUUUUCCACGCUAUUUGAAGUCUCUUCCCGAAGUUUAUACUGAGAUCUUUCAUAUAUAUGUUGUCAACACUUGGGCGCCUACGAGUGCUAUCCUUGUCUCGCUGUGCCAGUGCAGCUAAGAUGCUUUGUUCAACUAGCAAGUUGAAGCAUUUGCGGUAUUUGGAUCUCUCUCGGUCAGAUUUAGUAACGUUGCCUGAAGAAGUGAGUUCUCUUCUCAAUUUGCAAACGCUGAUCUUGGUAAAUUGCCACGAACUUUUUAGUCUCCCUGAUCUUGGAAAUUUGAAGCACUUACGACAUCUGAAUCUUGAAGGAACAAGAAUCAAAAGGUUGCCUGAAUCUCUGGAUAGGUUAAUCAACUUGCGGUAUCUUAACAUCAAGUACACGCCUUUGAAAGAGAUGCCACCACAUAUAGGUCAACUGGCAAAGCUCCAAACGUUGACUGCCUUUCUCGUGGGAAGACAGGAGCCUACCAUUAAAGAAUUGGGAAAGCUACGACAUCUACGGGGAGAACUUCAUAUUGGGAACCUUCAAAAUGUGGUGGAUGCUUGGGAUGCUGUCAAAGCAAAUUUAAAAGGUAAAAGGCACCUUGAUGAGCUGAGGUUUACAUGGGGUGGUGACACUCAUGACCCGCAACACGUAACAAGCACACUUGAGAAAUUAGAGCCAAAUAGAAAUGUGAAGGAUCUUCAGAUUGAUGGUUAUGGAGGUGUAAGGUUUCCGGAGUGGGUAGGAAAGUCCUCUUUCUCAAACAUAGUGUCCUUGAAGCUCAGUAGAUGUACAAACUGCACCUCCUUACCACCGCUCGGGCAAUUAGCUUCUUUGAAGCGUCUCUCAAUUGAAGCAUUCGAUAGAGUUGAGACUGUGAGCUCUGAGUUCUAUGGGAAUUGUACAGCUAUGAAGAAGCCAUUUGAAUCCCUCCAAACAUUAUCUUUUAGAAGGAUGCCAGAGUGGCGUGAGUGGAUUUCAGACGAAGGCAGCCGGGAAGCCUUCCCUCUUCUAGAGGUGCUUUUAAUCAAAGAAUGCCCCAAGCUUGCAAUGGCCCUACCUAGUCACCACCUUCCACGUGUAACAAGACUUACAAUUAGUGGAUGUGAGCAGCUCGCGACUCCACUUCCUAGGUUUCCUAGGUUGCACUCUCUCUCUGUUUCUGGAUUCCACUCCCUAGAGUCCCUACCCGAGGAAAUUGAGCAAAUGGGUUGGUCACUCUCUGAUUUAGGGGAAAUUACAAUCAAGGGCUGGGCUGCUCUCAAAUGCAUCCCACUGGACUUGUUCCCCAACUUAAAUACUCUUUCUGUCUCUAACUGUCCAGAUCUCUAAUCACUAUGUGCACAUGAAAGACCUCUCAUUGAUCUCAACUCUCUCCAUUCUUUGAUAAUCUGGGGGUGCCCUAAAUUAGUUUCAUUUCCCAAAGGAGGGUUACCUGCUCCAGUCUUGACACGAUUUGACUUAGCAGAUUGCAGAAAUUUGAAGCAGUUGCCUGAGAGUAUGCAUUCCCUCCUCCCAUCCCUUAACCAUUUGGAAAUAAGAGGUUGUUUAGAAGUUGAGUUGUGUCCAGAAGGGGGUUUUCCCUCCACAUUACAUUCACUUGAGAUUUGUAGAUGCAACAAACUCAUUGCAGGCCGCAUGCAAUGGGGCUUGCAAACGCUCCCUUCUCUUUCACGCUUUGCAAUUGGUUUCGACGAAAAUGUUGAAUCCUUCCCUGAAGAGAUGCUGCUGCCCUCAAGUCUUACAUCUCUAAAAAUCUAUUCCCUAGAACACCUGAAAUCUCUUGACUACAAGGGGCUUCAACACCUCACCUCUCUUAGAGAAUUGACUAUAAGUAACUGCCCUCUGAUUGAGUCAAUGCCAGAAGAAGGGUUGCCCUCCUCCCUUUCUUCUCUUGAAAUUUUCUUUUGUCCUAUGCUGGGUGAAAGUUGUGAAAGGGAGAAAGGUAAAGAUUGGCCCAAGAUUUCUCACAUUCCUCACAUAAGUAUUAGGGGAGCAAAAAAGUAGUAGCUAAAAGGAGCUUUUCUUUCAAUCGUUCAACAUAUUGAGGUAUUGCUACUAAAUAGUUUAUUUUCUUUUCAGCAAUCAAAGUCAGUUUCAGUUAAAAUUUGGAUGAAUGAAAUACAGAUAUUGUCUCUGUUGUAUGUUUUUAUUUGUUGUAUGUUGAAAUACAAAUCUCUCAUUCAUCUUCACAAAUAAUCAUCAUUCUAUUUCAAUAUAUUUUUUUUCUAUAAUUAAUUUUUUAAGUUGAAUUGAUUAGUAUUUUACUUUUCUUAUUCUAACAUUUGUGGUUAGAACAAAGUAACUUUCACUGGGAUGAGAUGAUUUUGGUUCAAUGGGAGCGGUGAAACCUUUGGCUUCUUUCCUUUGAAUCCAAAUUCAAAUCCUACUAUUGUUCCUCUAUCCUGUUCUGCUGCAAAUAAACAUCACAACAUCCUUGUUUUCGAUCUUGGAAUUGCUGGUUCUACUAUCUUGUUCUGCUGCUGGAGGAUCAUCACAUACUUCAGAUUUGAAUUUAGUAAUAGAAAAUCCAUUGCUAAAAAGGAUUAAAAAAAUAUUGAAUUAUUUAAGUAAUCUGCAACGGAUUUUUCAUUGUUGACGCGGCAAAAUCAAAUCUGCUACUGAUUCAAAAAAUAAAUUAAACCCUUAAUUAUAUAAAAUCUCCCUUAGUUCUCUCCUUUUCUCCUUUUCUGCAUCUUCAAAAAUUCAAUUUUUUUUCUCCAUCUCUUUCUCUAGUCUAUUCCCCUUCUCCAAAUCCAAAAACUUUUGAUUUAUCCUUCUCUUUUAUUAUUUAAUUUUGAAUAAAUUUUUUUUAUUCCUUAUAAAGCUGAAGUUAAAAAACAAUUUUGGAGUGCAGGUAAUGCCCUUCCCAGCAAAAUUUAUGGUGUUUGGGAACUAACAAGUAACAUCUUAUUAGUUGUUCUUCAAACAUACUUUGAUAAAAAAAAAUUGAUACUAAAAGAAGAGAUAAUAGAUAAUUCAGGAUCUAUAAAAAAAUAUAAGAAUAUCUUUAUUUAUAAUUUUUUUUCUAGUUAUUAUAUCUUUUUAUUUUUUAAAUAAAAUUUAUAUAAAUAACUAAUAAGAUUAAACUAAUUAUCCAUGAACACCAUAAUUAUAUCUUCCCAAAGAUGUAAGCCUUAUAUCACGGAGGAAUGUACGAGGGAUUAAAAAAACUCUUUCCUUUGUCUUUUUAAUUCUUUUUUUUUUCAUUAGUUUAUUUAUUAAGGCGCUUAUUAGCUUGAAAGUUUUCCUCGCCUUGUCCAAUCUUCGCUAGAAGGGCUUGUUCUCAGAACGAGGAAUUUAAAAGAAGAAGUGGAUGACCGAAGAGGGGAAUUUAAAUAAGAGCUUUGGCUUUCCAUAUCUUAUACUAUUUCGUUUGAUUCCAGUUUUGCUUCAACUCUCAACAACACUCCCUUCUUUCGUUGCUCGACAUCAUUUAAAUGAACAUGGCUUAAUUACCUUUUUCAAGCAAUGAUGGAGUAGUAGUGCAGUUAAAGAACACACCCUAGCUGUUUGACAAAAUGCCGUUGAAGAUGAUAGUCAUUUUAGUGCUGCUGCUAGUAACAACCCCGGUAAGAAAACUAACGACCUCUUGAUGUGUUUUUUUAGGAAAUACAUUAAAUGUUUUUAUUUGUUCAUGUGUUUUCUUCAGGAGGUGGUGCUAACCAGAGAAAGCUAAAGCAGAGGAGGAUGGCCAAGAGGUUGCAAAGGGAAAGGAUGAAGCCUUUUGUUAGAGGUCUAGGUGCUGGUGCACUAACAAAAGCACAUUGCCUUGACGAAGCCGAAAAUAUUGGCUGCUCAAUACAAACAAGGGCCGAAAUCGGUAGGCAACGUGCGAGGACUUUCCCUGGCAUUGGGUGUAUCCUGGCAUGAAUGGUGGAUGGAUGAUGAAAUGCCCAGGACAUUGGGCUGUCCAAGCCGAGGCAGAAACACAGCAACAUUGGAUGCAUAGGUGCUUGUAGCUGGCCAGUUGGUUUGUGGGGGCUGACCCAAGUACAAGCAAAUCUUAGGGUGGACUGCCCAACGAGUGCGGGUUGCUUAAGAAAAGCAUGAGGGAUGAACUGCCUAAGAGAUGCAUGGGGUAGAGUGCCAAUGUGCUGCUGGAAUAUGUAACCUUGUAUAAAUAGGCUUGCUAAAGUCAGCUGUGUAGUAUGCAAGACAUAUUUUGCAUAACACACACAGAGAUGGUGUAUUCCUUUCUUAUAGAAUUAAUAAAAGGUCGGGAUACAUACAGAGAGAUCAUUUUGGUAAAAUUAUUAAGCAAAGCAAAUUCUCUCAUCAGAUAUGGGAUUUCGAAGGAAAAAUAGGGAUUCAAAUCUUUACGGACCAUUCGUAAACCAUUGAUCUGAGAGAGGGAUAUUUGGAUUUCGUGCUUGUUUCAUAAAUAAAUAAAUUAAAUUUUUUCUUGAGGAUAUGUAAUAAAUUAUGUUCGUUUGGAUCUACGAAGGAAAGAGGAAGAAGAAGUGGAAUGGCUAAUGGCUAAGUUCUUAAAUUGGAUGACCGGCUUAACAAUUAAAGGGUUACUGGCUACUAAAAAAAAUGAUAUGAAUUAUUAACAACAAAAAAUUAAAUAAAAAAGAAGCUGAUAACUGAAAAAUCAGCAACGAAAAUCCAAUGUUCUUUGGAUUUACUUGGAAUUGCUUCAACUGACGUGAGAAACCUACAACCCAAGCCUUCAGAAGCAAGUGAACAAAACCAUAGUUCAUAACAAGGAAGCAUCCGCGUUUUGGAAUCAAAAUUCAGAAGCAAGUGAAAGUGGCCGAUGUCACUCAAGAGAGCAGGCACUUAAUGAUUUUGCCCUGUUUAUCUAAAGUUGUGCAAGUUCUCUGCAUUGAUGAUUCCUGUGAAUUUGUACAGAUCUUGUUUUCUUUCUAUUUGUCCUUGAAUAAACUUAUUGCACUUGUUGAACAAUCUUUGUCUCUCUCUCUUAGUUAAAUCUAGCAAAAAUUUUCAGGUAUGUUGUGACACUCAUUUAUUCUUGGAUGUGUGUAUUUAGCUCUCCUUUUCGGAUUUUACCUUUUCAAUUUCUUUUGUGCUUUUGUAUUCAAGAGUCGAAGUUCAAGCAGGCAAUUUACAUAAAUCAAUGUAAAGUUGAUCAGGAAAUAGUUUACGGCAAAUUUCAGAAAGAUGGAAAGCUAUGUAAGGUUGCGGCGGCCUUCAUAUCCCUGGGUGAGAGUAUAGGAAACAGUACAGGUGUGAUGCCAGUAUUACUGGGUUUCUUUUUUUUGUUUUGCUGAGAAAACUACAAAUCCUAAAUGCAAAGAGGAAUAAUACAUAAACUUGCAAUGUAGUUAAGUUUAACAAGGAGGUAGCAUAAAUAAGCAGCGCAACAUACGAAAUUUUGCUAGAUUUAGCCACUAGAAAGAGAGAUGUCUCAACAAGUGUGGAAGACAAAUGUAAAGGAAAACAAGAUUUGCACCCAAAGAAGGUGAUUAUGCACAAAUUCACUGGAGUCAACAAUGAAGAAAACUUGCAUGGCCAGGGUAAAGCUACAAAUGCCAACGCUGAUGAAGAGUUACAAGAAAUUGGUAGAGCAAUAGUGAGGAUUGUCUGAUGUUCAUCUAUAAUAGCAGAGCAGAUAAAUAAUUGUAGCUGAAGAAAAGAAUGGUGUGCGAGAGCAAUUUCAUAGAAAUGAAACUGCUUGCCUACAAUAUUUGUGUUUUGAUCUUCUAGCCUUUUGGUGUUCUAUGGCUUUGUUGCUGCCUUUUAGUCUUUUGGUGUUCCACGGUGCUGCUGCUUUUUGGCUCUUGAUUUAAUAGAAAUGCUGUCCCCCCAUCCCUUGUAUCUUUUGGGUUUUGGCAUCGUUGGUUCCUGCCGUUGUCCGUUCUCCGGUAGUCGAAGCUGACAGCAAUCCUCCGACUCUGUUCUCAUAGUCAGAUGCUUCCUCUGUUUUAUCCUUUGGUCAUUAAAAUUACAGCCUACCCUCAAAUAUACUAAGUUGAUUUUGCAAAUUUUGUUCCAAGAGAGUAGAAAUUUAAAGAAAAAUGUACAUUCUCAUUCGUCACCUCCCUUGCAAAUUCAAUAAGUACCUCAUAAUUGGUUUAUAUAUGGAAUAUUUUUAGUUAUUCAAUAAGUGAAUCUUCGAUCAGAAGAGAAAUUAUUUUUAGUGAAUAAUGUAAAGAAGAAACUAAAUUUUGGUUAAUUUACAAUAAGUUUAUAUAGCUUGAAAGUGAAGCUCAUCUUCUAUUUAGUUUUCUUAAAUAUAUAAUUUUAAAUUAAAUUACUUUUAAAAUAAUUUUGAGUAUAUCUUACAUGUUUAAACAUUAACUUUGUUGGAUGAAUUCCAAACCACAUAAUUUGAAACUCAUAUAGGUAUCUUAAAUAGUGCAGCCUGAGCUUUACGGUUACGUUUUCUUUGACGAUGAUUAUUGUUAAAUUAUUUUUUAUUUUAAAAUAUAUUAAAAUAAUUUUAUAUUUUUAAUAAUUUUUAACAUUAACACAUUAAAAUUAUUAAAAUAUUAAAAAAAAAAAUUUAAUAUAUUUUUAAAUAAAAUAUAUUAAAAAAAAGCAUACAUUACUACUAUUCUCUCAAACAUACAAUCCUAUUCAUCUUAAGACCUGAGCUAUUAUUAAAAUGGUUAACUCAUUAAAUUUACACUUGGUUAUGGAGUUGGAUAACUCAUUAAAAACAUAAAUCUUAUAUUAAAAUAAACAAAUUUUAAAAAUAUUGAUUAGAAGAACAACAAAACACUUAUUCAAGUAGUUGUAUAAAAUAUAAUAAUAUAAUGUAUAAUUUAUAAUUCAUAAUUUAUUUAUUUACUUUAUCAAUCUUCUGCUGCGUGAUCACAUCACGUGAAAAGCUUGGCAUUUAGUGAUGUUUUUCCAAUCAAGCCCCCUUUUUUCAAAGAUGGAAUCUCGAGGUAAAUAAAUCAAAGACAAAACCGAGUAAAAUGGAGUCCACUCAGUCCAGAGCAUAACAAGGACCGAGAGAGAGAAGGCUUUAGCGAGUUGUGUGUUCUCUUGGCAAAUAAAGCGAGGACAAACCGAGUAAAAUGUGGGACCCAACUCAAUUUUUCCUGGCACACGCAACUCACGCAUACACUAACACUAAUUUGAGAUAUUUUUUUUACUUGGGAGUUUACAGGCAAAUAAAGUGAUGGAAGAAGGUCUUCUUCUGCAUCAUCACAUCACGUGAAAAGCUUGGCAUUUAAUGAAGUUUUUCCAAUUAAAACUUAUGGUAUAAUUUCUUGACAGCGAAAUAAAGAAAAGUAGGAACCCUGUUAUAUCUAGGAAAUUUCUCUGCUCUUUAAAUUAGGUGUACAAACUGAGGCUGUAACGAGCCCUGAAUCUACACAGAAGAAAUUUUGUUGGAAAUGGGUUGAUGUUAGAGGCAGACAGGGAAACGUAAUCUCAGAAGGCCAGGACUCAAAUUAGCGGCUGAAAUCCAAUCACUCAAGGGAUGGUGACACGUUGCCAUGGGUGGGAGACAGCUGGUCUCCAGUUCGAAGAGAAACAACAGCGUUUUUUUUUUUAUUAAAAGUGAGUGUACGAGCUACAUCCAUAUAUUUUAAUUAAUUUUAUUAAUUUAAAAAUUAAAAAUUAUAUAAAUUUUUAAUGAUUCUAAAAAGAUUUAAAUUCAUAAAAAAAUUUGAAUUCAUAAAUAUUAAAAUACAAAUAUAAAAUUAGAUGACCCACAACAGUGUUUUCAUUGUUUAAAAUGGAGUGUUUGUUUUCCUGAGUUUCUUUGUUCUCGUGACAGCUCAUGAUGGUGGGGGCUUUAAAAAAAAUAAAAAAAUUAUUUUUACUUGUGAUUUAUUUGAUUUAAAUAAGUAUUUAAUUAAAAAUAUUGUUUAAUAAAAAAAUAUUUAAUUAAAAUUAUAAUUAAAGAUAUAUUGUAACUAAAAUUAUUAUAAAAAAAAGAUCCGGUGGAGAGGAUGAAAAUAAUGAUUGGAUAUCUUAAUAAUUGUAAAAAAGAAAGUAUCUUUUUAUGGUGAAGUUAUCGGUAGAUGAGAAAAUACUGAGUUUUGUAGCUCAGAAAAAAAACGCCAUUCAACUAAUAAAAUGAUCCAUCUACAUUAAAAAAAAAAAAAACGUCAUGCCCACGUGUGGAAGAUAAAAUUAAUCAACCUAAUCUUUCUGGAUUGCAUUUUAUUAUUCAUGUCAAACAAUCAGUAUCCUUAAUACUGAUUAAGGAUAUUUUUGUUUUUGUAAUUCAACUAUACUUUUUAAUAUAAUAAUUUUUUAAUUUAAUUUUUUAAUUAUUUUAAUAUCAUUUUGUUAUUUCUAAUUGUUUGUGUUUACGAGGUUAGUCAUAAAUUCAUGAUUAGAAUCAUCGAUUCUAAAAAUUAAUGUAAAUUAAUUUUUAUUUUUUAAAAUUAAUUUAUUUAAAUUUUAUCAUUUAAUUUUUUUUUCAUGAUUUCUUUUUAAGAGACUAACCCUUCAUCGACAAACACUAAUGUACUCUGAAAAACAUAAUCCUACUGCAUUUGAUGCUUUAAAUUUCAACAAGGAGUACCUACACAGUGAAAUAAAGAAAAGUAUGAACCUUGCAUCUGGGAAAUUUUUAUUAGGCCUCCAAUCCGAGGCUGUAACGAGCCCUGGAUCUACACACAAGAAAUUUCGUGGGAAAUAGGUUGAUGUCAGAGGGAGACAAGGAAGCGUACUUUCAGAAGACCAUGACACAAAUCAACGGCUGAAAUCCGAUCACUCAAGGGAUGGUGACAUGUUGCCAUGAGUGAGAGACAGCUGGUCUCCAUCUAAAUGUUUAAAGAUGAUUGGGUAUCUUAGUAAUUGUAUAACAAUUGAUUUUUUUUUUUUGAUGAAGGUGUCGGUGUGGAUGAGAAAAUACUGAGUUUGUAGCUCAGUAAAAACAUGUUGAUGUUACUUUUUAUUAGCUCAUGGUUGGCUCGUAAAUUGUAAUGGGUCCCACAGUCACAAAACUAUGAUUCUUCACAUGUAAUUUAUGUUUUAUAACUUUUUUAUUUUUAAUUAUUAUUUUUUUAUUUUUAUGUUAAAAAUUUAAAAAUAUUAUUUUAAUAUAUUUUUAAAUAAAAAAUAAUAAUAUCAAACAGCGUGAAUGUUUUAUAAAUUCUUUACAAUCGCUUUUACAUUUCUUUAGAUCACAUUUAAGAAUACGGUACACCACAAUAAAGUCUGUUGUUGCUACAUGAUUAAAGGUAAUUGUCUUGCAUUUACCUUUAAAACUGCUAUCAAGAAUUAAUUAAUUGCGUCAAUUCAAUUCUUUCUAUUGACAUUGAUACCAAACAUGUUAAUUCAUGAUAUAAUUAAGCAAUUCAAUACAAAUUUACUAAUAUAAUUUAUUUCGGCUUAAACCUUUGAAUAUAGCCAAAUGCAGAGGCUAUGCAAGUGAAAUACCUUAAUAAUUUUUAGGCUUUACAACCCUAGGAGCCACUCAAAAUAUAAUGUGUUUAUACCUAUUUAUUUGUUAGAAAAUAAUUUUUUUAUUAAAAAAUGGUUUUUUUAAAAAUAAAUUGGUAAAUAUUUUUUAAUAUUUAAUUAUAUUACAGAAAACAAGUAGAAAAAUAACUUUUUACUUUUUUAAUUUUUUUCUCAGGUUUAUUAAAAGACAUAUAACAAUAUUGAAGGAGGAUAAAAUUAAAAAAAAUUAUAAAUUAUUUCAAAAUGAAAUAAAUAAUAAUUAAAAGAAUCAAGAUCAAAUGUAACAGAUAAAAAUAUUAAUAAAAAAAUAAAACAAAAAUAAAUAAUAAUAAUAAAAAAAUUAAUAUUAAAAUAAUAUUAAACCAAGAAUUAAAUUAAAAAAAAGAAAGCAAAACAAAAUGUAUAAAAUAUAAUAAUAUAAUUUAUGAUUUAUUUAUUUAAUUUAUCAAUGAAAAGUGAUAGAAUAAAGAAGAGAAAAGAAAUAAAGUGAAGUAUGCUGCUGCAUUAUCAUAUCACGUGAAAAGCUUCGCAUUUUGUGAAGUUUUUCCAAUCAAACCCUGUUUUUUAAAAGAUGUAAUUUCUAGGAAAAUAAAUCAAAGACAAACCGAGUAAAAUUCCAAAAGAAGAGAAAGAUGGAGUAGCGUUUCAGUUCCGGCUUGUAUCCGUGUUUUAAAAAUAUAUAUAUAUUUUUAAUUUUAAAUUAAUAUAUUUUUAAUGUUUUUAAAUAUUUUAAUUUAUUAAUAUUAAAAAUAAUUUAUAAAAAAUAAAAUAAUUUAUUUUAAUAUAUUUUUAAAUAAAAAACAAUAGACACCCGUGACCACUUAAAUGGACUCCUAAGCAUAACAAGUUAAGAGUUAAAGAGCCGAGAGAGAAAAAGCUUUUGCCAGUUCUUUACACAAAUUCUUUCCCCUUCUGUCACCUGAACAAAAUCCCCACUUCUUCUUCUUGCUUGUUUACUCUUCCUUCGUUACUUUGCGAAGAGGAGAAACCAUGGCCGGGGCUUUAGUAGGAGGAGCUUUUCUUUCUUCUUUCCUUAAUGUUUUGUUCGACAGGAUGGCCUCUCCCCAGGUGGUUGCCUUCUUGAGAGGCCAAAAAGUCAAUGAUAGGCUGCUAACGAGGUUGGAGACAGCAAUGACAUCUCUCAGGGUGGUGCUUGACGAUGCCGAGGAGAAGCAGAUAACAAACCGAGCUGUGCGGGAUUGGCUGGACCUGCUUAAAGACGCUGUCUAUAAAGCCGACGACUUCUUGGAUGAGAUUGCUUAUGAAGCUCUACGGCAGGAGUUGGAAGCUGAAGAUCAAACCUUCACAGGUCAGACGCAGAGGCUUCUUUCUUUCAUUAACCCACUUGAAAUAUUGGGCUCGAGAGAGAUCGAAGAAAAAUUAGACUUCCUCUUGCAGGAUCUAGAUCCCUUAGUUGAACGAAUGGAUGCCCUUGGUUUGAUCAACCGCAAUGUAGAAAGACCAUCAUCGCCUAAAAGACCAACAACUUCUCUGGUGGAUGAAUCUAGUAUUUAUGGUAGAGAUGAUGACAGGGAAGCAAUACUGAAGUUGCUUCAACCAGACGAUGCCAGUGGAGAAAACCCAGGUGUGGUUCCCAUAUGGGGAAUGGGCGGGGUUGGUAAAACCACGCUUGCUCAGCUUGUAUACAAUAGCAGCGAAGUACAAGAGUGGUUCGGUCUCAAAGCCUGGGUUUGUGUUUCAGAAGAUUUCAGUGUUUUGAGGUUAACCAAGGUGAUCCUUGAGGAGGUCGGUUCAAAGUCUGAUUCUGAUAGUCUGAAUAAUCUCCAGCUUCAGUUGAAGAAGAGAUUGCAGGGAAAGAGAUUUUUGGUUGUUUUAGAUGACGUUUGGAAUGAAGAUUAUGAUGAAUGGGAUAGGUUUCUUACCCCCCUGAAGGACGGAUCACAAGGGAGUAAGAUUCUUGUCACAACACGCAAUGAAAGUGUAGCAUCAGUCAUGAGAACUGUUCGAACUCAUCAUCUAGAAGAAUUGACGGAAGAAAGCUGCUGGUCCGUGUUUGCCAAACAUGCAUUUCGUGGUAAAAAUCCCAAUGCUUAUGAAGAGUUGCAAGAAAUUGGAAGAGAAAUAGUGAGAAAAUGUAAAGGCCUUCCUCUAGCUGCAAAAACACUCGGAGGUCUGCUGCGCACCAAAAGAGAUGUCGAGGAGUGGGAGAAGAUAUUGGAAAGCAAUCUAUGGGAUUUACCCAAAGGCAAUAUCCUCCCAGCCUUGAGAUUAAGUUAUCAUUAUCUCCUGCCACAUCUGAAGCAGUGUUUUGCUUAUUGUGCUAUAUUUCCAAAAGACUAUUCAUUUCGAAAGGAUGAAUUAGUGCUCCUGUGGAUGGCAGAGGGCUUCUUAGUCGGCUCCGUAGAUGAUGAGAUGGAAAAAGCAGGUGCUGAGUGCUUUGAUGAUCUCUUGUCAAGGUCGUUUUUCCAGCAAUCAAGCUCAUCAUUUGUGAUGCACGAUCUCAUGCAUGACCUGGCUACCCAUGUGUCCGGUCAAUUUUGCUUCAGCUCCAGGUUGGGGGAAAAUAAUUCUUCCACGGCCACCAGAAGGACUCGACAUUUAUCACUCGUAGUAGAUACGGGAGGCGGUUUUUCAAGCAUAAAAUUAGAAAACAUCCGUGAAGCCCAACAUCUACGCACAUUCAGAACUUCUCCGCACAAUUGGAUGUGUCCUCCCGAAUUUUAUAAGGAGAUCUUUCAGUCAACUCAUUGUCGCCUACGAGUGCUAUUCAUGACUAAUUGUAGAGAUGCAUCUGUGUUGUCAUGUUCAACUAGCAAGUUGAAGCAUUUGCGGUAUUUGCAUCUUUCCUGGUCAGAUUUAGUAACGUUGCCUGAAGAAGCGAGUACUCUUCUCAAUUUGCAAACUUUGAUCUUGAGAAAGUGCCGACAACUUGCUAGUCUACCUGAUCUUGGAAAUUUGAAGCAUUUACGACAUCUGAAUCUUGAAGGAACAGGAAUCGAAAGAUUGCCUGCAUCUCUGGAAAGGUUAAUCAACUUGCGGUAUCUUAACAUCAAAUACACGCCUUUGAAAGAGAUGCCACCACAUAUAGGUCAACUAACAAAGCUCCAAACGUUGACUGCCUUUCUCGUCGGAAGACAGAGUGAGACUAGCAUUAAAGAAUUGGGAAAACUACGACAUCUACGGGGAGAACUUCAUAUUAGGAACCUUCAAAAUGUGGUGGAUGCUCGGGAUGCUGGUGAGGCAAAUUUGAAAGGUAAAAAGCACCUUGAUAAGCUGAGGUUUACAUGGGAUGGUGACACUCAUGACCCGCAACACGUAACAAGCACUCUUGAGAAAUUAGAGCCAA